GUUUUAUUUAUAAUAUGAUAAUAACAACCACCUAGUGGUAGCUGAUUUAUUUAUUACAUGCUAAUAACAACCAUGAGUUGAUAGUUGAUUUAUUUAUUAUAUGCUAAUAACAGCUAUCAGCUAGUGGUUGAUUUAUUUAUUAAUUGCAGUCUUGUUCAUUUACUUCAGUCUUUUUAUUUAAUUAUGUUAAAUCAUAUGUGAAUCCUAAUUUGUACUUGUACUCACAGAAAAUAAACCUAAGAAUUCAUCAAAGGAAAUAAAAGAUAAACGACAAUACAAAUAUUGCGUUUUGUUUUGUCUUAUUUUUUAAAAUUUUAUUUUCAAAUAUAUACGCAUGCAUGAUAAAGAUUCACAAUUAUAUAUAUAUAUAUAUAUAUAUAUAUAUAAUCCGUCGAGGUGUUUUAGUUGACUAGCUAGUAUAAACUACCAUCUACCAAAUCGUUAUUAGCUAACGAGCUAGUGUAAAUUUUCAUCUUGGAAGCUAGUAUAAACUAUCAUCUAUAAAAUUGUUAUUAGUAGAGGAACUACGAAUGUAAACUAUCGUCUAACAAACUGUAUUAGUUGAUGAGCUAGUGUAAAUUACUAUCAUUUACCAAAUAGUUAGAUAGACUGUUGGCUACAGUCAAAUGUGUUUUGGAUCAAUUCCUAUAUAUGUGUGUGUGUGAAAAAUUCAUGAAAAUCUAAAACUUAGUUGUUUUGGUACUAUUGAAUUGAUUUAUCUUUUCAUCUUUAUUUUUUUUUAAUUUACUACCCGACCCAAAUCUUUUCUCUUCUCGUAUCAAUAGUAAGUUUAAGAUUGGAUGAUAUUUUUGUCCCUUCAUUUUUUGUCAAUUGAGUCCUUAAAGUGGUCAAUUGAUGUCAAUUCUGUCUCUUUUCUCCAAAUUAACCCAAUUUCUUCUAAAUUGAAGUACAUGCUCGGCAUAUAUAUGCGAUUUAAGUUGGGGCAAAAAUGUCUCCUAACACAAUAAUAAUAAUAAUAAUAAUAAUAAUAAUAAUAAUAAUAAUUCAAAAUUAUCUAAUGAAAAGACAUAAUUUAAGCAGUACCAUCUUGUAAUUUAUGUAAUCACUUUAUUUAAUAUCACAAUAAACCAGCUAGUGAUAGUUGUUUUAUUUAUAAUAUGGUAAUAACAAGCACCUAGUGGUAGUUUGAUUUAUUUAUUACAUGCUAAUAACAACCAUGAGUUGAUAGUUGAUUUAUUUAUUAUAUGCUAAUAACAGCUAUCAGCUAGUGGUUGAUUUAUUUAUAUAUCGUGCUAAUAACAACCAUCAACUAGUAUAUAGUUUCUUGAUUUACUGUUGAUCGGAAGAUUACUGAUCGUUCAUUUAGGUGUUGGUGGGACUAAUGUUAACACCAUAGAUAACUAAACCUGUCUUCAUAGUCACGUUUUCAGUCCCGUCAAGAGCAAAUAUGAUAUCUCCAUAGUCAAACUUAUUGAAGAAUUCCCCAGCUUUGAGCGAAAAUGGUGUGUUUCUCGGAUAAUUCAUCAAUCCAUAUCCGUUCACUUGCGAGGAUCCAUUCGGAAGAGUAAGUGUAAGACUCACCGGACUUGCUAUGUUAAAGUUGUCUUUCAGCAGCACCACAAAAGAUACCUCAUAAGAUAAAUUUUCAAGCUUUUCUGUCAUAUAGUUUCCGUCAACAUGUAGGACUAAGCUACCAAUUAAUUCAGCACUGUCAGGACUGUACAAAAUGAUAGUAGAAUUAAAGUCAGAAACUUUUGAUAUAAGGAGCUUAAAUUCAUUAGGUGAUUUUAUUGAUUUAUUUAUUUUUUGCUGGAAUAUUUUUAAUGCGAGUCCUUCUAUCUAACUAGACUUCAAUAAAAUUUCUAUAGUCCUUCUAUCACUUUAAUUUAAUGACAAAGUUGCUUAUAUAUCCCUAUUUUUAACUGAAUAAAAUUCAGGUGUUUAAACACAAAUCUUGACCUUUGACGUCAAUUAAGUUAACUAAAUCUUAUUUCUACUUACGUAAACUUCCAGCCUGAAGGGUUGGCAUAAUUGAGUUUACUGGCAGGUACAUAAGCGCCAGAACUCUGAAUAAGACGAGAAAAAAAAAUUCAUAUCAUCCAUUACAAAAAAAUUUCACUUGCAAAAUUUACAAAUAUUAAGGAUUAUUUUUGUUCUAUAGCCAACUUUAGCUAUAUAUAUGAUGUUUGUUUACAAUUUCAGUAGACUUACCUUCUGGCCUAUUCCGCCGUUUUGGAGCAACUCCAUUUCCUUGGCUUGGGACAACAAUGCCUUGAGGUCAACCUCAUUAUGCCUCACUACUUGUGCCAUCUCCUCGAUCGAUCGAUAACUAUCCUUUAAUUCUGCUAUAUAUAUAUAUAUAUAUGUAUUUUCUGUUUCUAUUCUUGAUGUCUAUAUAUCUCUCUUCCAAAGGCUAGCUCUAUUUAUACUGGCACAAACAGAGGGUACUGCGAUUAUUAUAUCCCAUAAUAUCCUAUCUUCAAAUAUUCCUUCCCUUUUCAAAGUAGGGAUCCGAUCCUGAUAAGUUUAACAUCAUCAUCAUCAUCAUCAUCAUCAUCGCCAAGGAUAUAGAGCAGCAGAUUCUGUUUAAUAAUUUUGUUGGAAUAAUUCUUUUCCAUUUCCCAGUUCAAUAGUUCUUUCUUUAGCUUGUUGCGCAGGCAAAAUUCCAUGAAGGCGAAAGGCACGUAGGCAUACUAGUUGUGGGCAAGGAAAUUGUACCUUGCUAGGGUUAGGAUUUCGUGUUGGCUGAGGAGGAGAGAAAUUCACGAAGAGCACGGAAUUGAUUGGUUGAUUGAAGAGGGGAGAACGACAGGUGGGCGAUUACUCCAACGACGUGUGGCAGAACCCCUAGAAUCCAGGAACCGUGUUAGGGUAGUAGGGAUUCCAAGAGCCUUCUUGAGUCCUUCGUUCUUGAGAGAAUGUCUAAACCCCUUUUAGUGCUUUUAGGUGGAAUCUCCGAGCCUUUAAGUCACCAAAAAGGGUUCUUUGAUCUUCCGAGAGUCCAAGUCUUGAGUCUAAAGAGAAGUCUCUUUCCCAAUGGAAUGGAAGGGUAUUUAUAGGGUUUUCUGGAAAGUAGUCAUGUGCGAGGCACAUGCUUUCAGGGAAAUUCCAGAAAUGCCCUUUAGUCAUUAGAAUAAUGCCCAUGUUGCCCUGUCCUUCUAGCCACCAAUCCAAUCCCUCAAUUAAUUCCCACAUCGAGCCGCCUCCACGAGUCUUCUGCCUCGGGACACGUGGAGGCUUCUCCCGGGUCUAGCACAUUUAUUUAUGACUUUUUCAUCUUCAUUCCAUUCGGUUAUGCGAACACUAAUUUGCACAUUUAAUGAGGCCGUGGAACCCUAAUUGCGCAUUUAAUUCAAUUAGGUCAUGUGAACUCUAAUUUUACACUUUGGCCCACAUUUGCCCCCUGCGCGAGAGUCGCAUUUUCAAAUAGACGAUCGUGCAAGAAAACUGCAAGCCUUUGAAUGAUUUUGCGGGACUUCACUUUACAUGUCUUGAAGACAAUAGUCCUAGAAGAGGGAACUCCUAGGGAGCCAAACCCUUAGAGUUAAACCCUAGGAAGGCAAGACCUAGCGAGGCUCUUCCUUGGACAUAUUGAAAAAUCUUCUGAAAUCUUUCUGUAUUUUGCCCAAUAUUUAUUUCCAAUUCCGCAAGCAGAUCAACUGUCCGAGCAGCCUCAAUACGAACAGAAACAGAUUCCGAUAACUUGGAAUGGAAAAUAGAAUUAAGACCAGGCAAAACAUUGAAUAGAGCGAUGUAGAGAUCUAAAAUUUCAAACAACUUGAGAAACGAUGGACGGGUACUACUAACGCCUUCUGCAAAGUUAAUCAAGUGCAAGGCGGAUUCUUUAACUAUACCCAUAAAACACACAUCAAAUGUGGAGUUACCAAGUCCACUAAAGAUUUGUUCACAGAGUUUCUUCUCCUUUAUGAAGAGAUCUUCAAAACAAACACGAGAUGCUCGUAUCCACAAUUUGAUCUUUGGUGCCAACAUAUCCCACUCCAAACUCCGGAACUCACCGAUGCUAUAUUUACCGACGCCGAGGUGUCGAAAUUCUGCAUCCACAAUCAACUUCCUUGAAGUCCUGUAGAAUUCAACGCAGUCGCCAACAUUACCGGCUGAGUUCAAUCGUUCAAUGAUACUCCUAAAACCAUAAACUUCGUCAAUAUGUCCAUCAUCCUGUAAUUCAUAGCUAAAAGUAUCGGUUAUUGUACUUGAAAAAAUGGUAGAACUCCUAUCGGCCAAGAAAGCAUUGUGGACUCUGUUGGUUUGUCGGGUCAAUAUGACCCGAAACUCUAACGGAAGGGUUUCCAUGCCCGUUUAGAUCAUGUUUUGAUGCUUUCAGUUUGGGGAUCUGAGAUUAUUCUCGAUCGUCUGAAGCUCGUCAAAAGUACUGAUCAAUCUCAUGGCGGUCUCCGUCGAAGUCGAAGAUGAUGAAUUUAAUAAUUCCGCCCGAAUAUUUUGUGUUCUACCAAUUCCAUUCAGACAAUACAAAAGAGAUAUAUAUAUCUGCCUAAAAAUUGAAAACCGAAAAUCAUCUCUGAACAGCAGGCUUUGAAAAUUACUCCUACUAGUAGUUUAUAAAUAUAAAUACUUUGAAGAUUGUAAGAAGUUCAUAGCCAUCCACUAGUAAAAGUACUUACCAUUACUAAUUGAUGUCACGUUACCGCAAUUAGGACGGAGAGAGAAAGUCGGACCAACUCUUUUUUUUUUUCAAAUCAAACAUUAAUUUUUUAUUUCCAAAAUCAAAUCUUAAUUUUUAUUUUCAAAAUAAAAUCAAAUCUUAAUUUUUUAUUUCCAAAAUAAAAUCAAAUCUUAAUUUUUUAUUUCCAAAAUAAAAUCAAAUCUUUCUUAAUUUGAAAAGAGAUUUUUUUUUUUUGAAAAUGAAAUAAAAUAAAAUCUCUCUUUUUUUUUUUUGGCAAAUCAAAUCAAAUCAUUUUUUUUUAUCAUUCACGCAAAAGAUUUAAGUGCAUGAAUAAAAUAAAAUAAAAAUGCAUGAAUUUAAGAGUCAUAUAAUCUCACAGAUCUAAUGAAGGGGAAUUGCCACAUGCCUACGACAUUCUCUAUGAAAAAAAUGAUGAAUUAAGGCAAAACGAGAUCCAAUCAUGUAUUAUUUUUUUUUUGAAAAUAAAAUAAAUCUUAUUUUAUUAUCUUUCAAAAAAAUAAAAUAAAAUCUUAUUUUAUUAUUAUUAUUUUUUAAAAUAAAUAAAUAAAUAAAUAAAACAUUUACUUAUCUUAUUUUUAAGAAGUAAGGAGUCGAUGAGAAUGUCUUGUAUCCAUAUUGAAGCCUUUGAUAAUUCUUUGAGCAAAGAUGAUUAUAGCUUUUUGAUGAUUCUGACAUCUUUUAUAUGAGACAAGUCUUCACAUGCUUCCGAUUUUUAUUUGCCAUAAAGAAAGAAUCCAUUAAAGCUUCACAUGCCAGUUGCCACUCCUCUGUUAGCCAACAAAAAAAAAAAACAUUGUUUUGCUGCUUUAUUUGGGUGUUAUAGCCACAGGCAAGCCUCUUUCUAUCCACGCCGAACCCUACUGAUUCAAUUUUUUAUUAUUUUUUUUUUAUUAAAAAAAAUCAAGAACUUUUGGAACACUUAUAUUUAGAAGAAGCUUGUACGUAUGGGAAUUGAUGAUCCAAAAACCCACAACCCAAUUCUUAAUCUCAGUUUCUUUCUUGCUAAUCUUUCUCAGUUGAUGAACCCUUUGGAUAAUAUUAACGAUCCUCUUAGGAGGUUGCAAUAUUCAGAUCCCACUCAACUACUAGCCAAAAUCCAAAUUUUACAUAACCUAUUGCAGGCCAUAAAUGUGAGUCCUUCUUUCCCAAAUAUUAAAGUAGUAAACGUGAAUAAUCUCUUGGGAUCAUAUAAUUAUCUUAGCCAAUUUGAUGGAGUGAUCACGAGUGAAGCUAUCAACCCCAUGAUUAAUCCUAUCCCCAACAACCGGCCUUUAAUAUAUAUACUCCAAUCCCAAACUCAUUUGGAUUCUUUAGCCCACAAAUAUUUAACAAUGUUAAUAGCUUAAGUGGUGUUGCAUGCAAUAUUACUCAUCAAACUGAAAAUCAGCUUCCGGAAAGUUCCAAUACCAAGGAAAUGGACAGUAUGAAGCCUACAAACAUCCCCUCCGGUUCAACCAACUCUGACAAUAUCUUUGAGGUUUUGGAGAAAUUUGUUGAUUGUGAUCAAGCCAAUAGUACUUCCUUCUUGCUUCUUUUUUUUUUUUAUUCAGGUAACUCUAGUCUUUCUUUUGUCUUCCGAGCCCCAUUACCUUGAUCAUAUCUUGGUUUUUUCCCUCGGAUCAUAAAGAAAGAUUGGUAUUUUUUUUUUCUUGCAGGCCCUCCCUGUUGAACAUUCUGCAGACUUGGGAACAACCAAGGAGGCCCCGUUUCUCAAUAAUUGGGGAAGGGAUCCCCUCUUUUGGUCUUUCCGACGUCUUUUGAGAGCGAGUCUAGACUUAUAAUCGUACAACACUUCCUCCGCCAGAGAAGAAAGGCGUGUUUCUUUAUGUCGCGGCUUGCGGAGGUUUGGGUGACUUCCUCCCUUCCGAUCGCAUUCUCCGCAUGUGCAUAGAGAAACAAGAAUAGCCUUUCAGUCCCUUUCGCUUCCUGUCUGACUCAUCUGACCGCCUUCAAGGAUGGCAACAUUGGACCGACUUCCCGUUGUGUGCUCUUCUUCAUACACAUUCAUUACUACUUGGGGGGGAAUUCACCCCUAUUCUAGAGGAUGUCUCUGCCCUCCACCAGUAGGUCGUACUUCGGUUUGCCCCCUGCACGUGAGUCACACCUUUGGUGGGACAACCGUGCAUAAUUUCUCCAGCAUUGAAAUCUUGCUACAAAUUUCUUAAUGAUUCGCGGAGCACGAUGGUGCAAGCCUUGAACAUAAAAUCCCUAGGAGGGGAGACCUGUAGGGGGCGAGCCCUAGAGAAGCUCUCCCUGGCUAUCUUGGAAAAAAUCUUCUAUCUUAUCCUUCCGAAUAUUACUUUCUUUUGGAAGUUCUCUCAUUUUCAAAAUUAAGAAGUCAACGAGAAGGCACCGAGUGAACAUACUUCAAAUUGGGGUGAACAAGCGAUGAAGGAGAUCUUUCCUCUAGGUACCCGAAUCCUGAGCGGCUUCAUUCUGGAACAUUGAUUAACGAGCUAGGAGAAGUAAAAGGUAAGAGGGGAGAGCCUCUGUAGGUGUUUGAACCCCAGGGGCCGAACCCUAGAAGACUGCCUAUUCCUUCACUCUUUUUUUCCUUCUUCCUUUCACUUGAAUCUUGGUCGUGUCCUAGCUUGGUUCCCCAAUAUAGUUGAUCGGAUACAUCUUCAUAGGACCCUUCUCCAGAUUUUCUUGCUCGAUUGUCUUCUGAGACUUAUUCUCGAAAUGCACAUUCUCUCUCUAUUAUCUGUGAGCAGAAGACUUAGAGGUGUUUUAGUUGUGAAGUUGAUGACUUCUCGAUCCUUCUUGGGCCUUGACAUGUCUCCCUUCCGUGCUAAGCUGGAUCUCUUCACUUUCAGUUAUCAUGUCAUUGCACUUUGUUCGGAGGUCACUUCACGUCCUCAUGAGAAUGACUUUCUUUAUGUAAGGGCCUCAGGAGCUUCAGGACGUCAUGGAUAGAUUGAAGGCCAAGCUUCGGGAAAUUGAUUCAUCUGCCCAAGACCUUAAGGAACUGUUAGCCUGAAGUUCGAAAGGCUCGAGAUACUGCCAUUGUCGACUUGGAGGCUUUAGCUAUGCCCCCAGUUCAGUUUGAUGUAUCAUGACCUUUGGAUCAUGACUUCAUGUAGCUUUUAUUUCUUCCAUCACUUUUGAAGAUAAAGUGUAUUAUCGAGGAUUUCAGGGUCAAGUGUCUCAAUCACUUUUGAAGUUGAAAGUAUAACUCUUUUUUUUUUCUGGAUCGAGGGCUGAUUAAUCAGGUGCCUCAUUACUUUUGAAGUUGAAAGUAUAACUUUUUUGGGUCGAGGGCUGAUUAAUCAGGUGCCUCAUUACUUUUGAAGUAGAAAGUAUAACUUUUUCGAGUCGAGGGCUGAUUAAUCAGGUGCCUCAUUACUUUUGAAGUUGAAAGUAUUUUUUUUUUGGGUCGAGGGCUGAUUAAUCAGGUGCCUCAUUACUUUUGAAGUAGAAAGUAUAACUUUUUCGGGUCGAGGGCUGAUUAAUCAGGUGCCUCAUUACUUUUGAAGUUGAAAGUAUAACUUUUUUGGGUCGAGGGCUAAUUAAUCAGGUGCCUCAUUACUUUUGAAGUAGAAAGUAUAACUUUUUCGGGUCGAGGGCUGAUUAAUCAGGUGCCUCAUUACUUUUGAAGUUGAAACUAUAACUUUUAAGAAAUUUGCUCUGAUCAAAAUUUGAUGUAUUUAUUUAACGAUCAAGAUAUAAUACAUUUUUUUUUCAUUUUCUAGUCUGCUAGGGCAGUAGCUUAUUCAGCAUUAUGCUUCUUAUUAUAGUUCGAUUUCACCUGCCGCUAAUUUUUCAUGAUAAAUUCUCCUCAAAUUACGACAAUUCAUGAUGGAAUGUCCUGGGUAUUGAUGAUACACGCAAAAGUCUGAUCUCUUCUUCAUCUCCUCGGUCACAACAAAUCUGGGUUUUGGAGGCUUCACCAUUCCAUUUUCUACCCAUUUCUCAUACAAAUCUUUAAAUAUCUCCUCACCACAAGUGAUAGCUUCGGGCUCUAGCGAAUUUAUAUUCUUUUUGAUUCUUUCCCUCUUGCCCCCCUGUGGCUCUGACUGAGAGUCUGUCAAAGCCGUAGUAGCUGUCCUCUUACUCUUCCAGGUAGCAAUCGGAUGGUUCACAGAUACUGCCAUAAUUUCUCCAUGGUCCUGUGCAAAGGUGGAAAGUGUCGCAAAGGAAUCACAAGACUUAGUGAUCAAGUGGGGCUUGAAGGCGUCGAGGGCGCCGUUGUUGCAAAUACUCACUAAAUUCUUCUCUUCGAUUGGCUCCACACACUUCCGCGCCUGGGCCCGAAAGGUGGAAAGUGUCGCAAAGGAAUCACAAGACUUAGUGAUCAAGUGGGGCUUGAAGGCGUCGAGGGCGCCGUUAUUGCAAAUACUCACUAAAUUCUUCUCUUCGAUUGGCUCCACACACUUCCGCGCCUGGGCCCGAAAUCUGUCAACAUAAUCAGAUAACUCCUCAUUCGAAUUUUGUUGAAUUCUCAUAAGCUCUAUAAUUGACACUUCCUUCUGAACAUAAAAGAAUUUUUUGAAAAACUGGUGUUUCAUAUCAUCCCAAUCUCGAAUCGAACCCUUCUCCAAAUUGUAGUACCAGCUGAAGGCACCGUUAGUGAGCGUCUUGUUAAACUCCCUCAAUAGAAUAUUGUGGUUGCUCACUUCAUCUAUUCCCAACCACGAGGACAUCGACUCCACAAAUCUUGCAAUAUGCUCUCUCGCAUUCCCUUUCUCUCCACUAUACUUAGGGAACUGAAGUGGAUGUUCAAUGUACCCAGCAGGGUAUGGCUGUCUUCUCACAUGCGCCGGGUAUGGUGGGGUGAAAUCCAGUUCCGCAGGCCUGACUGUCUGUCUACGCAUCUGAUUGAUUACAUCCAUCAUGUCUUCCCUUGUCGCAUAUUGACUGGUUUCUGGAGCCUUUUGGGACGUCAUCGCAUACUGGUUUAUCUGAGGUGUAUGUGGAACACAUGUUGAUGCACACUUGCCUCAUGUAAGAUUGGUUGUACUUGCUGGAUUAUUGGUUGUAUAUGGCUUGGGAUGGUUGGUAUCUGCACUUGUGAAAAUGCUGGGAGUGUAAUCGGGAUGAUGUUUAGCUGAGGCUGGCUAGCUUCCAAUCUAAGUGGUGGUACAUCACCACUGUUCUGGGGCUCCAAGUUGAUGACUGGAAUCGGCUGACUCUCCAUUGCUGGAGGUAUAAUCUGAUUCUCUUUGUUGUUGUUGUUGUUGUCCUCCACUUCUCCUGCUCGUCCCCCUUGCGAACUUCCUGGGAACAUGGUCUUGAAAGUGGGGAUUUGCAUCAACUGCUGGCAAAAAUUCUCCAUUUCUUCUUGCUUUCUCUGCAUCUCUAGCAUCAUGGCCAUCAUCAUCCCUUGCCCUUCUCGUGCUUCUUUCAAUGCUUUAAGCAUCUCCAGUUGCACAGCAUUCGUCUGGUCUCCCCCUGCAUCUUCGCCUUGCCUUCUUGCAUUGGUUUGUUGUUGAUUGGCCAUAUGUGGUGAUGUCGAACUCCCUUCCAAAGCGUCUUCAAUAAUUGGUUGGUCAAAAUCCAGGUUUGCGCCUUGGAAAACUUGAGUUACUUGUCUUGGAACUGGAUCCGGUGACGUAAUGCUAUUUGUUGGUGAAGCAGCUCUUCCUGUAAUUCUCCCACUUCGAGUCGUGGGCAUACCCUUCACGAAUUAUACACCUCCCCAGCAGAGUCGCCAAAGAAAUGUGGGCAAGGAAAUUGUACCUUAGUAGGGUUAGGGUUUCGUGUUGGCUGAGGAGGAGAGAAAUCCACGAAGAGCACGGAAUUGAUUGGUUGAUUGAAGAGGGGAGAACGACAGGUGGGCGAUUACUCCAACGACGUGUGGCAGAACCCCUAGAAUACAGGAACCGUGUUAGGGUAGUAGGGUUUCCAAGAUCCUUCUUGAGUCCUUUGUUCUUGAGAGAAUGUCUAAACCCCUUUUAGUGCUUUUAGGUGGAAUCUCCGAGCCUUUAAGUCACCAAAAAGGGUCCUUUGAUCUUCCGAGAGUCCAAGUCUUGAGUCUAAAGAGAAGUCCCUUUCCCAAUGGAAUGGAAGGGGUAUUUAUAGGGUUUUCUGGAAAGUAGUCAUGUGCGAGGCACAUGCUUUCAGGGAAAUUCCAGAAAUGCCCUUUAGUCAUUAGAAUAAUGCCCAUGUUGCCCUGUCCUUCUAGCCACCAAUCCAAUCCCUCAAUCAAUUCCCACAUCGAGCCGCCUCCACGAGUCUUCUGCCUCGGGACACGUGGAGGCUUCUCCCAGGUCUAGCACAUUUAUUUAUGACUUUUUUGUCUUCAUUCCAUUCGGUUAUGCGAACCCUAAUUUGCACAUUUAAUGAGGUCGUGGAACCCUAAUUGCGCAUUUAAUUCAAUUAGGUCAUGUGAACUCUAAUUUUACACUUGGGCCCACACUAGUAAAUGAUGAUUUUCUUCUAACCAGAAGUAUGAGCAGGUUAAAAGUAGAAGAAUAAGCAUCUCGCAGGCCAAAAAUCAAUAAAAAAACGAAAAGAAGAAAAAGAAAAGAAGAAGACAGCAAUAGCAAGACCAUAUUUUUCUUCUUCUUUCUUUUUAUCUUUUCUUUCUUUCUUUUUUGUUUCUUUUUAGACGGAGGGUUUUAUUUCAUCUUUGAAAAUAAACCUAAGAAUUUAUCAAAGGAAAUAAAGGAUAAACGACAAUACAAAUAUAUAUUUUUAUUUUAUUUUCAAAUAUAUACGCAUGCAUGAUAAAGAUUCACAAUUAUACACACAUAUAUAAUAGGCUACAACCAACAAUCUACUAAACAAUUUGUAAACCAUCGAGGUGUUUUAGUGACAACCUACCGUCUACCAAAUCGUUAUUAGUUAACGAGUUAGUGUAAAUUUUCAUUUUGGAAGCUAGUAUAAACUAUCAUCUCUCAAAUUGUUAUUAGUAGAGGAGCUACGAAUGUAAACUAUCGUCUAACAAACUAUAUUAGCUGAUGAACUAGUGUAAACUAUCAUUUACUAGAUGUAUGAGCAUGUUAAGAGUAGAAGAAUAAGCAUCUCGCAGGUAAAAAAAUAGGAAAAGAAGAAGACAACAAUAACAAGGCCACAUUUUUCUUUUUCUUCCUUUUUAUCUUUUUUUUUCUUUUUUGUUUGUUUUUAGACGGAGGACUUCAUUUCAUCUUUGAAAAUGUGGGUAAAGAAAUUGUACCUUAGGUUUUCAUGUUGGCUGAGGAGGAGAGAAAUCCACGAAGAGUACGGGAUUGAUUGAUGAAUUAAAGAGGGCAGAAGAACAUGUGAUCAAUUACUCUAAUGACAUGUGACAAAACUUUUAGGAUCCGAGAACCUUCUUAGGGUGCCAAAGAUCCAGGGAGUCUUCUAGGGUGUGCUUCGGGUUGAGAGAGAAUCUCCAAGUCUUCAAUCUUUCGAAAAGCCCUCUUCUUCAUAGAAUAGAAGGAGUAUUUAUAGAGUUUCCUGGAAAGUGGUCACAUGACAGACAUAUGACCUCGAGCAAAUUCCAAAAAUACCCUUAGUCACCAGAGUAAUGCCCAGAUCGUCCUGUCUUUCUAGCCACCAAUCCAAUUCCUCAAUCAAUUCUCAAAAUGAGUUGCCUCCAUAAGCCUUUUACCAUGGAGGCUCUUCCUUGAUCUCAUGAUACAAAGCUCUUAUUGCUCAAACCAUGCUUACUUGCUCUUCCUUCUUUAUUUAAGAAUCUCGUCGCCAGAAAUCAUCGGAAGAACUCUGCGCAAGACCCGGGAAGCCGCGUGUUACAAACCAGUCCCACAUCGAAAGAUAUGGAAAAAAAUUAGUCUAUAUAUAAGGAAUUAUGUUACUACCAAUAAUAUACUUUUAAGUCAUGACCUUUUGGGUGAGCCUGUGGUGGGAUAAGAUGACCCAAUAAUAUACUAUUGGGUCAGUGGUUUAAGGCCUUGGGAUUCGGACUUGGGAUUUGACCCAAGAUUUGUUUUGGGCAAUUUUACUCAGGUUGUUACAUAUGGUAUUAGAGCCGACUCUCGAAAGCUCGGGUCGGAUCAUCCGAUCGGGUUGCCGGAAGUGGGGACACGAAACCAGCCGAUAUUAUCCCACAAUGGCUAAAGAGGCAAAGAUCUGUGGAACGUAUAUGUGAUCGAUUUUGAUGGAGAUGUCAAAAAUUUAAGUGGGGUAGUUUAUAACACCUCAGUCCCACAUUGAAAGAUAUGGGAAAUACUAUUGUGCAAUGAUUUAAGCUAUCCAGCUAUAUUGUUAUAGUUUGGAUAUAUUCCAGUAUGAGAAUUAACAAACCCUGAAAUGGGAUAUUUUUAUUGCACUCUGGGAGUGGUGACGUUGAACAUGGAAGUUGUUCUGGAUAAGAUAGUAUUGAUUAAUAAAGGGCAUAUAUAAAGGGCUGAUCAUCCAUCGUGCUCAUAAGAUAAGAUGGUUCACAAAUAAAUUUUUAAGAAAACCUUUUCAAGAAAAGAAAAAGCUUGUUCACGGUCUUAUGACCUCUCAGAUGUUCAAUAUUGAUAUGAUAUUCCAGGAAUAUGAAUGAUUCAAGAUUUAAUUGCUUUACAGUUUUGUUUCACUGUUAAAGCAUGUCUCAAAGAAAACAUUUAAUUAUUGUUAAGAUAUUAAAGAAUGCUAUUACUUAUUGAGCAAUUGAAUGCUCAUUCUUGUUUUGUUAUAAAUGUUUUCAGCUAAUCAGGCUCCAACGGAGGGGUCUAAUAGAGACAAAGGAAAAGGAAAAGCUACUGAGUAGUAGGUAUAUGUUGUAAUAAAUAGUUUAUAUGUUUGUAGAUAUUUAACUAUCAUGUAAUAAGCACUUAAUGGUUACGUACCUGGUAUUAGAAGAACUCUGAUAUAAUAAAUCUAUCAAGUUUGAUAUUAUAUUAUGUUGAAUGCUUGAUAUCUUGAAGCACUGAAUAAGGGUUUAAAAUACCCGAAUUUGGGGGCGUCACACGCCCGAUUCGCCUCCUUUGCGUAUGUUUAACAUGCUCAUACAACUUGUCUAAUACUCCAUUGAUUAAUUCUAAGUAUCAUUAUAUUUCAUAACUUUCAUGUUUAAUAACUUAGAAUAACAUAUUUUAUCGUCAAAAGCAUCCACGUAGUACGAGCAUGCCCGACGCCCUCCGAUCGCCUCCGAUCGAAUGCACAAUAGUCCUAAAAAUAGCCAUUUUAGCCCCUUCUCCCGACCUCAAAUCUCAAAACUUAUAAAAUAAAAGUUUUAGGUCAACUUCUAAUAUUUUCGAAUCAUCUUGAAUCACCUCAAUCAGAGUUCGUAUAAAAAGGUUAUGCAUGUUUUACUAAAGAACGUCAAAGCUGACUUUCUGCACUUUUGGUUCAGCGCCCAUCCUAGGCCUAUUUCCAACGCCCCGGGGCUGGACGGCAGUACGUUCUCAGCCAAAAACUUCAAUUUUCAAAAAUCUUCAGUUUUGAAUGAUUUCAACAUGUCUACUUUGAAAUAUCAUAAAUUUCUCCUCCGAUAUCGAAAUGAGCUCGUUCUUAAUGGGUUGAAAAGCUUGCAACACCCUCUACAAAUUUCUCAGGACAAAAUAAUUUUCUGGAUUCUCUAACAAUCCUUUAAACUUUCUCAAAAGUCCAUCGAGACUAAGAUUUUUAUCAUUCAACAUACUUUACCAAAAUUUUCUGCCAUGACUUCGUUUUAACAUAUUUUUACUCCGUUCCAAUUAGAAUAUCUUCAUAAAUUCCUUAUCUAUAAAUCCUUAUUCCCGAAUUUUAUUUAUUACAACCCUAUCAACAAUAUUAAAAUCCAAUUUAAGUACUCUAAAUAAAUAAUGUCUAUCCUUUAAGCUUUGGCCUACGAUUCCAUUCUUGUUACCACUUCUUAUGCAAUUUAACAAGUUAUUUAUCAUGAUCAAAGCACACAUAACUUUAUUUACUCAAGGUCCUUCAUACUCUUUCAUUAAACAACCAUCGCCAACAACUAAUGAUUCAAGAAAGACUUCACAGAAAUGAAAAGAUGGAUGGUUCUUACCUUCUUAGUUAUUCUUCUUCUUCCUAGCUUAUGCUUUGUUAGCAUGAUAUACAUUGUUGGGCCCUCCAUCUACCAACUUAAGCUUUUAAGAUAAGUUGGUUACUUAACAUGGUAUCAAAGCUUUGGGUGUGCAAGGUCUUGGGUUCGAAUUUUUCCAGCUGCACAAUUAUCUUUCUAUUAAUUUAACAGUGCAAAUGCACUUUAAUUUCUCCCUUCUCUAUAAAAAAAAGUUGCGUUUGAGAGGGAGUGUUAGCAUGAUAUACAUUGUUGGGCCCACCAUGCAUCUAACAGCUUAAGCUUUUAGAUGAGUUGGUUACUUUGCUCUUCUUUCUCUUCUUAUUGGUAUUCGGCCUCUCUAUUUCUCUCUCUCUCUCACUCUCUUGUUUUCUUUCUCUUCUCUCUAGUUUGCCCUCUCUUCCUUUUUUUUUCUUGCAAAUGAAAUGAAUUGGCUAAGUGAAAAAUCCUCUAGAUCAAUUGAAUUCUCCACUAACUAACUCAACCAUACUUCUAAGGUUAGGUUAACUCGUGUAGGGUUAGGGAAUGAUAGGAUGACACUUGUAAGCUUAAUGUUUAAGGAUGACAAGAAGAUAUAAGCUAGCAUUAAAUUAAAUUUUCACCUUGCUAGAUGAGUCACACAUACUCUCCCUUUUGCUUCUUUAAUUGGUUGGAUCACCCCUCCCUUUCUUAGCUCAUAUUUUAAUUAUCCCAUGUGGGAUAAACAUCAAUCCUCUCCCUUAUCUUACUUUUUCACCCAACUUAUCUUUUAUGAGAUAACUACUAAGUCUCAUUCCUUAUCUUUUCUUCGAUAAGCCUUGUCAUUAAUCCUUAUCUCUUCCUUGUUUUCCUUCAACCCAAACUUACCAUAAAUAGAAAGUUUCCAUCUCACCUUCUCUCUUCUCCUUGUCCAUAUUCAAAUCCCCACAUGUUUAAUUCUAGCAAAUGACACUUGCCCUCUUAUAACUUUGGCUCCUAGUUUGGCUCACUUUUUGGCUCAAAGACCAAGCCAUGGCUCCUAUCCUUUGACUCUAAGCUUAAGCCACUCAAACCUUAGGCUCAACCCUUAGCUAAGCCCCUUUAAAUUCCUAACCAAGUCAUUUAAACCUUAGGUUUGGUUAGACUAGAAUUAAUUUAAUUUCUCUUUUUCUUUUAAAUUAGUUAGAUUUCCUAAUUUUUUAGUUACAUUUUUCGUAAUAUGCUUGGUUAGCUGACAAUCCGACUUUUGAUUUUCAAAAAUCCAAUUUCGCCACCAUUCCUUCUUUCCCGAAUAAACGCUAUGUAGUUCUUCGAAAUUUUAAAAAAAACGAAGUUGGGUUUUUAGCGUGAAUAGUUUUUUUUCAUACGACUUUUUCUAGAAAAAUAUUUUAUUAGAGAUUUCAUCUCGCCUUCUCAAAUAAACACUAUGAUGUAAUUCAAAAUUCUCGAAAAAGUAUGUUUAUUAGCGUUUUUCUGUGAUUUUAAAAAUAGUAACUUUUUCGUCUUUUUCUCGAAAAAAUUAUAUUCUCCCAAAACUCCCAACACUUAUACAUAAUCACGUAACACGUAAACUAGGUCAUUAAUCGACCUAAAUCAUGUAACACAUAAUAAUAUCUAUAAAAUUUUAUUUUAUUAGAUAUUCACAAAUAAAACCUAUUUUCAAGCCUAUCUGAAUUCUCGGGUCGUCACAUAGUAUUUAUAGAGUUUCAUGGAAAGUGUUCACAUGCCAGGAACAUGACCUCAUGGAAAUUCAAGAAAUACCCUUAGUCACCAGAGUUAUGCCUAGAUCAUCUUGUCCUUCUAACCACCAUGCAAUCCAAUCCCUCAAUCAAUUUCAAAAAUGAGUUGCCUCCAUAAGCCUUCUGCCUUGGGACCCAUGGAGGCUCCUCCUCGAUCUCAUGCUUCAAAGCAAUUGUUGCUCAAACCAUACUUUCUUACUAUUCCUUCUUUAUUUGAGAAUCUCGUCGAUGGAAAUCCUCGGAAGAACUCUGCGCAAGAACCAGGAGGCCGCGCCUUAGGGGGGCAAUCCUUAGGGGGCGGAACCCUAGGGAGCUGAACCCUAGGGGGGCCUCCUUCAGUUCUUUUCGUUCGUUUCAACCUUUCUUGGUCAGUUUUCAUCAUUUUCUCAUGAUUCUUGGUCCUGUAAGAAGCCUUUCUUGUCAUAGAGAUUAUAAGGCUAAUCAUUAUUUGGAGUUUCACAAGAUUUUAGUUUAUUUUUGUAGUCCAGGCUUAUUUCUUUGUCAUUGCAUCGAUGAAACCCCUUCUAGCAUGCCAAUCGAGAAAAUGAGGUAGCAUAUGCCCUAGGGUGCCGAACCCUAAGAGGUAAUUUAGAUUUCUUUUGUCCAUCUUUUGUCUGUUUUCCUUUUUUCAUUACGAUAGUUCCAACCAAAUCCAGUCGGAGAAGAAAUUGGUUUUAUCUUUUCUUUAAGGAGAAGUCAUCUUGGAGUGGUUGAACCAUAGGGUGGCCGAACCCUAAGGGGCCAAAAUCCUAGGAUUUUUCCCUUUUUGCUGAUUUAAUGCUUCGUUCAUUAAUUGAAGUCUUGUUCAUUUACUUUCGUCUUUUCAUUUAAUUCAAUUAAAUCAUAUGUAAACCCUAAUUUGUACUUGGGCUCACAGAAAAUAAACCUAAGAAUUCAUCAAAGGAAAUAAAAGAUAAAUGACAAUACAAAUAUUGCGUUUUGUUUUGUCUUAUUUUUUUAAUUUUAUUUUCAAAUAUAUACGCAUGCAUGAUAAAGAUUCACAAUUAUGUAUAUAUAUAUAUACAUAUAGAUACAUAAUAUGGUAAAUAAUAGGUGGUAGUUGUUUUAUUUAUAAUAUGGUAAAUAAUAGGUGGUAGUUGAUUUAUUUAUUACAUGCUAAUAACAGCCAUGAGUUGAUAGUUGAUUUAUUUAUUAUAUGCUAAUAACAGCUAUCAGUUAUUGGUUGAUUUAUUUAUAUAUCGUGCUAAUAACAACCAUCAACUUGUAUAUAGUUUCUUGAUUUACUGCUGAUCGGAAGAUUACUGAUCGUUCAUUUAGGCGUUGGUGGGACUAAUGUUAACACCAUAGAUAACUAAACCCGUCUUCAUAGUCACGCUUUCAGUCCCGUCAAGAGCAAAUUUGAUAUCUCCAUAGUCAAACUUAUUGAAGAAUUCCCCAGCUUUGAGCGAAAAUGGUGUGUUUCUCGGAUAAUUCAUCAAUCCAUAUCCGUUCACUUGCGAGGAUCCAUUCGGAAGAGUAAGUGUAAGACUCACCGGACUUGCUAUGUUAAAGUUGUCUUUCAGCAGCACCACAAAAGAUACCUCAUAAGAUAAAUUUUCAAGCUUUUCUGUCAUAUAGUUUCCGUCAACAUGUAGGACUAAGCUACCAAUUAAUUCAGCACUGUCAGGACUGUAAAAAAUGAUAGUAGAAUUAAAGUCAGAAACUUUUGAUAUAAGGAGCUUAAAUUCAUUAAUAUAGUACAAUUAAUGCGAGUCCUUCUAUCUAACUAGACUUCAAUAAAAUUUCUUUAGUCCUUCUAUCACUUUAAUUUAAUGACAAAGUUGCUUAUAUCCCUAUUUUUAACUGAAUAAAAUUCAGGUGUUUAAGCACAAAUCUUGACCUUUGACGUCAAUUAAGUUAACUAAAUCUUAUUUCUACUUACGUAAACUUCCAGCCCGAAGGGUUGAAAUAAUUGAGUUUCUCAGCAGGUAUAUAAGCGCCAGAACUUUGAAUAAGACAAGAAAAAAAAAUUCAUAUCAUCCAUUACAAAAAAAUCUCACUUGCAAAAUUUACAAAUAUUAAGGAUUAUUUUUGUUCUAUAACCAACUUUAGCUAUAUAUAUGAUGUUUGUUUACAAUUUCAGUAGACUUACCUUCUGCCCUAUUCCGUUGUUUUGGAGCAACUCCAUUUCCUUGGCUUGGGACAACAAUGCCUUGAGGUCAACCUCAUUAUGCCUCACUACUUGUGCCAUCUCCUCGAUCGAUCGAUAACUAUCCUUUAAUUCUGCUAUAUAUAUAUAUAUAUAUAUAUUUUCUGUUUCUAUUCUUGAUGUCUAUAUAUCUCUCUUCCAAAGGCUAGCUCUAUUUAUACUGGCACAAACAGAGGGUACUGCGAUUAUUAUAUUCCAUAAUAUCCUAUCUUCAAAUAUUCCUUCCCUUUUCACAGUAGGGAUCCGAUCCCGAUAAGUUUAACAUCAGCAUCAUCAUCAUCACCAAGGAUAUAGAGCAGCCGAUUCUGUUUGAUAAUUUUGUUGGAAUAAUUCUUUUCCAUUUCUCAGUUCAAUAAUUCUUUCUUUAGCUUGUUGCGCAGGCAAAAUUCCAUGAAGGCGAAAGGUACGUAGGCAUCCUAGUAAAUGAUGAUUUUCUUCUAACCAGAAGUAUGAGCAGGUUAAAAGUAGAAGAAUAAGCAUCUCGCAGGCCAAAAAUAAAAAAAAAAUCGAAAAGAAGAAAAAGAAAAGAAGCCACCAAUAGCAAGACCACAUUUUUCUUUUUCUUUCCUUUUUAUCUAUUCUUUCUUUGAUUCUUUUUUAUAAUUUUUUUUAGAUGGAGUCUUUGAAAAUAAGCAUAAGAAUUCAUUAAAGGAAAUAAAAGUGUUGAAAGUUGUCUUGCAUUAGUCUUCUCCAAAUUCUGUUCCCCUUAGACUUUAGAAUUUAGCCUUUCCCAAAAUUCUGUUCCCCUCAGAUUUCGGAAUUUUGCUUUCCUCAUUUCUUGUUCUCCUCUCCAGAUUUCUCCUAUAAAAGGGAGCUUUGGUGUAAGACCCCAACUUUUAUGAAUAAAGACGAAUUUUUCUAUAAAUAUAAUUUUUGAUUAUUAAGAUGUGAAUUUGAAAAAAUAUUAUAGUUGUGAGUAAUAUUUAAAAAUUUUACAAAGUAAACAAGGUGUUAUAAAAUAUUCGGUUGGUCGAGGAAUAUUCGUUUUAACAGGGAAUAUUCAUACGACGACACAAUCAUUGGUGGACCCCACAACGAAAGUAUUGUCGGAGUUAGAAAACGACAGAAAUAUCUUAUUAUGAAAAUAAUGGCGAAAAUUUUACCGUUAACUGUUGAAAUACCCGUUAGUAAAAGUACAGUAAUACGUAUGGUUGCAUAGUAGUACACGGUAUUAAUUAUUGAUGCUUACGUGAGAAGUCACUCAGUUAUACUCAAUUAUUGUUACAGUAAUUGUUGUAUCAUAUCUCUUAUAUUAUUGAUUCAAUUAUUGUCAGUAUCAUCUGCAUAAUAUUUUAUAUUAUUAAAUCAAUAAUUGAGACGAUAAAGUUAUUCAUAUUAUUAUUUACAAUAUUGACGAUGUCUAGAAGUUCUGUCAAGGAGAGGUUAGGUCAUUUAAUUGCGCGCCAAUAGGGAGAAAUCCUUAUCGGAAAGCCCCUCUUUCCUGAAAACGAUCUGGUUGUUAAUAUUGCGAGUUAUAAUAAUGAUGAAUAAAUUGAAGGAAUUUUAUGAAAUAUUUGUUGUAAGUUUUGCUUAUUAUAUGGACCCCCAUUUAACCAUUUUUCAAAAUAAUCGGUAAAAAAUUAUUCAGUAUUUUUUUUAAUAAAAAAGGUGGGGCCACAUGUGGGGCCCACUGAAAGAAAAAUGGGGGGGGGGAGAUGUUUAUGUUUGUCAUGGGUGAAGGUUUGAUUAUAUAUAUAUAUAUAUAUAUAUAUAUAUAUAUAUAUUAUAAUAAGUCUUUUUUUUAUGAAAAAUAGAAUAUAUUAAAUUUUAUUUGCAUAGUAUUUUACUAUGCAGUGCACAGUAAAGUUUUGUGAAUUAGAAAUUCGGCGCCCGUGAAAUUUUCGAUUGUUUUGUCCGUGAGAAUUUCAAACAGUACCCCUUCCAUCAUCCUAUAAAUAUGACGCUUAUUUUGAAUUGAAAAUCACACAAGAAUCAGAGAAUUUUUUUCUAUAAUAUUGAGUAUAUUUCUUUCGAGUUUUAGAAAGUUUUGAGUGUAGAAAACAGUGAAAGUUUUUUUCAAGAAUAUCCCCGCUAUACCAGUCGAAAUACUCUUCUUAGGAUGUUUUUUUGUUCAAUAUUCGUAUGAAAUAAUAUUUUCUUCCAUACUCUGUAGUAUGUAAAUAAUAUUAUUUCGUUUUAGAUUUCGAAUUCUAUAUCCAUUUUGUUAAAGUUUUGGCUCCUAUACUCCAUGAAAUUAGUAGAAUAUCCUUAAAAUUUGCGUUUCAUCCAGUAUCUUUUCAUGGAAAUAUUAUUCUGAGCAUUCUUGAUAAGUUUUAAUUUUUUCAUGCCAGAGUACUAUAUACGGGGUACUAUUCUCAAAUUACUAUUCACGGGGUACUAUUCACUCGGUUACUAUUCAUCCGAGGCACUAUUCAUGACAAAAAUUAAUUUUUUUUCGGUCCAAAUCAUUUUUGUUACAAUAUUAUUCGUGAAUUUUACUCCAUAAUGCAGUAUCAUAUUGACAAUUUGGACAUUAUUAAAUUAUGGAUAAAUUAAAUUAUAAAUCUUUAAAAAUUUAUCUUUUGCUUUCAUUUAAUUGAAUUCUUAUAUCAUUGUCAUCAUCCUGAUGCUUAUAUUAUAAUGAAAGUCAUUUGUGGCCCGUAGUGCAUAGAUGGACUUGGUAUGAUUAUGACCAGGGAUUAUUUGGUAUAAUCAUGACUGUAAUAUUACAAAUGAUGUGGUAAAAGUCCUCAUUGGCCCGUAGUGCAUUGAUGAACAGUUGUUUUCAUGAUCAUGACCAUUGAUGAAAACACGAAUAUCUUUGGCCCGUAGUGCAUGAAUAAUUUGUGGUUGUGAUACUAAAGAAUAUCCUUGGCCCGUAGUGUAUGGAUAAUUCAGUGAUGUGUAUUAUUUAUUAAGCUGAGUCUCAGCGAUACAAUUGAUGAUAAACCUUUUAAAUAAUAGAAGAUAGUAGAUUUUAUGCUCUACUUAACUCUUCUAAUAGAUUGCUUGUUCCUCUGCAAUUAAACUUGAUGUUUAUUAUAUUUUAUCAGUUUAACAUUGUUGAAGGCUAAUGAUAAUUUAUUCUGUGUUAUCUUAGUCAUAAUAUUUCUUACUGGCUAGUUGAGCUCACCCUUUACUUUCAUUGUUCUCUUCAGGAAAUGAGAAUAUAGCUGGGAUCGACUAGUCGGGGAACGGAGUGACGGUCCAAAUGAUAACAUUAGUAGUCCUCACUAUUCUGUGAAAUAGUGUGAUAAUAAAUGUAAUGAGGACUUAUUUUGAGUUUGAAUACUGUCUAGAAGACAAUAUUUGUAUUAAAACUCACAACUCAUGUUAUAUAUUUAAGUUUAUAUUUGUAUUCUGUACCAUGUAUUUAACGAUUCAAAAUGGGUGAUGUAUACCUAUUCUGGGGGCGUCACAGUUGGUAUCAAAGCUUGGGGAUAUGAUCCCUGGCUGAGAUGAGAGACUAGAACUAGGAGGGGAGAGUCAGGUAAUUCCUUUGCUAGUAUGACCUACCUAAGUUUAUUUGUUAUUUAAUUAGUCGGUCAGAAUAUAGGGAUAAUAUGUUGCAUGUCAAUUAACCCUUGUUUUGUGGCAGUAUUUGAAAAUGACAUCCGAGAAUGUUGAGAAUAGCAAUGGAGUACAUGAGACCGUUGAAUCACCAACGAUCAAUAACCAGGAUAAUGUGCAUCAGGAAGGCAAUAAUCCUCAUGCAAACAAUAACUCCAACAAAAUAAUGAACGACAAAAUGUUUAUGAGCUUUCUUCAAUUCAUGCAACAUCAGGCAAGAGAGACUCCUGUUCAAAAUGUAGGUGGAAAUACCGGCAACUCUCGAACGGUCACCGCUAAGCAAUUCAAGGAGCUGGGACCACCGAAGUUUUUGGGAAAGCCAAAACCACUUAAGGCGGAGACAUGGUUAAAGCAGAUCACUAAGAUAUUUGAUGUCUUUGGAUGCUCCGAGGAGCAAAAGGUUCCCUUUGCCACCUUCAUGUUGCGAGGAGAGGCAGAUCAUUGGUGGAAAUCUGUAAAAUGUACCCAGCUUGCCACAUUAAAGAUGUCUUGGGAGAAGUUUCAAGAACUGUUCAACGACAAGUACUUUUUCGAAAGUAUUCGUUAGAUGAAGGAGGUGGAGUUCAUCAGGUUGGAAUAAAACAAUAUGACCAAGACGCAGUACGAGGCUAAGUUUGCGGAGUUAUCCCGGUUUGCAUCUCAUUUGGUUGUUAAUGAGGAGAGAAUGACGCGGAUAUUUUUAAGAGGUUUGAAACCUGAGAUAUGUCAAUAUCUCAUUCUCACAAACUUUGCUUGUAUUCAGAUGUUGUGAAUAUUGUAAUAACUCGAUAUUUUCUAUAUAAUUAAAUCAGAAAUUUUACGUAUGAAUUUUUUUAUUUAAUUAUUAAAGUUGGAAAUAUGUGCCAGGUAAUGUGUAUAUGUAUAUAUGUGAUAAAUAAAAUAUAUUUAUUACAUGAAUAAUUACCAAUAGUUUUAUUUUAGAAUUAUUGCUCAUUAUAAAUUAUAUUAUAAUAAUAAUUAGUUUUAUACUAAAAAUGUUUUCAUUAAUUCUAUUCUAUGAAAAUAUGUUUAUAUAUUAUUUAAAAAUUAUAUGAAAUGAUUAUAUAAUUAUUAUAAUGAUUAUUCUAUUUUAUUAUAUGAAUUUAGUUCAGAUUAUUUAAGUUAAUUAUUUUAACUUAAUUAUUAUUGUUAUGUAUGCAAGAUAAAUCAGAUAUGGAAUCCAAACCCUAAUUUUGGAUUUUGAACAAGGAAUGAGAAUAUUAAUAUAAUAUUAAUUAUAUUUUUAUUUUUCAGUGCUAUAAAUAUAUAUGUUAUGUUUGUAAGGUUAAUCUGGGGAGCAAUUUUCUUAUGACCUGAUAAAACCCUAAUUUGAAAGUCAAUUACGACUGUAAAAUUUGUUAAGUCAUUGUGAUAUGUGGUCUAUGAUUUGUAUUAUAAGUAUUAAUGUUAAUUCUAUAAAACCCUAAUUAGUAAUUUAAAACUCUAUUUUUCUUAAAUUAGGAACCCUAAACAGUACUUAGCUAUCCGCUAAGUGAAAACCCUAAUUUAAAACUCAGCUAUGAGUCGAGACUGUUAUGUAACUGUAUUAUUAUGUUUAAGGUUAAGUAUUAUAGAAUUUUAUAUUAAUUAAAGAAACCCUAAUUAACAUUUAGAAAUUCUAAUUUCUAGAAACCCUAAUUUCUAAAUUAGUAACCCUAAUUUGCUAAAACAAAACUCUAAUUGUUAAUUUGGCACGCUUAAUGAUAAUUAGUAAAAUUUAAACCUAAUUUUCAAGUCUAUGUAAUGAGGAAACCAAAUUAAUUAUGAAACCUUAAUUUGUAUUUUUAGAAACUAAAAAUUUCAAUUUUUUUAAAAUUAGAAAUCCUAUAACACUUUGUGCUAACCCUAAGGGUCAAACCCUAAGGGUUUGAUAAGUUACUAGUUUGCCCUUAAAUUGAUUAGCCAAAUGACAAAAAUACCCCUCUUGCAUUAUUGGACAUAACUUGUAAGACUAGCCAAUUUUGAGUUGCUCAACAACUCUUACCAGCCCCAUGUGACUAAAAUGCCAGCAAUCAAGCUCUAGAUAUCAGCCAACUUGAUUUCAUGUUUUAUAUAUAUAGACAUCAAGAGAGAGAAAUUUCAUUUAUUAGCCACAUUUGUACACAAACUCCUUACCAACUCUCUCUCCCAAAACCCAUGAAAUGUUGUAGUAGAUCAGUCCCGUAUUGAAGCCCCACUAACACACUUAAGCAAAUCAGCAGCCAGAAUCAAGAAUUGAUGCUUAAAGGUAUAAAAUCCUAAGUCAAAUUUUGAUCUUGUAUGCUAUAUUGGAUUUGUGGUUUUAAUGUUUAAUCAUGUUGAAUAAGGUGUUAAUAGGUGAUCUGGGUUGGCACAUGUUAGAUCCAUAACAUCAAAGUGCUCGAAAUCUAAGUUUUUCAAAAUAUGGAAAUUUUUGUUUUUGUUGUCUGACAGCGAAUGUCAGGCCUUGUAGAUCUGUGCUUAUUUAUUAUUUUGAUGAUUUAAAUGUUUGAAGUGGUAGUCUGGUAUGAGGUCUUUCAUAUGAAAAUGGAAUCACUGUUAUUGGAUGUCUAGAUCGAAAAUUAUUGAUGGUCAAAGGUCGUUGACUGACCAUGACCGAGUAUGAAUCUGGGCAACCUUGAAAGCUUUUUCAGCGUCUGAAAAUGUUUUGGAAGGCUUAGAUCUGUCAGUGUGUAAAUGAUUUGAUGAUGUUAUAAUAUCCAGUUUAUAGCUUGUCAUAUGUAAUUUAUAUUUGUGGCUUUAUAUCCUUUAAACAAACAAUUGAUCGAACUUAGUGGAUGGUCAAACCUGGCCCCUCGGUCACGAUUUCAUUUCUGGGAAUUUCCAGAAAAUCGAAAGAACAGCCCUCUGACAGGGUUUGACCGAGUAAUAUCUUGUAGAUCUGUUGAUGUUAAACUGAUUUGUUGUUAUAUUAUUGUUCCUGGACAUAAGGACUACAUCUUUGAGGCAUUAGAUCACUUGAAUCAUGAACGGAACCUAGAUUAAAUCGAGGAUGAAAGUGACUGGUCGACCACCUGGGUUUCUGGAAAACCCAGGAAUGCUCUGACAACAUAUUUGCAAGCCUAGAUCUCCUUGUGUGUUUGUUGUAUGACCUAGAUAUUGAUUGCUAGUUAUAGUGUUGUAUAAUGACUUCAAUAUUGAUGCUUAAGUUUGCCCAAAAACGAAUUAGACAGAGAAUUAUUAGUGGUCAAAGUUGACCCCUCAAACACGAAGCUGUCAGUGUUCUUGAGCUCAAGAACACCAACAGCGACGCUUAGUGUCACUAAAGGCCAAUAGCGAUGGUUUCUAAUAUUUUUAAUUUCUGAUUUUCUAGAAAAUACUUAAAAAUAGAAAAUAAAUUAUAAAAAUUACAAAAAUGGUUUUAAAAAUUAUUUUAAAUUAUGAAAAUUAACUUUUAAUUAUUUGGGAUAUUUUUUAUUAAUAUUUAUAAUUAUUUGAAUAUUAUUAAUAUUUAAUUUAUUUAAUUAGUGUAUUAAAUAAAUUAGAGAAAAAUGAUUUUAAUGUUAUAAAAAUCAAUUUAAAUAAGAAUAAAGUGUUUAAAAAUAUUUUUGAGUUAUAUAUGUAACUUUUAAUAUUUUUGUGAUGAAUUUCAUUAAUUAAUUAAUAUUAAUGAUAAUUAAGUUAUUUAAUAAAUGUAUUAAAUAAAUUAUGAAAAAUAGAAAUUAUGAUUUAAAAAUCAUAUAAAAGUGAUUUAAAGAUUAUAAAAAAAUAUUUUAAGUUAUAAAAUAUAACUUUUGAUAUUUUGUCAUGAAAAAUAUUAAUAAUUUUAUAUUAAUAAUAUUAGAUUUAUUUAAUGAUUAUAUUAAAUAAUUUAGUUUAAAAUGAUUUUAUUAUUAUAAAAUUAUUUUAAAUGAAAAUAAAGUGUUUAAAGAUAUUUUAAGUUAUAAAAUAUAACUUUUAAUAUUUAAAGGAUAAUUUCAUUAAUAAUUUAAUAUUAAUGAUAUUAAUUUAAGAUUUAUUGAUAUUAAAUUUAUUCAAUAAUUAUAUUAAAUAAAUAGUUUUAAAAUGGUUUUAUUAGUUUAAAAAUUAUUUAAAAAGGAUAUAAAUGAAUUAAAAAUAUUUUAAGUUAGAAUUAAUAACGUUUAAUAUUUGGAUAAAUAGUAGAUUAAUAUUUUAAUAUUAAUGGUAAUUAUUUAAAAAUGAUUUUAAAUGUUUAAAAAAUUAUUUAAGGGUAAUAUUAGCACUUUAAAAAUAUUUUGAGUUAUUAUUAAUAACUUUAAUAUUUUGGCAAUGGUUUCAUUAAUAGUUUAAUAUUAAUUAAAUAUUAAUGAUAAUAUGAUUAUUUACUAUUUAAAUCAUUUAAUUAUGAUUCUAGUGUUUGAAAAUUCAUAAUAAAUUAUAAUAAAUGUUUAAAAAUUAUUAUAAGUCAUUUAAAAAUAAUAUGACUGAUAUUUGUAGAUAUUGAGAUACAGGAUAGAGUCUUAGACUCGAUAUUUACCUGAUAAAGCCGUCGGUAGACCGACAUGUUUCAAAAAUUGAUCUAGACUUAGAUAUUUUGACUGUAUUAAUAUUUGUUUGUGAUUCAAUGACUGUUGAAUAUGUGUGACAAUGUGAUUAGGUUAUAUGCUGACUGCAAUAAGCAGUGCUAUGUUAUUCUAAUCGAACGAAUGAUCUUAUUAAUGAUAGAUUUUGGUAUUAAAGAUAAAACUAAGUUGCGUAUUGUAAGCAGCAGACCAGGCAAGUAUCAUAUAUUUGCAUUUUGUUUAUGUGACGCCCCCAAAUCCGGGUUAUCUUUAACUCGGGUUUGGUGCUUACGAUUCUAGAAUACCCAUUCAUACUAAAAAUAAAACUGUCUUAUAUUACAUAAACAUUGAACUUAAAUCCCAGGUUCUAGAGACCUUUACAUACAAGCCAAAUAUUAUUACAUCAUAGUGCUACAGUAUUUAUUACAUGCACUACUUAGGUUCAUUUAAGCACAUGCGCUUAAUAAUUGACUACUCAACAACCUUGCCCUUUCCUUUGUCUUUUCCAGAUGGACCGGCAACCUCAAUUUUAACUGAAAACAUUAUAUUUAACGCAAGGGUGGGCAACAAGUUUGCCCAGCAAGGAAAUAAGCAGCUAAAUAUAAGAGAACAAAAAUAUUACAGUAAUGGGGAUAUCAUACAGAAGGUAUAGAACAAAGUAAUUCUUAAGAGUGUUGAGUCAAAAGUCAGGAUUUAUCAUGCUGUAAGGUCAAAUGACCAGUGAACACUAUACUAGAAUUUACAGUAAUAAUACUGCAAUCUAUGAAUACAAACAGUUAUAAAGCUGUUUUAUAUCCUAGACUCGUACUUCAGGGGAUCAGCCUAAGUACCCUAUAUUGUGCACAACAUAACAGUCUAAUAAAACUUUACAUGUCCUUCAGAAUCAUAUAUACGGUACAAUACGCCCCUAAAAAAGGGUUGUUCGUUCACAGCAUUAUAUAAGAAUCCAUACCACAAUAACAAAAUGGUUUGGAAAGAAUUAACUGAUAAAUUCAUAAACAAUAUCAAUAUAUCUCAACCUUUGUCCAAGCGAAGUAAUGGUAUUGACAUACUUUCAAUAUAACUUUUAUUCAAGAUAGAAAAGUUGAUAUACUAUUCUUUUGAAGCUGAUUGGAAUAAAAAGGCUAUUUAACCUUAUAUUAUUCAUAAAUAAGGACAAACAGUUCAGAAAUUAAAGAACCUGUCCACUGCAGAAUAUUUGCUCAAUAAAGAGUAAGGAUUAGAAACUUGCCUUGUUUGUAGUCUAUCGUUUAGGAUUUCAGCUUAAUUGAAGUAUUUCUCAAAGUCCUACACAGUUAUUUGUAUUAACAAGCAUGUUAAUCACAUAGCUAUGUUAUAUAGUUUGUAAGCUCACAUAUCACAUAAUUUCAGUGAUUAUGGUUGUAGUUAAAUUAUUAUUUUUGAUACAUUUUUCAAAUAUCUCAUCCAUGCUUUCAAGAGACAUUUUUCACUUUGAUGGGUUUCAACAAGCUUUCAACAAGUAAUAGAAAUCAUAUUACAGUCAUCAUUUGCAUUAACCAAGUAUGUUAGCCACAUAGCUAAGUCAUAUAUCAUGUAGUUUUAAUGGUCAUGGUUAGAUUUCCUAUAUUUGAUACAUUUUUCAAAUACCUCAUCCAUGCUUUCAAGAGACAUUUUUCACUUUAUUAGUGUUCAAUAUGCAAUACUUUACAACUACCAUCUCCAUUUCCUUAGUAACAUAGUAUAUAAUCAUUUUAUGUUUCCUUUACUUAAUUUCUAGCAUAUAAGGUGUUUUCAUAGCUUAUUGUCGGUUUUGAAGGUAUUUCUUAUAUGUAUGGUUAACCUAUAGUCUUCCUCAUAGUUUAUAGAUUCAUUUUGACACACCAGUGUAUCAAUUAUCACUGUUUUCACCUAUGAUGCUAAAACAGCCCUUUGAGGCUUUAAUUUUUUUAAACAUGACUUAAUGAUCCCAAUUUAGGUUUACUGUUUAUAUUAGAUUUCAUUUAGAAUUUUUCUCCUACACUUGCUUGCAUCAUAACUCUACUCAUUUAGAGAAACAUAAUCUAUCCUUUAUAGAUAAUCUGGUUACUAAAACUAAAUUUGGAUUCAAACAUGAAUUUUACAAAACAGUCAUUAUUGUAGCUGCUAUACCACAACUGUUGUUUCCCAUUCUACUUGUUGUGGCUAUUGGUAUCAGCUAUAUGCUGCCACUAUUAGGCAGUAAGUCACAUCACUCAUGCCCAAAAAUGCUUCUAAAUUAACCUUUUCAGCUGGCUUUGCAGGCUUUGCAGCCCUUAAUUGAGCCUUACAGCUCAAUAAUCUCUGUAACACAUUUCAGUUAUUAGUCUUAUCUUAUAACUUGCUAUUCCAUUAACAUUUUCUAUGUAUGAAUGCACUGCCAACUGCUACUGCUGGUGUUGCUGUUGCUGCCAAUGGGCAGCGACUAUUAUUUUCUUACCAUAAGCUGUUUGGUCUGUUUCAAGUGCUGCAGUCACAUGUCAUCAUGCUCCAUCAACUAGAGUAAACAAAAAUGCAUGAACUUAACUUACUAACUGCAGCCCAAGAAAAACAAACUCAGCUGUCAAAAUGACAGUGCAGUCAUCUACUUGAAGUUGCCAAGGACAACAGCUAUCCGAAGCUUUUUGCUACUGUCAUUAGCAGCCUCCCUUGCUCCUUAACCCAUUCCCAACAAUCCUCUAACCUCAGUUUUGCUAUAUUUCUAGGAAUAGGCCUCAUGGCUAUAAUCUUUUAGAGUUAUAAGGUUAUCCCAGUUGGCCUAUUAAGCUUUGGCUCCUUGGUUUAGUGACUGUUUCAACAGAGUAGGCAAAGGAGUUUGUCAAGCUAGAAUUACUUAGCCUAAAAACUGAACUAUGCUAAAAAUUUCUAUGCCAAAACAUUACAGUCAUCACAUAUGUUGGGUAAAUCAGGUAAAUAGUGUACUAGUUCUACUAUUCAGUUUCUUUUUACUAAAACAGUCCUCUUAGGUCUUUUAUCAAACAGUUGGUGGGCAUGGUUAUAAGCUACUAGUUCCAUAGCCAUUUGUUUAUAUUCCAACUCAUAUUUUCCCCUUAUUACUCCACAGCCCACUUAUCUCCUUGUGCUUAAAUUAUAACAAUAUCAUAAUGGCAUAACAAUCAAUGAAAUGUUACAACAGUUUAUAUAUAGCAGCUUAACACCCACAUAGCAGUCCUCAAAUCCAUACUAGGCCUUUUAGGCUAAAUGAUCAAAACAGUCCUUAAGUUUUUAACACAAGGAUUAAUAUAACAUGUACAUACUAUGUUUUAUGGUUUAAAGACCCCAAUACCAACCAUCCUGUCUUGACACUAUAACAGCUUUAGACUAGCAAUUUGGUCAUGGUUUAUCACACCAAACCAAUAGCAAGCACUGAUAUGUAUGCCUUUCUAACACUAAAACAUUUUACCUACCAUAUUUUCAUGGUUUAAAGCAUCUAGAGGCAAGGUCCUUAAGUUUAAAAUCAAAACAGCCUCUCAUAGGCUUUUAAAGUAAUAUAAGAUAGCAUGCUUGGGCAACAUGAAAACAAGGACUGCCUACUAUGAAUAUAUUAGAAGUAAGGCAUGAUCAUCAUAAUAAACUUCUAAUAACAGUCCACAUAAUGCAAUAACAGUUCAUAUAAGGCAAUAAUAAUUUAUAUAGCAACUAAAGUCCUUCUAACAGUCAUUUAUGCUUAUUCUAGUCACCACAACAAGUAUACUGUCUUAGUCCAUUCUGUAUACUAGUUCUGGGCAUGGUAAUAUAUUUUACAAUCAUAAAUAACCAACCAUCUUGGACUCCUUUCCAGCCACACUGUUUUGCCAUUAUAGCAGUUUUAGACUAGCACCUUAGGCACAGUUCAUCACAGCAAAACAGUAGCAACAUAGCAUAGCGUAUCAGUCCAGUUAUUACAAUAACAGUUGGUAUAUCACAAGGAUGAUGCUACAGCUAUUCAAGUCUCUUUUAGGCCAUUUUGGCAAGGUUUUAGUAAUAAGUUAUCAAAGCGGUCAUUAGUGUGCAAUACAAAGAUUAUUACCUCAUGUACAUGCUAUAGAAUAUAUGUUCAUGUUUUAAGAGCCUAUAUACAAGGUUUCUUGCUGUUAGUUCAUAACAAUCCCUUAUAGGCUUCAAUUUAAUACACGGAAGCAUGAUCUGAAAAAUUUAGUUAUCAAAAUAACAUGUUUAAACAUAAACAUAUACUCGAGGUAUUCUUUUUCUUUCUAUAUAAUCAAGUAGACAUGCUAUUAGGCUCUAUUUACAGCUAGCAUACCUUGAUACCAUAACAGUCCAAUUAGAGCAAUAUUUUAGGCAUGGUCUAUUACAACAAAAUGGUAGCAAGCACUGACAUGUUUUCCUUUCUAACACAGGCACCUUUUAUUUAUCAUAUAUUCAUGAUUUAAAACAUCUAAAGGCAAAAUCUCUUUGCUUUAAGCCAACACAGCCCUCUUUAGGACCCACUUUCCAAAAAUAACCAUGGUUUACCCUUAUGUUUACAAGGAUAACAUGGAUGUGCAACAUAGAAGUUUAGACUAUCUUCUUUAUAUGGUAUUUAAGAUGCAAAAAUAUAUUUGGAUGUCAUAGAAUGCCUUACCCCAUAUAUAUCAGUCCUUAUUAAGCCUCAAAUCUAGCAUACCAGUUUCUCAGAAUAGUGGCCAAGUCUUGGUUAAUUGCUUAGAUUACAUAUAUGCUAGUAUACAAUAGUUAUACCCAAUACAUCAUGCCACAUAUAACAUAUAAGCAGUCCUUUAUUAAUAAUCAUAGCAUAACAGUCCAUUUAACAUCAUAGCAAUUCAUAUGGUAACACAGAUCAUGCUAACCGAAAUCAUAAUAUCAUUAACUUUUUAGCAGCUCCUUAGCUUGACAAAUUAUCAAACACCUAGAGUGCAGUCUAUAUACUUGCACUUAAUACAUAAUUUCUAGCCCUCUGCCCCCAGCCGUAUGGCUUAAACAAUAUCAAGCAUAAGACCACACUUAUCAGUACCAAACCCAGCAGUUCAAAUAACAUGAAAGCAGUCAGUUAUCAUAACAGCCAUACACGUUUUUGGUCAUUGACAAUUCAUUUUACUAAUUAAUUUAAUAGCCAUCCUAAUCAUUUAUCAAUUCAGUUGUUACCCGGAAUGAAUGGAAAGAUUAGAAAGGCCAGAAUUGGCUUACCUUGCUGAUUCGAAGGUAUCAAGUGGUUGAGCUGCUUAAUUCCUUUUCCCCUCUAGCCGAACUCUUCACUCUUACUCUAUAUGACCGUUGCUGCUAAUUCUUUUGGACUCAGUUAAGUGAUGAGGCUAAUUGAUUUUGGGUAAUAACCUGGCCUUUUUAUGGCUGAGCUUAGCUUCCUUACAGUUGAUCGCAUCACCUUCUACUUGCCCCCUAACAUAUAAUCUAUUACCUCUAGCAGUUAGACUGCUCUGCAGCCACCCUACAAGACCCUAGUCUCUCUGCCAUGCCUUAUCUGUUGCUAACCUGUCUACUAACUAAUAACUGACUAACUUAUAGACUAACUACUGCUAACAACAGAACAGCCUCAGCUCCUAAGUUUACCCCUGUGGGCUGUUGGAAAAAAUCCUAAGGCAAGGCUGGGCAGUGGUUUCAUUUUGGGCCUAGUCCCUUUAACCCAAAGUUUUACUUGUUAAUUUGCUAUACUCCAAUGGGUUUACAGGAUUGGGUUUUGGACAUCCAUUUCACUCUUUAACACUUGGAGCUGCCGAAUUGGGCUAGCAAAUAGACUACAUGCAACGAUCAUGGCAAAAUUAUUAAGGCCCAAUAUUUUAAUAUGGACUCUUGUUACAUUAAAACACAUGGACUAUUAUUUUCUCUAGCAACAAUAGUUAUAACAUAUAUCAUUAAAAUGACUAUUCUAUGUAAUCUUAAAUAAUUCAUGAUGGCACAUAAUUUCUUUGCCCUUUAUAACUCAAGAUGCUAAACGAACUAUUAAAUAAAUAAUAUUUUUAUCACAAUGAGAAUUAACAUAUCAUAAAAAAAAAUUUAUACUCAAAAAUUGACAUUACAAUAAUUAAAUAUUACAUAGGAUGAACUACAGGCCAAUGAGGACUUUUACCACAUCAUUCGUCACAUUACGGUCAUUAUUAUACCGAAUCAUCCCUGGUCAUAAUCAUACCAAGUCCAUCUAUGCACGUAAGCCAAAGAUGACUUUCAUCACAAUAUAAGCAUGAGGAUGAUGACAAUAAUAUAAGCAUUAAUCAAACGAAAAUAAUGAUAAAUUUUAAAGACUUUAAAUUUAUCCAAAUGUUUAUCAAUCACUUAAUAAACUCAUAAUCUAAUAUUAUUAAUAUUAUAACAAUAUUUUAAUCACUUCUUGAACUUAUAAACAAUUUAUUCUAAUUGUUUACACUUUCCCAAAUAAUACAUUUUAAUCAUUCAAAAAUACCAUACUCAUAAGAUUUCAUCACCAAUGAUCAAAUCCCUUAUCAAAAAUCUGCAUAUACCUUAUAUAGGAUUUCCAAGCCAUAAAAUCCAUUUUACCAAUUUUUCAACUUCACAUAACAUAUUUAAUUCAUAUGUUCGUAACUAAACUAUUUUCAUGAAAAAUACCAAAUCAGUCCAAAAAAUUAUUCUUUUUUGGGAUUUAGCAGAAUAUAGUCCCAUAUUGAACAUAUAUUUUUCUCAUAAUUUUUAAAAUUCAUUUACUAUUUUUCAUAUGGCCAAAACUGCCGAAUAUUUAGACAUUUAUCAUAAAUUGUACUUUUGUCCAAAAAUUCCGAAAUUUACAAGGUAUACUCCUAUUAUAUAUGUGUACUCCCAAUAAAAAUUUAACCAAUUUUGGAGUUAACCACAAGGAGUUAUAAGGGUUUACUUUUAAAAUAGUUUUUUCCCAUAAAAUUCAUAACUCCUAAUCUAUACAUCCAAAAAUUGCCAUUUUUGGACACAAUCUAGAAAUCUCAACAAACUAUCAUUUCAAAUGUUUCCAAAAUUUUUGAGGGUCAGAAAAAUUACGAAACUGCAAAUAGAUUUUCACCCGUCAUUCGGUAAUCCAGGUAGACAGAUCAUUUCCACAAUUUAAUAAGGAAUGAAUACAAAGGAUCAUUCACCAUGCAUGCGGUAAUCCACAUAGACAGGUUAUUCCAACAGAAUAAUAAAAAAUAGAAUAACAACAGAAUUCACCAGGCAUACGGUAAUCCGCGUAUACAGGUUAUUCCAAUAGAAUAAUAAAUAAUGGAACCAGGUCAUGCGUAAUCCGCAUAGACAGGAUAUUCCAACAGAAUAAUAAAGAAUGGAAUAACAACAGAAAUUCACCAAGCAUACGGUAAUCCGCGUAUACAGGUAAUUCUAACAGAAUAAUAAAGAAUGGAAUAACAAUAGAAUUCACCAGGCAUACGAUAAUCCGCGUAUACAGGUUAUUCCAACAGAAUAAUAAAGAAUGGAAUAAUAGAAAAUUUUCACCACGUAUGCGGUACUUCGCAUAGACAGGUUACUCCAAUAUAAUAAUAAAGAAUGAAAUAACAAAAGAAUUUCACCAUGUAUGCGAUACUUCGCAUAAACAGGUUAUUCCAACAUAAUAAUAAAGAAUGGAAUAACAACAGCUCUCUUCAUGAAUACGAAAGAAAUAAUAAUACCCCUUACCUUAGAAGAAACUGGAUACUGGAAUAGUGAGGUAGCAGGCUUCUCUUCUUCUUUCUCUCUAUAAUUUCUCUCUAUAAUAAUUGCUCUAUAGCUUUAGUGAAUUGGUGAGAAAUGAAGGAAGAAUGAGCUUCUGUUUAUAGGAAAACAUAGUUUCAAUAAUUGCACAUUUUGGGGCUCGAAAUAUUACAUUAUAAUACCUUCCUCUUUUUCUUUAUUUUUAAUUUAGCCCUGCAAGUAUUAUCAAACUUGCACCACCUCCUCUAAUAGUAAAUCAUGUGAAUUAAUAGUAAAUCAUGUGAAUCAAUAGUUCUAGACAUGUGAAAAUACGAAUUACAGUAUAGUACCUCCAUCUAUACCUCUAUUUUUAACUUAGUCAUGCAAGUAUUAUCAAUCUUGCACCAACUCCCCUAAUAGUACCAUAAUGUGAAUCAAUAGUACACACAUGUGAACAAAUAGUUAUAAUCAUAUGAAUUAAUAGCAAUUAAAAGCUCAUUUAUCCGGAUAAUUACCCGAUUGGUCAAUAUAACCUCCAGACAUCAAUUAUCAUCGAAAUAAAUGUCGAUUCCCACUAACACUAAUAAUUCCAACACAAUGGAACUAUCAAUUUCAUCUUUAAUCAACACAAAUUUAUUCAUCAUUAAUAUUAUAACUCAUAAUAUUUAACAACAAGAUCGUUCCCAGGAAAGAGGGGGCCUUCCGGUAAGGAUUUCUCCUCACUGGUGCGCAAUUACCUAACCUCUCCUUGACAGAACUUCUAGACAUUGUCAAUAUUGCAAUUUAAUAAUAUUAAUAAGUUUACCAUCUUAAUUAUUUAUUUAAUAAUAUAACAUAUUAUGCAGAUGAUACUGUGACAAUAAUUGAAUCAAUAAUAUGAGAGAUAUGAUGUAAUAAUUACUGUAGCAAUAAUUGAGUAUAACUGAGUGACUUCUUACGUAAGCAUUAAUAAUCAAUACCGUGUGCUACUCAAUUCGUCAGCUACCACGUUCGCUCUUUCAUGAUGAUAUUGAAUGGUACGAUCGUAAUCUUCUACAGCUCAAGCCAACGUCUUUGGCACAUUAUACGAUUAUUUUAGGUAAAGAAAUAUUUGAGGGUUUUAGAAAUGAGUUUUGUACUUGGGUCAAUACAAAAUAUGAUUUCACGCUCUGGGGUAGGCAAGGAAGUUCUUCGAGAAUACGUCAGAAUAUUUAUUAACAAUAGAAAUAUCAUUUAAAAACUGUGACUCUCAUCCAAGACUUGGACAACACAUGAAAUGAAGGUUUCUACUAACGAAGUUUCAACCAAUAAGUCAAAGUCUAACUUCUCUGGGGUCAAAUUUAAAUGUUGAGCGCAAGCAAGAGAGAUAAAAGAAUGGGUAGAACCGGUAUCUAAUAAGGUAUAGACUUCGCAAAAAUUUAUAAUUAACUAACCCGUGCUAACUUCGUUCGGGUUACUCGCUUUUUGAGAAGUCAUGAAAAACGCUCUUCCUGAAACCACCGACUUUGUUUUGUCCAUAUCCGCCUUUGGUGCCACCGUCCCAGCUGGACUUGACUUUGGUGCACGACAAAAUCGGGCUAAGUGUCCUUUUCCAUAAUUAUAACAUGUUUUGGACUGCAUCACGCAGUUUGGACUGAUAUGUCCCUCCCCUCCGCAUUUGAAGCAUACAAUUGGUGGUCGUUCUCCUUCCUUGAAAACGGGUGUUGGUGCUGCUGUCUUUGCAUCUUUGUUGAACCUUCUCUUCUUGAAAUUUCCACUCCUAUUAUCUUGGUCAUGAUUACCACCGAAGUGGUUACCAUUCUUGGUGUAAGACCCCAACUUUUAUGAAUAAAAAAUGAAUUUUCUAUAAAUAUCAUUUUUGAAUAUUAUGGAGUAAAUUUGAUAUAAUGUUAUAGUUGUGGGUAAUAUUUAUAAAUUUUGAAAAGUACGCAAGUUGUUAUAUAAUAUUCGUUUGGUCGGAAAAUAUUCUUUUUGUCGGGAAUAUCCGUACGACGACACAAUCAUUGGUGGACCCCCACAACGGAAGUAUUGUCGUAGUAAGAAAACGACAGAAUUAUCUUUUUAUAAAAAUAACGGCUAAAGUUUUACCGUUAAAACUGUUGAACUACUCGGUAGUAAAAGUACAGUAAUACGUGUGGUUGCAUAGUAGCACACGAUAUUGAUUAUUAAUACUUACGUGAGAAGUCACUCAGUUAUACUCAAUUAUUGCUAUAGUAAUUGUUGCAUCAUAUCUCUCAUAUUAUUGAUUCAUUUAUUGUCACAGUAUUAUCUGCAUAAUAUGUUAUAUUAUUAAAUCAAUAAUUGAGACGACAAAGUUAUUAAUAUUAUUAAAUUGCAAUAUUGACAAUGUCUAGAAGUUCUGUCAAGGAGAGGUUAGGUAAUUGCGCGCCAAUGAGGAGAAAUCCUUACCGGAAGGCCCCCUCUUUCCUGGGAACGAUCUUGUUGUUAAAUAUUAUGAGUUAUAAUAUUAAUGAUGAAUAAGUUUUGUUGAUUAAAGAUGAAAUUGAUAGUUCCAUUGUGUUGGGAUUAUUAGCGUUAGUGGAAAUCGACAUUUAUUUUGAUGAUAGUUGAUGUCUGGGGGUUAUAUUGAUAAAUCGGGUAAUUUAUCGGAUAAAUGAGCAAUUAAUUGCUACUAAUUCACAUGUUUAUAUAACUAUUUGUUCACAUGUGUGUACUAUUGAUUCACAUUCUGGUACUAUUAGGGGAGUUGGUGCAAGAUUGAUAAUACUUGCAUGACUAAGUUAAAAAUUGAGGUAUAGAUGGAUGUACUAUACUGUAAUUCGUAUUUUCACAUAUCUAGAACUAUUGAGUCACAUGAUUUACUAUUAAUUCACAUGAUUUACUAUUAGGGGAGUUGGUGCAAGAUUGAUAAUACUUGCAGGACUAAAUUAAAGAUAAAGAAAAAGAGGAAGGUAUUAUACUGUAAUAUUUUGAGCCCCAAAACGUGCAAUUAUCAAAACUAUAUUUUCCUAUAAAUAGAAGCUCAUUCCUUCAUUAUUUUUCACUAAUUCACUAAAGCUAUAGAGCAUUUAUUAUAGAGAGAAAUUAUAGAGAGAAAGAAGAAGAAAAGUCUACACUUCACUACUCCAGUAUCCAAUCUUCUUUGAGGUAAGGGGUAUUAUUCUUUCGUAUUCAUGAAGAGAGUUAUUUUUUUUCAAUACUCGUUAUUCCAUUCCUUAUUAUUAUGUUGGAAUAACAUGUCUAUGCGAAGUACCGCAUACAUGGUGAAAUUCUUCUAUUAUUCCAUUCUUUAAUAUUCUGUUGAAAUAUCUUGUUUGUGCGUUUUACGCAAGACCUGGUUCCAUUAUAUAUUAUUCUGUCAGAAUAUCUUGUCUGUGCUUUACGCAUGACCUGGUUCCAUUAUUUAUUAUUCAGUUUGAAUAACAUGUAUACGCGGAUUACCGUAUACCUGGUGAAUUUUGUUGUUAUUACAUUCUUUAUUAUACUCAGUUGGUUAAAGUUUUGGCUUUUAUACUCUAUGAAAUUAGUGGAAUAUCCUUGAUAUUUGCGCUUCAUCCAAUAUCUUUUCAUGGAAAUAUUCUUCUGAGCAUUCUUGAAUUUUACAUCACAAAGCAGUAUCAUGUUGACAUUUUGGACGUUAUUGGUUCCUGGAUAAAUUAAUUCUUGAACUUGUUUUAUUGAAUUCUUAUAUCAUUAUCAUCAUCCUCAUGUUUAUAUUCUGUUGAGAGUCAUCUGUGGCCUGUAGUGCAUAGAUGGACUUGGUAUGAUUAUGACCAGGGAUUAUUCGGUAUAAUCAUGACUGUAAUAUUACAAAUAAUAUGGUAAAAGUCCUCAUUGGCCGUAGUGCAUUGUUGGACAAUUGUUGGUAUGAUCAUGACCAUUGAUGAAUACACGAAUAUCCUUGGUCGUAGUGCAGGGAUGAUGUUGAUUAUUUAUUAACCUGAGUCUCAGCGAUGAAAAUGAUGAAAAACCUUUUUAAAUCAUAGAAGAUAAUAGAUUUUAUGCUCUAUUUGACUCUUUUAAUGGAUUGCUUAUUUUCGCUGCAGUUUUUGAUCUAAAACUUGUUGUUUAUUAUAUUCUAUCAGUUGUUAUACUGUUGAAGGCUAAGGAUAAUUUAUUCUGCAUUAACUUAGUCAUAAUAUUUCUUACUGGGCUUGUUGAGCUCACCCUUUUCUUUCAUGGUUCUCUUCAGGAAAUGAGAACGUAGCUGAGACUAGUCAGGGAACAGAGUGACGGCCCAGAUGUUUGCAUUAAUUGUCCUCACUAUUCUGUGAAAUAGUGUGAUAAUAAAUGUAAUGAGGACUCCAUUGAGUGUGGAUAUUGUCUAGAUGACAAUAUUCUUCUUAAAACUCUUAGAUUAUGUUUUGUCGUAUUUUACACGACUGUUGUAUAAUUAAGUUGUAUUUGAAUUUUGUACCAUAUAUCCGGCGACUCAAGAUGGGUGAUGUAUACCUAUUUUGAGGGCAUCAUAGUUGGUAUCAAAGCUUAGGGAUAUGAUCCCUGGUUGAGAUGUGAGAUAAGAACUAGGAGGGGAGAGACGGGGAAUUCCUUUGUUAGUAUAACCUACCUAAGUUUAUUUGGUAUUUAAUUGGUCGGUCACAAUAUAUGGAUAAUAUGUGACAUGUCAAUUAACCCUUGUUUUGUGACAGUAUUUGAAAAUGGCAUCCGAAAAUGUUGAGAAUAGCAAUGGAGCACAGGAGACCGUUGAGUCACCAUAGAUUAAUACCCAGGAUAAUGUGUAACAGGAAGAAAAUAAUCCUCAGGUAAACAAUAACACCGAUGAAAUGGGGAACGAUGGGAUGUUCAGAGGCUUUAUGCAAUUCAUGCAACAUCAGGCGAGGGCGGCUCCUGUCCAAAAUGCAGGUGGAAACACUGACAACUCUCGGACGGUCACCGCUAAGCAGUUCAAGGAGCUGGGACCACCGGAGUUUUUUGGAGAGCCAAAACCACUUAAGACAGAGACGUGGAUAAAGAAGAUCAACAGGAUAUUUGAUGUCUUGGGAUGCUCCGAGGAACAAAAGGUUCCUUUUGUCACCUUCAUGUUGCGAGCAGAGGCAGAUUACUGGUGGGAAUCCGUAAAGCGUACUCAACUUGCCGCACUGAAAAUGUCUUGGGAGAAGUUCCAAGAACUGUUCAACGAAAAGUACUUUCCCGAAAGUAUUCGUCAAAUGAAAGAGGUAGAGUUCAUCAAGCUUGAGCAAAAAAAUAUGACUGUGGCGCAGUACAAAGCUAAGUUUGUCGAGUUAUCUCGGUUUGCGUCCCACUUGAUUGAUAAUAAGGAGAGAAUGACGCGGAUGUUUUCAAAGAGGUUUGAAACCCGAGAUACGUCAAUACCUAAUUUCUCACAAACCGUGUUUGUAUUCAGAUGUUGUGAAUAGGGCUCAGUUAUUGGAGCGCGAUAAUGAAUCAACCCAACCAAGAGAGAGCAGCCGACAAGUCGAUAAUACCAGUGGUAGCAGUCAUCGAAGCGGUGACAACAAGCGUGGAGGGAAUCAACAUGCCAAAAAUGGUAAUCACUUCGGUGGUAAUCAUGGCCAUGACAAUAAGAGUGGACAUUUCAAGAAGACGAGAUUCAACAAUGAUGGAAAGACGUCAGCACCAGCACCUGUUGUUAAGGAAGGAGAACAAUCGCCGGUCGUAUAUUAUAAAUGCGGAGGGGAGGGACAUAUCAGUCCAAACUGCGUGAUGCAGUCCAAAGCAUGUUACAAUUGUGGAAGAGAAGGUCACCUAGGCUGAUUUUUUCGUGCACCAAAGUCAAGUCCAGCUGGGAUGGAGGCAUCAAAGGCCGUCCCAGACAAGACAAAACCGGUAGUUCAACGGAGAGCGUUUGUCGUAACCUCCCAAAAAGUGAGGAAUCCGAAUGAGGUGAUCACGGGUAAGCUAAUCAUAAACUCUAGCAAAGUCUAUACCUUAUUUGAUACCGGCUCUACCCAUUCUUUUAUUUCUCCUAUUUGCGCUCAACGUUUAAAUUUGACUCCGAAGAAGUUAGACUUUGACUUAUCGGUUAAAACUCCAUUGGGAGAAACCUUCAUUACAUCCACUAUUUAUAAGUCUUGUUUGAUUCAAAUCGGUAACCGUACAUUACCUGUCGAUCUUUUUUCUUUGAAAAUACUUGCAUUUGAUGUGAUUUUAGAGAUUAAUUGGUUAACUACUCAUCAUGCUAAAAUCGAUUGUUUUCGUAAGGUUGUUAGCUUUCAUAUUCCUAACCAACCUAUUAUGCGAAUUCAAGCAACCAAACAACUAAAAUCAAUCACUAUCAUAUCAAGCCAUAAAGCUAUUCAUUUAUUAAAAAAUGGAUGUCAAGCUUUCUUAGCCCAUGUCACGGAUUUAAAUAAAAAUACGUCAGAUUUGAAUGAUAUUUCUAUUGUUCAUAAAUUUCCUGACGUAUUCCUUGAAGAAAUUCCUGGCCUACCCCUAGAGUGUGAAAUUGAAUUUUGUAUCGACCUUGAAUGUGGUACAAAACCCAUUUCCAAAGCCCCAUAUCGAAUGGCUCCUAUUGAACUUCAGGAGUUAAAAACCUAACUACAGGAAUUAUUAGACAUCAGUUUCAUUCGUCCUAGUACAUCUCCUUGGGGUGCUCCUGUUCUAUUCGUGAAGAAGAAAGAUGGAAGUAUGCAACUUUGUAUUGAUUAUCGGGAGUUGAAUCAUGUCACCAUCAAAAAUAGGUACCCGUUGCCUCGCAUUAAUGACCUGUUUGACCAGUUGCAAGGAGCUAAAUUCUUUUCAAAGAUUGAUCUUCGUUCCGGAUAUCAUCAGUUGAAGAUUAAAACUGAUGACAUUCCAAAGACUGAUUUCAGAACUCGGUAAGGGCAUUAUGAAUUUCUAGUCAUGUCUUUUGGAUUGACUAAUGCUCCUGCUGCCUUCAUGGACAUGAUGAACCGAGUAUUCAAGGAAUAUUUGGAUCACUUUGUGGUCGUCUUUAUUGAUGACAUCCUCAUAUACUCCAAAAGCCGUGAAGACCAUGAUCAACACUUGAGGCUGAUACUUCAAAAACUUCGUGAGAACAAGCUUUAUGCCUAGUUAAAGAAAUGUGAGUUCUGGCUUGAGGAAGUUGCAUUCCUUGGGCACGUGAUAUCAAAUCAUGGAAUAUCUGUUGAACCAGCAAAGAUUGAAGGAAUCCAAAGCUAGGAGCAACCAAAGUCAGUGACUGAAAUACGUAGCUUUCUUGGCUUAGUUGGUUAUUAUCGGAGAUUCGUGGAAGGAUUUUCUCGAAUCGCUACUCCAUUAACUCAGCUGACUCGAAAAGAUACAAAGUUCAGUUGGAGCGAGAAAUGUGAGAAGAGUUUUCAAGAACUCAAGAGAAGACUCAUUUCAGCACAUGUUCUGACAAUACCAUCUGGCUCGGAGGGAUUUGUCAUCUACAGUGAUGCUUCAGGCAAAGGGGUUAGGAUGUGUUCUCAUGCAACAUGGAAAAGUCAUAGCCUAUGCCUCACGACAACUCAAAGAAUAUGAGAGGAAUUAUCCUACUCAUGAUCUAAAGUUGGCAGCAGUCGUUUUUGCGCUUAAGAUUUGGAGGCAUUACCUGUAUGGAGAGAAGGUGGAGAUCUAUACGGAUCAUAAAAGCCUCAAAUAUUUCUUCACUCAAAAGGAACUCAACAUGCGGCAAUGACGAUGGCUUGAGCUGUUAAAAGAUUAUGAUCAUACCAUCCAAUACCAUCCUGGAAAAGCGAACGUAGUAGCUGACGCAUUGAGUAGAAGAUCAUAUGCGGGUACGAGUGCAAUAUUGUCAACGCUAAGACCCAUUUUGUAUGACUAACGAAGGAUGGAGAUAGAGUUAAAAACUCCAGGGACCCAUGUGAUAAUGACGGAUAUACGAGUAGAACCGACUUUAAUCAAUAAAGUUAAAGCUGCUCAAGCUACAGACCUGGAGCUGAUGCAUAUGAGGAAGAAAGUGCAAGAAGGUGCUAUUCCAGAAGCAAGAAUCGAUGAAGAAAGAAUACUUCGAGUCAACUCCAGACUUUGUGUUCCUAACGAUUUUGACUUGAAGUAUAAAAUCAUGAUGGAGGCAAACAACACACCGUUUGCAAUCCAUCACGGGAGUACCAAAAUGUAUCGUGAUCUUCGACAUACAUUUUGGUGGAGCAAUAUGAAGAGAGAGAUAGCGGGGUUUAUCUCAAGGUGUCUAACUUUUCAACGAGUCAAGGCGGAGCAUCAAGUGCCAAAAGGUCCAUUGCAACCACUUGAAAUUCCAGAAUGGAAGUGGGAGCACAUUACCAUGGAUUUCGUUACUGGUCUUCCCAAGGUUUCCCAAGGCGUAGAUGCGAUUUCGGUCAUUGUUGAUAGAUUGACCAAGUCUACUCAUUUCUUACCGAUACGAGAAACUUAUACACUUGAACGUCUUGCUAGUAUGUACAUAAAUGAGAUUGUAAGAUUGCAUGGCAUGCCAGUAUCCAUAGUUUCUGAUCGAGACCCAAGAUUCACUUCAAGAUUUUGGGUUAGUGUGACGCCCCCAAAAUAGGUCCACACGAACCAUUCUGAGUCGCCAGAUAUCACACUAUAAAAAUCAAAUACAAACUUUAUUUAUACAACUGUUGAACUGUCGUGCAGAGUACGACAACAGUUAACUGUGAGUUUUAAUACAAAUAUUGUCAUCGUAGACAGUAUCCAAACUCAAAUUGUUACAAUGCCAUAUAAAAUACAGCAGCAAAUAUUUUAAGACCCCAAAGAAGAACGAGAAGAUUACUAUCAUAUUCAUUCUAAUGAGGUGCACUUUUGACGCUUUCAAAGUCGGGUUCUCAUCACCCUUAUUGUUGUUCACCAACAUCAAUUAUUAAGUGACGUAUAAAAUACAACACACACAUCUUAGGUCUUUAAUACAAUUAUCGGUUGCAUAUCAUGCCGUUUUAUAAUGUAUUGAGAAAUUUCGACAGUCUCGGACCAUCACACUAUUUUCCUGUUAUCCCCGCUCGACCCAGCUACACUCUUAUUACCUAAAAGGAAUUGUGAAGCAAAAGGGUGAGCACAAUUAGCCCAGUAAGGAAUAUCAUGGCUAAGAUAAUUAAUUUAUCAACAGCCUUUAUCAGAAUAAAUCAGAGAUUUAGAACAUAUGGUAGAUAAUAAAACGUUUCAACCAUAGUUGCAGCGGAACGAGUAAUCCAUUAGAUGAGUCAAGUAGAACAUAAUGUCUACUAUCUCCUCUAGAUUAAAAGUCCAUCGUUGAUAUUUUAUUCCUGUAAUACUCAUCAACAGUUCUUUGUUAUACUUAAGACAAAUAAAACUUUCAACACUUGUCUUCACCUGAACCACCAAAGAUGUUAGUUAAAUUCACAAUUCAUAUUUAUAAUAAUGUGAAUUAACAGUUCCUUCUUUCCACCAAGACUUAAUAGAAUGUUUACUCAAUAUCUUUACCCCAAAGGCUGAAGGUAUUCAAAUGUAAUAACAAUGAUCAUACCAAUCAGUUGUCUAUCUUUGCAUUACGGGCCAAAGAUAUUCAACUAUAGAACCAAUGGUCAUGAUCAUACCAAUCACAUCAUUGAAUUAUCCAUGCACUACGGCCAAGGAUAUUCGUUAGUAUCACUAGUGGUCAUGAUCAUGUCAUACACCUGUCCAUCUUCACACUACGGGUCAAAGCUAUCAAAUAACAGAUCAUCUUUGCACUACAGGCCAAAAAUAUUCAACAACAUAUCGUCUUUGCACUACAGGUCAAAGACAUACUACUGUAAAACCAAUAACCAACAAUAUAAUAAAGAAUGGAAUAAUAAAAGAAUUUCACCAUGCGUGCGUAAUCCGCACAGAAAGGUUAUUCCAACAUAAUAAUAAAGAAUGGAACCAGGUCAUGCGUAAAUGCACAGACAGGAUAUUCCAACAGAAUAAUAAAGAAUUGAAUAACAACAGACUUCACCAAGUAUACGGUAAUCCGCGUAUACAGGUUAUUCCAACAGAAUAAUAAAGAAUUGAAUAACAACAGACUUCACCAGGUAUACGGUAAUCCACGUAUACAGGUUAUUCCAACAGAAUAAUAAAGAAUUGAAUAACAACAGACUUCACCAGGUAUAUGGUAAUCCGCGUAUACAGGUUAUUCCAACAGAAUAAUCAAGAAUGGAAUAACAACAGACAUCACCAGGUAUACGGUAAUUCGCGUAUACAGGUUAUUCCAACAGAAUAAUAAAUGGAACCAGGUCAGGAGAAAUUCGCACCGACAGGAUAUUCCGACAGAAUAAUAAAGAAUAAAAUAAUAGAAGAAUUUCACCAUGUAUGCGGUACUUCGCAUAAACAGGUUAUUCCAACAUAAUAAUAAAUAAUGUAAUACAUAAGGAUUUCACCAAGUAAAGGGUAUGACGCUUAUACAGUUUAUGUAUAGGGUAUGCCUCAUAUACAGGUUAUUCCAACAGAAUAAUAAAGAAUGGAAUAACAGAAGUUCUCUUCAUGAAUAAGAAAGAAUAACACCCCUUACUAUAAUAAUAUUAUCCCUUACCGUAAAAAAACUGAAAAUAGAGGUAGUGAAGUAGCAGAAUAGUCUUCUUCUUUCUUUCUAUAAUUUCUCUCUCUAGAGUUUCAGUGAAUUCGUAAGAAAAUAAUGAAGGAAUGAGCUUCUAUUUAUAGAAGAAUGGAUUGCAUAGUAACUAACUCAUGAACGGUCCAAAUUGAUUUACUUUAAUCUGACGGUCCAUAUUUAAAGCAAAAUCUUUUAAAUAAAAUAUAAUAUAUUCUAUUUAUAAUCUAAUAAAAUAAAUAACUUUAUGUAAAUACUAUGCAGGCACUAUGCAAAUACUAUGCAUAAUAAAAUAUAAUAUAAUCUAAUUAUUGUCUAAUAAAACGAAUAACUUUAGAAAAGUAUUAUGUUUUAUAUAAAAAGAUUUUACUAUUAGUCUAAUAAAAUGAAUAACUUUAUAAAAGUAUUCUGUUUUAUAUAAAAAGUUUUUCUGUUUUAUUACGUUAAUAAUACGAAUAAAACAAAACUUCAUCAUCGCUUACUUUGAAAAUUUUUCAAAUGUCACCCUUAACUUUAAACUUUUAUCAAUUUAAUCAUUUACCAAAAUAGAAAAAUUGAAUACUUUUAUUUCAUAAAAUUCGGGGUCUCACAGUUAGUUUGCAAAAAGCUAUGGGCACGGAUUUACGAUUUAGUUCGGCAUAUCAUCCUCAAACGGAUGGGCAGUCGGAAAGGACUAUUCAAACUCUUGAGGAUUUAUUAAGAUUAUGUGUCCUUGACUUCAAGGGAAGUUGGGACAAGUUCUUACCAUUGGUGGAGUUUUCCUACAACAAUAGUUAUCAAGCAAGUAUUGGCAUGACUCCAUUUGAAGCGUUGUAUGGAAGAAAGUGUCGUUCUCCAGUAUGCUGGGAUGAGGUGGGUGAAGCAACGUUGUUGGGACUGGAGUUGGUACGUAUGACUACGAAAAAGAUUCAAACGAUCCGACAACGUAUAAAAACCUCACAAGAUNNNNNNNNNNNNNNNNNNNNNNNNNNNNNNNNNNNNNNNNNNNNNNNNNNNNNNNNNNNNNNNNNNNNNNNNNNNNNNNNNNNNNNNNNNNNNNNNNNNNUAUAUAUAUAUAUAUAUAUAUAUAUAUAUAUAUAUAUAUAUAUAUAUAUAUAUUGUCCAAAAUUAAUUUUUAGUUUUUGAGAUGGCAUGUAACCAUCACAUAUAUAUUUCUCCUUAAUGUGAUUGCAUUUAAGCCAUAACAAAGAAAAAAGUUUAAAAUAAUCUUUGGUGACAGCCAAGACCAUCACGAAAAGAAAACCACAUGUGAUGGACCUUUAUGAUUACAUUUAAAGUAAUCUCAACAAAUGGUAUUAUAUGAUGGACUUUUUCAACAAUCACAAAAUAAUAAUAUACAUGACGGCUCCUAGUAGUGGUUAUUUUUUCCAUCACCAUAAACUAUUUGUGACGGACAAGACAAUCACUAAAAAACAAGCAUAUAUGAACAACAAAUAUAUUAGGCGAGGAAUUUACUAGCAAUCACAAAAUAGUAGUAUAUAUGGUAGAUGUUACUCAAUGUCUAAUUGUGCCAUUAUUAUUAAAUAUUUAAGACAAUCAUUACAAUCACUAAAUUUUUCGCGUAAAUUGUACAUCUCUUUUUUAAGUCCCCAUUAAUCUUUAUUUUGCUUUGUUCUCUUUGUAAACUCAUUGUUUUUAUUGUGAAUUCAAAGGAUUUAGAGUUUAUCUCGUUUUUAUAUAACUAACUAUUUACGUUUGUUCUCUUUGUCUCGGUUGGUAUAUAUCUACUUCUUUCUAUGCAAGAAGUCUAGAGUCCAAAUCUCCACCCAAAAAAGAAACAGUGCAAAUGAUGGAGCAAAAUUCUUGCUGUUGGGGAAGAGCAGAUGGACUAAUUGAUGUAACCUUCAAAUUGGUGGGAAGAAAUCUGAAAUGGAAGGAGCAGUAAGCAGGAUUUUUUUUUUUACUAAAUUUAAAUUGUAUUAAAGGAGAAAGAAUGUACAAAAAUCAUGGGAAAACCCAAUCAGAAUAUAGUAUAUACAUCACCUCAAUCAGAAUAUAACAUAGACAUCAUAGGACAUGCCAUAUGAUGUCAUGACUAAAAAAGAAAAUAAGGCCAGAUGCCCAAACAAAAGAGAAACAAUCUCAACAUUCAUGAGAAUACAAUGCAUAGAAAUCAGACACAAAACCAAGAAAAACCUCAUCCAAAGUAGCAGCAGCCCACAAUAGCAGCAAAAGAAAAAUCAGUCCAAAGACCAAAAGGCAUCAUCCAUAACAGAACCGAAAGAGCCUACUGCAGACUAGCAGCACAAUAGAGCACAAGGCCCAACAAGAGAAGCCAACAACAGUUUAGCAAAGCAAAACAGCAGACAGGACAUGGAAAGCAAGAGCAACAAACCCCAAGAGCCCAAUGGCAGCCAUAGAAGUGCAGCAGCUGCAGCCGACAUCAAAUAAAACAGCAGUAAACGAUAGCAGCCAUAAGUACAGCACCACCCCCCAAAUCUGCAGCAUCAAGACAUAGAAAUAGUCACAAUACUGCAGACCAAAACACGCAAACAAUGCAGCAUAAGCAACAAACAGAGCAGCAAAUAGGUCUAUUUUCCUGCUUGUUUUCAAGGUUGUGUAGUAUUUAUUGUCAUUUUAGUAUUUUACAUAUAUGUCCAUUAUGGGUAAAAUAAGUUGUUUGGCAUGGGCAAUGAUGCCAGUGAAGGUUUUCUUUCUUCAGUGCUUGAUGGAAGCUCUCGAGCUGUAGUCACUACAAAGAUGAGGAGAUGCUGAAACCAUUUUCGAGCACAGUGAGAUAUAAUAGUUACAUAUAUGAAUAUGCCAUCUCAGAUGAUCAUGUUGGUGUAACACAGAAGCAUGUCUUCCAUGUGCUGGUACCAUUUCUCCUUCCUUUUCUGACAGUAGGCCUAUGAUUUCUUCUGGGAGUGCUGAGAAAGAGACUGCUAGACUAGAAUAUUGUAUACGGCACUAGAAAUAGGGCAGUCUUUCUGUAAACUGCAGAGCUAUGGUUCCUUGGAAUGAUCAUUGCUUUACAACGCAUUGAGUUUUUUUUUUCUACAUUUCUUUUUCCUGGAAAAGCCUAUUUGAGGGAGGAAAUAGGAGAAGUAGAAAUUUGUUGUGGGUAGAGAUGUUUUGGAUUUGUCCUUGGUUUCAGUAAUUAAACAUCUGCCAUUUUUAUUUGCGAUUAUAUCCGGAGGAAGCUUUUAUAUACUAGAUUCAUAAAUCAAGAAGUUCAAUAUAGGGAGCACCAGCUGCAACAGCAGCAGAGCAUGAGCAGCAACAUUAAUGUAGGUGGAAGCAUUGAAAGGACGUUCUAUUUGUUCAUGCCAUUUAAUCAUGGCAAUCAUUCUAUUUAUUCAUGGUAAUCAUUUUAUUUGUAUAUGCUUGUUCUUAUAUAGCUUAUAUUGACAGAAAAUUUAAAUGGAAGCUAUGAGAACCACAUUUUAUCAAGUCUUUCAGGUGGGUUAGCCUCUGCAUAGCUCUUACUAUUUCUUGCAGCUCGAGGAGCUAAAGCUUCCUAAAGUAUAGAAAUCACAAAACCAAGCAAAUAAGUUUAAAAAAAAAAAAGAACUAAAGAUAGAGUCGCAUGUCUUUCAAAUAUGUUUCAAAAAAAAAACACAUUCUCUAAAACACUGGUAACAGAGCUUCUCUAAAACUGAAUUUCAUGUCCAAGUUCAUGUUAUCAACUUAUAGUCUUAUAUGUAAUCAACAUAACUCAAACGACUUCCUCUUUUUCUAAUAAUUAAUAACAGGGAAAAAAUUUAAAAAUAUGGGUGAAUUGGAGAAAUAUAUCUUACAAUAACAAAGAAAAAGGGAAUCCUAGUCCAGAAACUUGUGCGCGCUCUCACGAAAGAUGUCUCAUGAGUAAGCCUGAAUCUUGACGGAUCUGCAUGUUCAUUGUAGGAGAAAUUUAACAUAAAGAGAUAGCCUCAUGUACACAAAUAUUAAAAUGAAUACUAAAUUCAAACUACAGAAUGAUAAAUAGUCAUUUCUUGAUCGUGCAGCGACAUAACAAUGGAAAACUCGGUCCUGAGAGGCAGUUUCCUGCUCCCAGACCUUCCAGCCACGAAUCUGUACAAGUUAAAAACUUAUUAGCAUUAUAUGUAGAAUCAAUCAGGUGAUAAUAUGAAGAGUGAUAGUGUUUUAUAGAAAAUGAAAAUAUUCGAAAAUUGUUUCGAACAUAUAUUAAAAUAAAUUAUUGUCCUUUUAUUUUAUUAAAUAAAAUAUUAAAAAAAUCAUUGUCUUCUUUAAUGCAGUUUAUAAAGAAACACGGGAAAAUGAAUAUAGGCCAAGUUAGUGAUAAAAGAAAGUGAAUGACAGACUUGGCAGGAACUCUAUUACUGUAGAAAAAUAAAGCAACAAUUGAAAGGAUUCUUAUUUCGAUAAUGAAAGGAAAUAAUAAUCGACUGAUAAUUAUCUGGAACAUGCCAACUACUAUAUAUAUAGGAAAACAUAACUAAAAAACUCAGCUACGUAGGCCUAAAUAUCAUCAUCUUCUUCUUCUUCUUCGAAAUAUUCAUCAUCAUUAAAAUAUUCAUUAUCAUCUUCAUCUUCAUCACUACAUUCUCUAUCUUCAUUUUCUGCUUCCGCUAAUGAUGGAUCCACUUCCGCCCACAUUAGGAUUACUCGUCAAUGGUUGAUCAAAUUUGAUAGAUUCGCCUUCUGAAACAAGAAGUUCUGGCCCUGGAGGGAUAAUAUCAACCACUUGACGUCCAUCCGAUGCAUCCGUUAUGGUUAUUUCGUAACCCCCCUUUUCUUUUCGUAUUAUUUUGCCUACUAUACCUGCUGCUGUAGCAUUAUAAACCGUAUUGUUACUCUUGCUCCCGUCGGGAUAAAUCUGACCCCUUCCCCUGUUUCCGCCUACGUAUAUAGGAUAUUUUAAGAAGUGAACAUCUUUCUUAGUAGCGGGGUCCGGGGAAAGAAUAGGAAAGGUGAUUUCACUAUAUUUUUGACCAGGAACAGGGCCUAUCACAAGAAUAUUUUUUUUAGUGGGGCGAUAGCUCUGAAAAGAAAGAUUGCCUAUCCUUUCUUUCAUCUCGGGAGAAAUCCGAUCAACAGGAGCUAAUUCAAAACCCUCCGGUAAAAUAAGAACAGCCCCUACAUUCAAAGCCCCCUUUUUACCAUUAGCAAGAACUUGUUUUAGUUGCAUAUCAUAAGGGAUUCGAACAACUGCUUCAAAUACAGUAUCAGGAAGUACGGCUUGUGGAACUUCAAUAUCCACGGGCUUAUUAGCUAAAUGGCAAUUGGCACAUACAAUACGCCCAGUCGCUUCUCGUGGAUUUUCAUAACCCUGCUGUGCAAAAAUGGGAUAUGCACUUGAAAUGGAUGUCCGAGUUAUGAUAUAUAUCAUGAGCGAUGCGGAAAUGGAUCGAGUAAUCUGUUCCUUUAUCCAAGAAAAAGUCUUUCUAGUUUGCAUGGUCCAACCAUUGAUCCCGAAAAUUUCUACAAUAAAUUGGGUAGGUCGCUAAUAUAGUUCCCUAUCCGCGAUUCUGCUAUUUACUGGAAUAAUAUAUNNNNNNNNNNNNNNNNNNNNNNNNNNNNNNNNNNNNNNNNNNNNNNNNNNNNNNNNNNNNNNNNNNNNNNNNNNNNNNNNNNNNNNNNNNNNNNNNNNNNGAGAAUCAUCAAGCAAUAUCAAAUUCUGAGUUUGCUCCUCAAUAUUAUAUAAGUCAAAAUCAUGAAACUCUUCCUCUUGAUAUGUCUCUUCAUUACUAUUUUCGGCAACAUCAUAUGUGUUUCUUGCUUUUGUUGUGAUUACAGUAGACCAACCUUUAGCUUUAGUCGACACUGGAUUAGCAUAGAACACUUGUACAACUUGUGAUGCAAUAACAAAUGGCUCAUACGGCUUGUGCCUUGAAUUUGUAUCAAUUGUAGUUAUCCCGUACUUGUUAAUAACUACCCUUUUUUCAGAAUCAUACCAUUCACAUUGGAACAAAAAUACUGAAUUCUCUUCUCCAUAGUAUUCUAGUUCAACUACUUUAAUUAAUUGUCCAUAAUAGUCUCGUUCUUGGCCUUCAAAAGUACAUCCCUAGACUAAAACACCACUAUUUUGAGUUACCUUUCUUGACUCCAAUUCUUUUGUAUGGAACCUAAAGCCAUUGACAAUGAAUCCAUCAUAACAUGUUACCUCUCUAGACGGACCCAUAGCGAGCGCUUUUAGACGCGUAUCAACGACAUCAUCAUUCUUGACUCUCUUUUCAAACCAUUUUAUAAAUGUCGAAUUAUGUUCCUUUUAUAGCACUUUAUCCGACAUGUUUGGACGUAAUUCUUUCAAUAAAUGCUUGUGCUCCCUAGAAGUAAUGAAAUAAAUUAGUAGAUAUAGAGUAAUGAUUUACAUAUCUAAAAGUAAUAAACUUUAUAAGAAUUAAAAUGUCAUACUCGAUGAAAUCAAAGACUUCCUCAUAAUUAGACAAGAUGUAUAAGGUUGCUGCCUCGAGUUCUUUAUCAGAUAGAUCUUCACGUUUUCGUUUUCCUCCAAUUGGACGACCAGGCCUAGGGUGGCUAAAUAUUGAUAACUUUCCAUUAGUUUCAGCUUGACCGCCAUCGUCAUUUCGAUCAGCUCGGUUGAACUUGGUUUGCACCCUAAGAUCAAAAUAUCGAGAAGAAAAGUAAACUAGUUCGUCUAUUAUGUAUGCCUCAGCUAUUGAACCCUCGGGGCAAGCCUUGUUACGCACCCUUUUCUUCAAAGAACACAUGCACCUAUAAUUAUAUUGAAGUUAGGUAAUCACUUUAACUAUAAAAAAGCCUUGGCAAGAAAAGAGAUAUAAUUUAUUAAAACAUCACCUCUCGAAAGGGUACAUCCAACGAUAUUGUACUGGCCCUCCGACCUUGGCUUUAUAUGCCAAAUGAACAAGUAGAUGCUCCAUUGAAUCAAAGAAAGAUGGUGGAAAAAUCAUCUCAAGAUUGCAUAAUAUUUCAGCAAUAAAUAGCUCAAGCUUCUCUAACUCAGCUAACUUAUACACCUUAGAGCAUAUGUCUCGAAAGAAUUUGCACAAAGCAUUUAUUGGUUCCCAUAUAGAGUUUGGUAAGAAAUCACGAAAGGCCAAUGGCAAGAAUCUCUGCAUGAGAACAUGGCAAUCAUGGCUCUUUAGCCCAAUUAUUUUGCAAUUGUCAAGGUUAAUACAAUGAGAGAUAUUUGAAGCAUAACCGUCUGGAACUUUCAACGAUUUAAGCCACUUGCAAACUUGCUUGACUUCUUCGCUUUUUAAAGAAUAUUUAGCUUUUGGCAAUUUAAAUUUCCCAUUACCACUCUCUUCAGGAUGUAAUUCAAAUCUUAUACCAAGCUCUUGCAAAUCUAAACGAGCUUUAAGGUGGUCUUUUGAUUUUCUAGUAAUGUUCAUCACAGUGUAAAAUAAAUUAUCAAAAAUAUUUUUCUCAAUAUGCAUCACGUCUAAGAAAUGUCUUAUUAGAAGCAAACUCCAAUAAGGCAAUUCAAAGAAGAUACUUUUCUUUGUCUAGUUAUGCUCGAUUCCAAACCCAGGAGUCUUAUCGGUACUAUUGUUUUUAUCCUUUCCAAAGAUGACCGAACUAAAUUGAGAUACAAAAUUUAACUCCUCAACACCUGUUAGUCGAGGCGGGGGAUUUCUCCGUUCGGUUUUAUUAUUGAACUUACUCUUCUCAGCUCGAUAUUUAUGAUUACGCUUCAACCAACGACGAUGGCAUCCAAAAUAACUCGGCUUCCUCCCAUGUUUAAGGUUAAAAGCUACACUUGGAUCCAUACAAGGACAUGACAAGGCCCCAUGUGUACUCCAACCCUUCAAUAUGCCUAGCGCAGGAAAGUCACUGAUUGUCCAUAUUACAGCUGCUUUCAUAUAAAAAUUUUGCUUUGAGAAAGCAUCAUAUGUAUCAACUCCAACAUCCCACAAAGUCUUUAGUUCUUCUAUAAGAGGUCGCAAAUACACAUCAAUCUCUCUUCCAGGUCCAUGUGGACCUGGAAUAAGCAGUGACAUAAACAUGUACUCCUCUUUCAUACACAUCCAAGGGGGGAGAUUGUAUGGAACAAGGAAAACUGGCCAUGUCGAAUGAGGUUUGCUAGAAUGCCCAAAAGGAUUAAAUCCAUCAGUAGCUAAGCCAAGUCUUAUACUACGAGCAUCUUCAGCAAAAGAUGGGUAAUUGAGGUCAAAAUAUUUCCAAGCCUCACUAUCAGCAGGGUGCCUUAGCUCACCUGGAAUAUCACAUCAUUUUUCUUUGUGCCACCUCAUAGGCUCGGCCGUUUUUGAUGACAAAUAAAGCCUUUGAAGCCUUGGUAUAAUUGGUAAAAAAACUUAAGACCUUCCUUGCUAUUGGUUUAUUCUUUUUCCCUUUAACACUGCCAUGGUUUUUAUACCUAGAUUCGUUACAAAUUGGGCAAGCAUCUAAAUCUGCAUAUUCUCCUCGAAACAAGAUACAAUCAUUAUUACAUGCAUGUAUUUUUUGUAGAGGUUGCCCAAGGUCCUUCAUUAAGGCCUUGCAGUGAUAAAAUGACUCGGGUAAUUUAUUCUUUUUAGGCAACAUUUCCUUGAAAGCUGAAAGAAAAGCAUCAAAUCCAGCAUUAGACAAACAAUACUUGGAUUUUAGGUGCAACAACAAAGUUACGGCUAAUAACUUGGUGUGAUUUUGACAACCAUCCCACAAGGGCUCGUCUGCAGCCUUUAGAAGGUCAUAGAACUUCUUUGAUUCGCUAUUAGGAUCCUCAUCAAAUUUAGGGCUAAUGCAGCUUGUAAUAUCCCUUAACAUGUCUUUAGGCCAAUUUGCAAUUCCCUCAUCAAUAUCGUCAUCUUAAUUCCCUACUUUCUUAAGUGACUCCCCAUGCUCCGUCCAUGUAGUGUAGUUUGGUACAAAUCCAUGCUUAUAAAGACACAUUUCUACAUCUUCACGUGAUUUAUAGUUUAUGAAAUCACACUUGGCACAAGGACACCGAAUCAUGCCAUCAUCUACGCACUCAGGAUUAGAAAAUGCAAAAUCAAGAAAUGUAUUGACCCCACUCAUAAAUUCAUGUAUAUGUUUAGACUUUUUCCCAACAUGCCUAUACAUCCAACUUCGAUCAUCCAUCUACCAUUUGUAAUUCAAAUAAUUGAAAAAUGUUCAUUUAUGGUGAUAAUUAACCCUUUUAUGAAAUAGAAAAGAAAAAAAAAACUGUACUGACUUUACAACUUAUUUUCUAGCACACUGUUCUUAACAUGGUCACAACUUAUAAUUAAAGAAAACAACAUAUACUACCUGAAUUCAAGAUAAUAUUGGUUAUGAGGUAGUAAAUCAAACAGAGAAAGCGUAAUCAGAGAAAGCAUAUUAGAUUUUCUAAUUAAUGUUCCUAAUUAGUUUUAUAUUAGAUUUUUUACAUGCUACACAGGAAUUGGGGCCAAAUUCGAACAGAGAAAGCAUAAUCAAAAUUCUAAAAUAAUUGGGGCCAAAUUGGAACAGAGAAAGUAAAGAGGGAGACAAUAAACACCCAAGGAAGAGAGGAUUUACCUUCAAAAUCACAAAGCUUAACUUGGAUCACAACUUUGGUACGUAGAAGAAAGGGAGAUGGUUUUAGUUACCGUCUAUGGAGAAGAUGGGAAGAGUUGUUUAGAGCCGCAGAGAGCACUGGGCAGAGGCCGUCGACUGAGAGGGAGUAGUCGACUGUCGACUUUGUCAAGAAAGAGGCAAGCAAGUAGCAACUGAAGCAAUCAAACAAAGAGUGAAGAAGGAGAACUGAAGAUAAGGGCUAGGGCAAAUGUCAAAUGUGAAAGUGAAAUCAGAAAUGGACCGCCGACUCGGUCACUUAGGAUUAUAGAUAGGAGUGAGAUAUAAUAAUAUUAUAAAAUUGUUUUUUUUAAGAAUUACGGUUCGGUUAUUCGGGUAUCCAAAUAACCAGUUUUUGAACACCGAAUCUGUAAUCGAAUACUAAAUAAUAAUUCGGAUAUAACUGAAAUUGUAAAAAAACCGAAAAACCGAAAUAAUUCGGUUAAAAAAUUUCGAUUCGGUUCGGUAAUUCGGUUUUAUUCGUUUUUUGCUCACUCCUAGUCACUGGACAUUUAAUUUUUGUUGGCUUGUUGUUGCUGACUUGCUGUAUUUUGGACAGUUAAUUAGGCUUGCAUUAUUAAGUCAUAAAUUUCAUGUUGGCUUGUUGUUGCUGCUGGACAAGUAAGUUAACAGUUGCUGCCUGCUGGGCAGUUAAUUUGCUAAAUAGUUAACAGGGAAUUUAUGUUGUAUGAUAUUUCGGUUAUUACCCGAAUAUCCGAAAUUACAAUUCGGUAUUCGGUAAUUCGGUUAUUUUCACAUUUCGAUUAGAAUUUUGGAUAGUGGAAUUGUCAUUAAUUCGGUUUUCGGUUAUAACCGAAUAGCUUAUUCGGUUCGGUUAUAACCGAAUGAUCACUCCUACUAAUAACUUGGUAUUUUGAAUCAAAUAUCGGCAUCGACACAUAAGGCUGUAAAAUGAGCAAACAGUUCGGGGUCGAUUCGUACUCGCUCGACUAAAAGUUCAAUUCGAGCUCGACUCUAAAUAUAAAUGAGUCAAAUAUGAGCAAAUUUUAAAGUUCUAUAAAUUACUCGAACCUCCUCAAAUUAUAAUUUUCUAUUGAUACUCGGAUCAUAUUCGUUCGAAAAGUUCAAACUGUUCAGGCUCGAUUCGGAAUCGUACUCGACUCGAUAGCUAAAUGAUCCUCAAUCAAACCUUAUAAUAUACUUGAUAAAAUUUGUGAACCAAAUCUGAUAGAAAUACAUUACGAAAAUUUAAAAAGAUUAUAAAAUGAGUUUUAGUUUUAGUUGGACCAGAUUAAGUAAUCUCAAGUACAUGAAAUUAAAAAUAAAAUAAAAUUAACAAAUUGAAAAAAACAACAACUAGUAGACUCGGGCGUAAAUUAACUUUUAAGGGUUUAAUACACUAUUUGUACGUUCCAAAUUUUAUAUUUGACUUUGUACCAUUGACAUUUAUUUUUUCGUGGGCAUAUAUUUUUAUUAUUAUUAGUUAUUGUCAAUUUUGGUGGAUAAAUUAUUUAAUGUUUGAAGACUAUUUGGGGGAUAUUAAAUAUAUCAUUACUCAUAAUGAUAUUAAAUAUAGUGGGUGCAGAUGAUAGUAAUGUUAUAAAAAAAUUUCAGGCUUCACAAAGAAGAAUAUAAGUUAUUGUAUUAAGCUUCAAUACUUUUUGUAAGAGUAAUAAUUGAUAUUAAAACAUCAUUUUUAUUAAUAAUAUUAUUUUAAAAUAAUAAAAGAGAGGAGACUUAAUUUGUAGCUUAAUCUAAAGAAAGUAUAUAAAUUUUUAAUAUUAUUUUAAUUUAUUUUACUUUUUUGAAUAACAAAUUUGUACUUAAUUACUAGUGGAUCAAUUAAUUCAUAUCUCACAAAUUUACUAAAAAUAAUAAUUAAAUGAUACUCUUUUUUUUGUAGAACAAAGGGUAUAUCAAAAGAUAAUUAAAUCAAAAGAAAUUUAAGCUAAUUAAAUUUAAUUAAAAGAUAAUUAAAAUUUAAACAAACAAAAAUAGACUAAUUUAGUGGCAUAUUCCACUCAUUUUGAAGAAAUGGCGGGAUCUCUGUUUCUAUCUUUAAUUUCAAGUACCAUUGUAUAAACUUCCCCAUCUUUUCCAUAGGCAGCAAACUGAAACCCUACAUCCAUCUUCUACCAAAAUUGUGAUCCCAGUUAAGGUUGUGAUUUCAAAGGUAAGUCCUCUCUUUGGGUGUUUAUUCUCUCCAUCUUUCCUUUCUCUGUUCUAAUUUGUCCCCAAUUCUUAUUUUAGAAUUGUGAUUAUGCUUUCUCUUUUCGAAUUUGGCCCCAAUUCCUGUUUUUAUAGAGAUGUUUUACGAACUGUUAUUGACAAUUUGAUUGUUCAUGUGUUUGUGGAGAUUUAAUAUAUAUAUAUAUAUAUAUAUAUAUAUAUAUGAUUUUGAUAGCGUAUUUACUAAUUUUAANNNNNNNNNNNNNNNNNNNNNNNNNNNNNNNNNNNNNNNNNNNNNNNNNNNNNNNNNNNNNNNNNNNNNNNNNNNNNNNNNNNNNNNNNNNNNNNNNNNNNNNNNNNNNNNNNNNNNNNNNNNNNNNNNNNNNNNNNNNNNNNNNNNNNNNNNNNNNNNNNNNNNNNNNNNNNNNNNNNNNNNNNNNNNNNNNNNNNNNNNNNNNNNNNNNNNNNNNNNNNNNNNNNNNNNNNNNNNNNNNNNNNNNNNNNNNNNNNNNNNNNNNNNNNNNNNNNNNNNNNNNNNNNNNNNNNNNNNNNNNNNNNNNNNNNNNNNNNNNNNNNNNNNNNNNNNNNNNNNNNNNNNNNNNNNNNNNNNNNNNNNNNNNNNNNNNNNNNNNNNNNNNNNNNNNNNNNNNNNNNNNNNNNNNNNNNNAUAUAUAUAUAUAUAUAUCCCUCGAUUUAUAUAUGUAUGUUAAUUAGGUACGUAUAUGUAUGCAUGAAUAUAUAUGAAACUUUGUUAGUUAAUUACUUUGGUUGAGAAUGGAUUGUAGUUUGUAAACAAAUCUAAUAUGAAACUGAUUAGGAAAAGACUUAAAUUGGAAUUCUUCUUUUGGUUGAAUGGAAGGGUUACUCAUUACUUCAUUAAUUUGACAUUAAUUUUGUAUUAUUUUGUUUAAUUAUGUUUUGGUUGGUUAUGUUUUUCAUUUAUUUUAUUCUAUUCCAAGUCAUUAAGAGCACAUGAUGUUUUAGGUAAAACACUGAUUCUACUGGACAGAUGAUUCAUGUACAAAACCAAAGUUAGUGCACACACCCUAUUAUUUAAUAUUCAAAACAUUGGGUUGCUGUUGGGGUGGGUCUGUAGGAGGGCAGGGGUGGAGUUGCAGGGGAGGCGAAUGGAAGAGGGCAAAAGUGCUGGAUGAAGGAGGGACGUUGGCAUGUUCUUGAAUGAUGGUAACCCAUUCUUUAUACAUUUUGAAUGAGAGUGGUUAAUUGCAAAAAAGCACUUGCAAUAGCUACAUUGAAAUUGGUUCCAUUUAUGAGGGACAAGAAAAGCAGCAGUGGGCAGUAAGGAACUGCUAUAACAGUUUUGGGUAUAUCAUUCUAGCUCUAGAAUCUAGUUUGAAGACUUAACCAUAGAGUUUUAGUUUUAGUUGGAGCUGUACAUUCUUUACCAUUAAUGAUUAGUGAUUCUAUUCAAAGUUACCAUGCUUUUUUAAGUUCUCACUUGGGUUUUUGUAAAUGGGUCAAGCUUUGCUUAUUGUGUGCAAGAAAAUCUGAUAUCGCUGUGAAAUCUAUAGUAAGAAAAUUAAAAAUGGUCACUUUGAUAUACUUGCACUUAAUUGAUGCCCACAAUUGUCGUCUUUAAUUGUACUAAUCCAUCAAAGGAGCAUGUCAAUAUUGUUCUAUUCAGCAGUACUAUGAUUUAAUUGAUGCCCUCAUAGUAUCCAUCAAAAGAACAUUUAAUCUUGAUGUAACCAGCAUGCCACGGAACCUGACAUGUGUAGCAAAAAAGCUUUUUACAGUUCAGACAUAUUAGAAAUGAUUGUUCCAUUGAAAUGAUUGUUUGGCAUAUUAGAGGAUCUAACAAGUGAUUACAGUCCAAAGUGGACGACAUUUAAUGCUGGCUACAUUGUCUUCAACUUUUACUUCGAUGUACUUGGUGAAGCAAUCCACACAAAAAGGAUGAAAACAUUCAUCAUUCUUCUUGAAAACAUUCAAUGCAUAUCUCACAAGUGAAAGUUGAACUCUCUUCUUCACCUGAUUUAUCCUCUUCUGUUUUCGCCAAACUCACCUCUUGUUUUUAGCUGUGUGUUCCCCAUUGUUUGUUCUGUUUCUGUUGCAAAAAAAUCAUCAGCUCAUGUGAGAAACAAUUAGAGAAAGUGGAAUUGUACAACAGAAACAUGCAUGAAGUUGUAUAUUAUUGCAAAAUAAAUGGCAACUCUUUCUACAAUUACAAAGAAAAUGCCAAACACAUUUUGAAUUUGCAGCUACAACUAUUACAUGUGUUAUACAAGAGAUGAGAAUACAUUUUGAACAUGCAUGUGUCAAUUUGUGAUCUACAACACAUUUUGAAAAUGCCUAACACAUUUUGAACAUGCAUGUGUUCUACAAUUACAUGAAUUAAUUUGCAUGUGUUGUACUUUGUGUUGUGCAUAUAGUAAUAGGUUCAAUUAAAUGUUGUGUCAAGUGAUAGUGCUAAUUUAUUUAUUUUUUGAUAAAAAAAUGUACAUGCUUGUGGUAUAAUUUCAAACUAGUUUUCCAAUGAGUCAUGAUUAAUUAUUGCUGAUUAAUAUGUUGGGUAUAUAAAUUGUUCUUUGUACGGUUGAAUGUUAUUGUCUUGACAGGUAAGAUGCUAAUUGAUUUUGGAGCUAGUAGAGUAGUGAAUAAUUUUGAAAUUGUAUUACAACAUCAUCUUGAAUAAUUUCUUUUAUUUAUCCUAUAUUUAAUUAUAAGUUUUUUUUCUUCUCCAGCUAUGGUGAGAACUAGAGGUGGGAGUAGUCUUUCCGGUAGGAGAUCAACUCUUCCUCAUAAUAGUGGCGAGACUGUUAACAUGAACAGAAUGAGAGAUGAGCCUAUUGUAUCUCAUGAUAGUGGUGAGAGUAUUGAUAGGGCUACACCGAAUACUACACAAGCCGAAAGGUUAUCUCGUAAGAAAAGGGGGCCAACUCUAGGGAUAAUAAAGCCUAAAACAGGCCAAACAAAGAUGCUUGUUAAUAUCAUUGGACAAAAGUAAGUUUUUACUAAUCUACUCGUGCUUGUCAAUAUGCAAGUUACAUACAAUCAAUUCUGGAUACGUUAAAGAUUCAUUUUCUGACACAUAAUAUAACGUCCGUUUUAACUAUAACAGGGUAAUCUAUGUAGCACAAUGUAAUCCAAAGAACAUAAAAGCAACUAAUCAUAUCAUGUUACUAUAAAAAGCAAUUAAUAGGGGUUCCAUUUAACAAGAUUUGAUUAAUCCUAUUGUGACAACUUUGUUUCUACUUUUCAUUAUUGUUGUACUAAUCAUAUCAUGCUAUGUUACCAUAUCUUGUAAUUAGCUUCCUUGAACCUGAAGCUCGAAGCAAGACUCACAUAUUAUUUCAAAAACGUUUUAAAGAAGCUCGAACCAAAUUCGAGCAAUGGCCAAAACAUGAAAUUGAACUUCUUUGGGGAGAAUAUUUGGUAUGUUUUAAUGAACACACAUUUUAAUUGUAGAAAAAAGUUUAUCAAAAAGUGUAUUAUUCAUUAUAUAUUAAUUAUUAUUUUUACUUGUGGAUGGUGUUAUAGAAAUAUUUUCGUUUCUCUUCAUCGAAGGAGGAGGGAAGGGGUCGAAUCAUAUGGGAGGAAAAUGCACGAAAAAGCUACCCAAACUAUUUAUGGAGAUGGAAAGAUGAUGCCAUUAAGAAGUUUGGCUCCAUUGAGGAAGCAAGGGAUAAAAAGCCUAAUUGGACAACUCUUGAUGUGUGGCAGGAGAUGUGUGAUUAUUGACUGAGUAAAGACUUUUUAGACUCUAGUGAGCUACAAAAAAAGAACAGAAACAUAACUACGUAUGUUCCUCACACAUCAGGCUCCAUAUCGUACGCCGUUAGGAGGGAACAAGAGGUAAAUUAUAAGUUGAUAAAAUCAAAUUAAUAAUAUGCGUAGUCGAUAAAUGCACAUGAUAAUGGUAAAAGAUUCAUAUCAUGAUGCUCUGUUUGGAGUUUUUAAGUGUUCAUGUGGUAUGUAUUGCUUAUUUUUAAUAUUAAUGUUUAUAAUUAAAAUAAUUAUUAUUUUGCUUGUUUUGUCUUAGAAACAAAGACUGCAUCGUCCGCCAACGCAAUAUGAGUUAUAUAAACAAACUCAUAUGAGGAAGGAGAAGGGUAGCGAGGAAAAAACGUGGGUUUGUGAUGAAGCAAAGAGGAAUUUGGUAUGAUUUUCUCUUGUAAAAUUAUAAACUUUGUUUACUCAUGCGAAAGUGAAGAUUGUUGUUCGUUCUUUUCAUAAUUAGUUAUGAGUAUUGUUAAUUAUAUAUACAUAUUUUAUGCAUUGUAUAGGAUGAUUAUGAGAGAAGACUCUUAGCCAAACAUGGUGAUACAGAUAAGCCCGUGAAUGAGUUAGAUGAUCCAAAUUUGGAGACAUGGCAGAAAACUGUUGGAGGCGUCAAAAAGGGUAGACUUGUUGGUCGACCAGGGGAAAAAUGGAGUUCUCGUCGUGGUUCGUAUUGUCCAUCUUUGGUUGCAGAUGAGAACUAUAUUAAAUUAAAGAAAAUGGAAAGCUACAUGACUUAUAUUCAUCAAUACACAAAAAAUAUGGCCGAAACACUUGCACUUGAUCCUCCUAUAGACUUUUGUGAUUUGUUUGCUUCAUCAAAUGCAUCAGCUGAUAUUCCAACGAAUAACUCAACCACGCAUGCUGAGAAUGACAACGGAGAUGAUGACGACUCUCAAGAAAACUUCAUGGAGAAUUCAGGAUGAUUUAGCUCUGCUUUACUUAUCAAUUUUAUUAGUUUAGGGUUCUUUGAUAGAUGUUGGGUUUGUUAAUUGUUUGAUGAACCUAUGACAUGUAGUUACCUAUUUAAGUAGUUGGUAAUGAAUUUAUUUUUAAUUAAAUGGAUCAGAUUUCUUCAUUUUAAUAAAUUUGUAUGAUUUUACGUUUCAAAUUUAUUGUAAUUUAUGUCAUUUAUAAAUUUGAAAUAUAAAAUUGGCAAUUAAAUAUAUUUUAAUAUAGGAAUUUGGUGAUGGCUUUACUAUCACCAAAACGUAUAAAAAGGUUACAAAAAUAGGAAUAAUUGUGAUUGCUUUAGCCAUCACAAGAGACUUAUGCCAUCACAAAAGAAUGUGAUUGUUUUGGCCAUCACAAAUAAUUGGUGAUUGUUUUGGCCAUCACAAAAAGAUGUGAUUGCUUUGGCCAUCACAAAUAAUUGGUGAUUGUUUUGACCAUCACACAAAGAUGUGAUUGCUUUAGCCAUCACAAAUAAUUGGUGAUUGUUUUUACCAUCACAAAAAGAUGUGAUUGCUUCGGCCAUCACAAAUAAUUGGUGAUUGUUUUGACCAUCACAAAAGAUGUGAUUGCUUUGACCAUCACAAAUAACUACUAUGCUAUCGAGAUUACUUUCGCCAUCACAAAUAACUUGUGUGAUUUCGUGAUGGUCAAACUAAUCACAAAAUACAUGUGCGCUAAUGUGACUGAUUUAGUCAUCACAAAAGGAUCGAAUGUUUUGGUGAUUGCCAAAACCAUCACGUAAAACCUUUCAUGAUGGACGUAUACAAAACGGCCAUCGUGAUGCUUAAAAUCAUCACGUAAACCUUUCGUGAUGGUUUUUUUAGUUUUUGUGAUGGAUUUUUGCCAUCACAAAUGACCAUUUUUUUAGUAGUGAUCGAAAGGACGUGGAAUUUAAUAUUGGAGAUCACGUGUUGUUACGUGUUGCUCCAUGGAAAGGAGUUACGAGAUUUGGAAAGAGAGAAGCUCAAUCCUCGAUUCAUUGACCCAUUUUUAAUCCUCGAGCGAGUAGGAACUAUGGCCUAUAGACUCGCCUUACCGCAAAGUAUGUCUCGUGUUCAUAACGUUUUUCACAUAUCUAUGUUACAUAAAUAUGUGAAAGACCCGAACCACAUUAUUGAAUUAGAACCAGACAAGAUAGAGGAAGAUUUAACAUAUGAAGAGUUACCUAUUAAAAUCUUGGAUAAGAAGGAUCAUAUUCUACGCUCCAAGGUUAUACCUCAAGUCAAAGUUUUAUAAGAGAAACCACGAUGUGGAGGAAAUGACCUGGGAGUUAGAAUCUGAGAUGAAGUCAAGAUAUCCUCGUCUCUUCGAUAUACCAGGUACGUACCCUAGUUUCGAGGAUGAAAUUUCAUAAGAAGGGGAGGUAGUAAGACCCCAACUUUUAUGAAUAAAGAAUAAUUUUCUCAAAAUAUAUUUUUGAAUAUUAUGGUGUGGAUUUGAUAUAAUGUUAUAGUUGUGGGUAUUAUUUACAAAUUUUGCAAAGUAAGCAAGUGGUUAUAUAAUAUUCGAUUGGUCGGGGAAUAUUCGUUUUAACAGGGAAUAUUCGUACGACGGUACAAUCAUUGGUGGACCCCACAAAGAAAGUAUUGUUGUAGUUAAAAAACGACAGAAUUAUCUUUUUAUAAAAAUAAUGGCGAAAGUGUUGCCGUUAAAACUGUUGAACUAACCGGUAAUAAAAGUACAGUAAUACGCGUGGUUGCAUAGUAGUACACAGUAUUGAUUAUUGAUGUUUACGUGAGAAGUCACUCAGUUAUACUCAAUUAUUACUAUAGUAAUUGUUGCAUCAUAUCUCUCAUAUUAUUGAUUCAAUUAUUGUCACAGUAUCAUCUGCAUAAUAUGUUAUAUUAUCAAAUCAAUAAUUGAGACGACAAAGUUAUUAAUAUUAUUAAAUUACAAUAUUGACAAUGUCUUGAAGUUCUGUCAAGGAGAGGUUAGAUAAUCUAAUUGCGCGCCAAUAGGGAGAAAUCCUCAUCGGAAAGCCCCCUCUUUCCUGGAAACUACCUGGUUGUUAAAUAUUAUGAGUUAUAAUAUUAAUGAUGAAUAAGUUUGUGUUGAUCAAAGAUGAAAUUAAUAGUUCCAUUGUAUGGAAAUUAUUAGUGUUAGUUGAAAAUCGACAUUUAUUUCGAUAAUAAUUGAUGUCUGGAGGUUUUAUUGACCAAUCGGGUAAUUAACCGGAUAAAUGAGCAAUUAAUUGCUAUUUAUUCACAUGCUUAUAACUAUGUGUUCACAUGUGUGUACUAUUGAUUCACAUGCAUGUACUGUUAGGGGAGUUGGUGCAAGAUUGAUAAUACUUGCAUGACUAAAUUAAAAAUUGAGGUAUAGAUGAAGGUACUAUACUAUACUUAAUUUUUUCACAUGUUUAGAACUAUUGAGUCACAAGAUUUACUAUUGAUUCACAUGAAUUACUAUUAGGGGAGGUGGUGCAAGUUUGAUAAUACUUGCAGGACUAAAUUAAAAAUAAAAAAAAAGAGGAAGGUAUUAUACUGUAAUAUUUUGAGCCCCAAAAUGUGCAAUUAUUGAAACUAUAUUUUCCUAUAAAUAGAAGCUCAUUCUUCCUUCAUUUCUUACCAAUUCACUAAAGCUAUAGAACAAUUAUUAUAGAGAGAAAUUAUAGAGAGAAAGAAGAAGAGAAGUAUGCUACCUCACUACUCCAGUAUCCAGUUUUCUUCUAAGGUAAGGGGUAUUAUUUCUUUCGUAUUCAUGAAGAGAGUUAUUUCUUUCAAUACUCGUAAGGGUUGUUAUUCCAUUCUUUAUUAUUCUGUUGGAAUAACCUGUAUAGGUGGAUUACCGAAUGCGGUGUGAAAUUCUUCUGUUAUUCCAUUCUUUAUUAUUAUGUUAGAAUAACCUGUCUGUGCAGAUUAUGCACGCCUGGUGAAUUCUUUUGUUAUUCCAUUCUUUAUUAUUUUGUCGGAAUAACCUGUCUGUGCGGACUACGCACGCCUGGUGAAUUCUUCUGUUAUUCCAUUUUUUAUUAUUCUGUUGGAAUAACCUGUCUGUGCGGUCUAUCGCAUGCCUAGUGAAUUCUUUUGUUAUUCCAUUCUUUAUUAUUUUGUUGGAAUAACCUGUCUGUGCGGUCUAUCGCAUGCAUGGUGAAUUCUUCUGUUAUUCCAUUCUUUAUUAUUCUGUUGGAAUAACCUGUCUAUGUGGAUUACCGCAUGCAUGGUGAAUGAUCCUUUGUAUUCAUUCCUUAUUAAAUUGUGGAAAUGAUAUGUCUACGUGGAUUACCGCAUGGCGGGCAAAAAUCCAUUUGCAAUUUUAUAUAUUCUAUUAUACUCAGUUGCUUAAAGUUUUGGCUUCUAUACUCCAUGAAAUUAGUAGAAUAUCCUGGAUAUUUGCGCUUCAUCCAAUAUCUUUUCAUGGACAUAUUCUUCUGAGCAUUCUUGAAUUUUACUCCACAAAGCAGUAUUAUGUUGACAAAUUGGAUGUUAUUAAUUUCUGGAUAAAUUAAAUUAUAAAUCUUUAAUAUUUAUCCUUGAACUUGUUUUAUUGAAUUAUUAUGUCAUUGUCAUCAUCCUCAUGCUUAUAUUGUGAUGAAAGUCAUCUUUGGCUUACGUGCAUAGAUGGAUUUGGUAUAAUUAUGACCAGGAAUUAUUCGGUAUAAUCAUGACUGUAAUGUGACGAAUGAUGUGGUGAAAGUCCUCAUUGGCCUGUAGUUCAUUGAUGGACAGUUGUUGGUAUGAUUAUGACCAGGGAUUAUUCGGUAUAAUUAUGACCAUUGAUGAUUACACGAGUAUCCUUGGCCAUAAUGCAUGGAUGAUUCGAUUUUAUUUAUUAAGCUGAGUCUCAGCGAUAAAGUUGAUGAAAAACUUUUUAAGUCAUAGAAGAUAGUAGAUUUUAUACUCUAUAAUUGACUCUUCUAAUGGAUUGCUUAUUCCGCUGUAGUUUUUUAUCUAAAACUUAUUGUCUAUUAUAUUCUUUCAGUUGUUAUACUGUUGAAGGCUAAGGAUAAUUUAUUUUGCAUUAUCUUAGUAAUAAUAUUUCUUACUGGGCUUGUUGAGCUCACCCUUUUCUUUCAUGGUUCUCUUCAAGAAAUGAGAACGUAGCUGGGACUAGUCGGGGAACAGAGUGACGGUCCAGAUGUUUGGAUUAGUAGUCCUCACUAUUCUGUGAAAUAGUGUGAUAAUAAAUGUAAUGAGGACUCCAUUGAGUGUGGAUAUUGUCUAGAUGACAAUAUUCUUAUUAAAACUCUUAGAUUAUGUUUUGUCGUAUUUUACACGACUGUUGUACAAUUAAGUUGUAUUUGAAUUUUGUACCAUGUAUCUGGCGACUCAAGAUGGCUGAUGUAUACCUAUUUUGGUGGCGUCACAUUAACCCUAUUGUUAUAUAUAUUAUAUCCGAUUAUUGUUUAUCAACAUAAUAUUAUACUAUAUAAUUCAGAUAUAUAUUCUGUUCAUUAAUUUCUAAAAAUGAUUAUACAAGUGUCUCCACCUGGAUAAUCAUUGUAUUUAAUCACAUGUUGAUAUAUAUAUAUAUAUAUAUAUAUAUAUAUAUAUAUAUAUAUAUAUACCUAUUGAACCCCAGUAUGUAUACAUUAAGUAAAAGUCGUCUAAGCUAUUCGACCAGCUAGACACAAAUUUAGUUAUAUCGUUUAAUAUGACAAAACUUUUUUGUAUCCAAUCAAAUUAUUUUGGUUCGGAUUCCAGACUAAGUAUGAACAUCCCGAACAUGAGAAAACUUUUAUGCGCCCAAGGCGGACAGAGUAAACGAUAAUAUCUUUCUUUCAUGCAGUAUUGAUCAAUACAGGGUCCAUGGGAUGUAUACCCUCGUGCCCGUAAGUUAUGACGGUUUGCAGAUGAAGUUCUGUUUAACCUUUUUGAAAAUAGAAAACAAUGUGUAUGUCACCCUAACCCUAUAUAUAGUCAAUACAUAGUUUCAAAAAUGUGAGAUAGAGUUGAUAUGUUAUUAUUAUCAGUUUAGUUUACUUCACAACUAUUGAAUCGUUGUAGAAGUAAUGUACAAAGAAAACAUUUAAUUCUUUCAGAUAAUUAUAUUUAUAAUUGUUAUUACUUGCUGGGCACUCAAAUGCUCAUCCUUGCUUAAUUUAAAUGUUUUCAGCUAAGCGUGAUCAACCUGAAGGUUUAGACAAUAAUAAGUGAAAAGGAAAGCAAACAGAAUAUGUUUAACGGUAUCUUUUGUAAUAGUUAAACUGUAUUAAGAUAAUGAUAUGUAUUAUCUAUCAUGUAAAGAAUUAUAGUAAAUGUUGCGUACUUGGGAUUAGACUAUGAUAUUUGUAAAUUAAGUUUGAUUUUUAUAUUAUUGUUAUUAUUAUUAUUAUUAUUAUUCUGCUCAUAAAAAUGGUAUCGUGAAGCACCGAGUUCGGGUUUCAAGUACCUAAAUUUGGGGGCGUCACAGUAUGGUAUUAGAGCUAUAGGUUAGAAACCUUAGGUGGGUUAAACCUUAGGCUAUAACCUUAGAACAGAGGGGAACGUUGAAAAUACAAAUAACUCAUAUAGAGUUUAUAAGGAGAUGAAUUUAAUAAAUUCAUCGUGAAACAAAAUAAAAGAUAACUAAUAAAACUAUUAUUUGCUAUGUGUUUAUACUUAGUGUUAAUCCGGAUAAUUUAUUUGUAUAGAUGUCAGAUAGAAAAAGAAUUAGAAUACCCUCAGAUCAUAAAGAAAGAGCAAAUCUCCAUGACCGAGCCAAUAUUAAAGCUAAUAGCUGAAAUAGAGGCACACAUUGAAAACUACCUCAAAGAGGAGGUUAUUUUGGAAAGUAUAAUACCAGAUCCAGAGACGAUAGUAUAACAGAUAGGUUGAGUGUAGUUAAAGAAUAUAUGGUGAAGCUUGAGUUCUUAAACUCAUUUAUUUGUGGUAAGUUCUUAAACUCAUAAUGUGUAGUAAGAAAAAGGGAAGUAUUUUAGAAUACCUCAUAUCAUUCUCGAAUUACUACUUCAUCUCCUCACCAGCUCUUGAACCCUUGACCUCUAGAAACUCAAUAAUCAAACGAGUACCAAAUGUCUACAAGGAGGACUAGUAUAGUUAUGUGUUAAUGGAUUAUUGAGGAUAAUAGAAUAUAUAGAAUGCUAAGCAAUUGAUCAUUAGUAAAGACGUAAGAAAUAGAUAGUGUUAGUAUUACUUGAAUAGGUAUGAUUCUAUGUGGUGUAAAUGAUAAGUAUGUCUGUGUAAGGAAAUAUUCUCAACUUUUGUAUAAGUUAUGGCUGCGAUUCCUGACUUGUGUGUUAUAAAGGAAUAGCGGAUGUUUAAAGCAGUAUGUGCUAUGGUAUGUCAAGUGAUAUGAAUAUGAGUCUAUGUUGGAUUAACGAAAUAAGUUGAUAUAAAGAUAGUAAUUAUUUAUCUGAACACUGGUUAAUACAGUAAACCGAAUUUUCAAAAUCUAAAAUUUUGAGUACAUGAUUAUUUGAAUAGAAAGUUUUGCGUUAUUUGAGAUGCAUGUACGAUAAGGCUUAGAAUGUAAGUUAAUAAGAAUAAUUUAUGAUAAUGCCAUCGAGAAGAAGAACCUGUCAAUAAAGCUAGAAGAUAACCAGACCCGCCAUAUAAUUUUGCGAAUGUGGACGCUCAAGCUAUGCAGAACGGAAUCCCAGCCGCGGGAAAUCGGCCAGAUAAUCGAUCGACAAACUUUAGAGACUUCAAGGCAAUCGUACUGCCAAGAUUUAGAAGAUCAACUGAUCCUGUUGACGCGUUUGUGAUAGUUAGGGUAACAUAGGGGCAAAAAGACAGCUUUUGCCACCUAUACGAUGAAAGGAGAUAGUUUUGAUAAUACCUGAAAUAAGCCAAGAGUGUGAUGGAAAGGAAAGUUUGUGUGUUGCAAAUGUGGACAGGAGGGAUAUAUCUCUCCUAACUCUCCCAAUCCAAAAGUGUAUAGUGGGUGUUUUAUUUGUGAGUUAAGGGAGCAUAAGGUGAAAGACUGUUUAAGAAAGAGAAGGGAGGCAAGGAAUGCGAAUACGAGGAGAGGCAGCAGGACAUUGACGACAACGAGACCAACUUCAACAAACAAACUGACGGAAUCAACCGCAAGAGUCAUCAACAUGACUGUUUAGGAUUCGGUAGCAGCCGGGGAUGCAACUCCAAGUAUUACUCGAACCAAUUUUAUUUUCUUAUAUAUGAUUUUCUUAUAUAUAUAGUAAAUUAUUUUAUAAAUUAUUUUGAAGGAGGAAUUUGAGUUCUUUUAGAAAUCAAAUUUCUGUUUAUGAAGAUAGAUAAGCUUUUUGCUGAAUAGUUAAAGAUCAGUUAGAUCAAUUAUGAUCGAGAUCUACUUGCAAUGAUUGUAUAGGUUAUGUACCCUUAUAUGUAUAGGUUUUAAAACGGUGAUUCCGGGGACGAAAUCUUUAUAAGGGAGGGUGAAUGUAAUAACCCGAUAUUUUCUAUAUAAUUAAAUCAGAAAUUUUGUGUAUGAAUUUAUUUAUUUAUUUAUUUAUUAAAGUUGGAAAUAUGUGCCAGGUAAUGUGUAUAUGUAUAUAUGUGAUAAAUAAAAUAUAUUUAUUGCAUGAAUAAUUACCAAUAGUUUUAUUUUAGAAUUAUUGCUCAUUAUAAAUUAUAUUAUAAUAAUAAUUAGUUUUAUAGUAGAAAUGUUUUUAUUAAUUCUAUUCUAUGAAAAUGUGUUUAUAUAUUAUUUAAAAAUUAUAUGAAAUGAUUAAAGACUUAUUAUAAUGAUUAUUCUGUUUUAUUAUAUGAAUUUUAGUUCAGAUUAUUUAAGUUAAUUAUUUUAACUUAAUUAUUAUUGUUAUGUAUGCAAGAUAAAUCAGAUAUGGAAUCCAAAUCCUAAUUUUGGAUUUUGAACAACGAAUGAGAAUAAUAAUAUAAUAUUAAUUAUAUUUUUAUUCUUCAGUGCUAUAAAUAUGUAUGUUAUGUUUGUAAGGUUAAUCUGGGGAGCAAUUUCCUUAUGACCUGAUAAAACCCUAAUUUGAAAGUCAAUUACGACUGUAAAAUCUGUUAAGUCAUUGUGAUAUGUGGUAUAUGAUUUGUAUUAUAAGUAUUAAUGUUAAUUAUAUAAAACCCUAAUUAGUAAUUUAAAACUCUAUUUUUCUUAUAUUAGAAACCCUAAACAGUAAUUAGCUAUCCGCUAAGUGGAAACCCUAAUUUAAAACUCAACUAUGAGUUUGAGACUAUUAUGUAACUGUGUUAUUAUGUUUAAGGUUAAGUAUUAUAGAAUUUUAUAUUAAUUAGAGAAACCCGAAUUAACAUUUAGAAAUCCUAAUUUCCAGAAACCCUAAUUUCUAAAUUAGUAAACCUAAUUUCUAAAUUAGUAACCCUAAUUUACUAAAAUAAAAUCCUAAUUGUUAAUUUAGCACGCUUAAUGAUAAUUAGUAAAAUCUAAACCUAAUUUUCAAGUCUAUGUAAUGAGGAAACCAAAUUAAUUACGAAACCUUAAUUUGUAUUUUUAGAAACUAAAAAUUUCAAUUUUUGUUUAAAUUAGAAAUCCUACAACACUUUGUGCUAAACCUUAUGGUCAAACCCUAAGGGUCAAACCCUAAGUGUUUGAUAAGUUACUAGUUUGCCCUUAAAUUGGUUAGCCAAAUGACAAAAAUACCCCUCUUGCAUUAUUGGACAUAACUUGUAAGACUAACCAAUUUUGAGUUGCUCAACAACUCUUACCAGCCCCAUUUGACUAAAAUGCCAGCAAUUAGCCAACUUGAUUUCAUGUUAUAUAUAGAGAGAUCAGGAAAGAGAAAUUUCAUUUAUUAGCCACAUUUGUACAAAAAACUCCUUACCAACUCUCUCUCUCCCAAAACCCACGAAAUGUUGUAGUAGAUCAGUCCCAUAUUAAAGCCCCACUAACACACUUAACCAAAUCAGCAGCCAGAAUCAAGAAUUGAUGUUUAAAGGUAUAAAAUCCUAAGUUAAAGUUUUGAUCUUGUAUGCUAUAUUGGAUUUAUGGUUUUUAUGUUUAAUCAUGUAGAAUAAGGUGUUAAUAGGUGAUCUGGGUUGGCACAUGUUAGAUCCAUAACAUCAAAGUGCUCGAAAUCUAAGUUUUUCAAAAUCUGGAAUUUUUUGUUUUUGUUGUCUGACAGCGAAUGUCAGGCCUUGUAGAUCUGUGCUUGUUUAUUGUUUUGAUGAUUUAAAGGUUUGAAGUGGUAGUUUGGUAUGAGGUCUUUCAUAUGAAAGUGGAAUCACUGUUAUUGGAUGUCUAGAUCGAAAGUUAUUGAUGGUCAAAAGUCGUUGACCAACCAUGACCGAGUGUAAAUCUGGGCAACCCAGAAAGCUUUUUCAGCGUCUGACAAUGUUUUGGAAGGCUUAGAUCUGUCAGUGUGUAAAUGAUUUGAUGAUGUUAUAAUAUACAGUUUAUAGCCUGUCAUAUGUACUUUAUAUUUGUGGCUUUAGAUCCUUUAAACAAACAAUUGAUCAAACUUAGUGGAUGGUCAAACUUGGCCCCUCGGUCACGAUUUCAUUUCUGGGAAUUUCCAGAAAAUCGGAAGAACAGCCCUCUGACAGGGUUUGACCAAGUUAUAUCUUGUAGAUCUGUUGAUGUUAAACUGAUUUGUUGUUAUAUUAUUGUUCCUGGACAUAAGGACUACAUCUUUGAGGCAUUAGAUCACUUGAAUCAUGAACGGAACCUAGAUUAAAUCGAGGAUGAAAGUGACUGGUCGACCACCUGGGUUUCUGGAAAACCCAGGAAUGCUCUGACAACAUAUUUGCAAGCCUAGAUCUCCUUGUGUGUUUGUUGUAUGACCUAGAUAUUGAUUGCUAGUUAUAGUGUUGUAUAAUGACUUCAAUAUUGAUGCUUAAGUUUGCCCAGAAACGAAUUAGACAGAGAAUUAUUAGUGGUCAAAGUUGACCCCUCAAACACAAAGCUAUAAGUGUUCUUGAGCUCAAGAACACCAACAGCGACGCUUACUGUCGCUAAAAGCCAAUAACGACGGUUUCUAAUACUUUUAAUUUCUGAUUUUUCGAAAAAUACUUAAAAAUAGAAAAUAAAUUAUAAAAAUUACAAAAAUGGUUUUAAAAAUUAUUUUCAAUUAUGAAAAAUAACUUUUAAUUAUUUGGGAUAUUUUUCAUUAAUAUUUAUAUAUUUUUUAAUAUUAAUAAUAUUUAAUUUAUUUAAUUAGUGUAUUAAAUAAACUAGAGAAAAAUGAUUUUAAUGUUAUAAAAAUCAAUUGAAAUAAGAAUAAAGUGUUUAAAAAUAUUUUUGAGUUAUAUAUGUAACUUUUAAUAUUUUUGUGAUGAAUUUCAUUAAUUAAUUAAUAUUGGUGAUAAUUAAGUAAUUUAAUAAAUGUAUUAAAUAAAUUAUGAAAAAUAGAAUUUGUGAUUUAAAAAUCAUAUAAAAGUGAUUUAAAGAUUAUAAAAAAAUAUUUAAAGUUAUAAAAUAUAACUUUUGAUAUUUUGUCAUGAAAAAUAUUAAUAAUUUAAUAUUAAUAAUAUUAGAUUUAUUUAAUGAUUAUAUUAAAUAAUUUAGUUUAAAAAUAAUUUUAUUAUUAUAAAAAUCAUUUUAAAUGAAAAUAAAGUGUUUAAAGAUAUUUUAAGUUAUAAAAUAUAACUUUUAAUAUUUAAAGGAUAAUUUCAUUAAUAAUUUAAUAUUAAUGAUAUUAAUUUAAGAUUUAUUGAUAUUAAAUUUAUUUAAUAAUUAUAUUAAAUAAAUAUUUUUAAAAUGGUUUUAUUAGUUUAAAAAUCAUUUAAAAGGAUAUAAUUGAAUUAAAAAUAUUUUAAGUUGGAAUUAAUGACGUUUAAUAUUUGGAUAAAUAGUAAAUUAAUAUUUUAAUAUUAAUGGUAAUUAUUUAAAAAUGAUUUUAAAUGUUUUAAAAAUCAUUUAAGGGUAGUAUUAGUACUUUAAAAAUAUUUUGAGUUAUUAUCAAUAACUUUAAUAUUUUGGUAAUGAUUAUAUUAAUAAUUUAAUAUUAAUUAAAUAUUAAUGAUAAUAUGAUUAUGUACUAUUUAAAUCAUUUAAUUAUGAUUCCAGUGUUUGAAAUUUCAUAAUAAAUUAUAAUAAAUGUUUAAAAAUUAUUAUAAGUCAUUUAAAAAUAAUAUGAUUGAUACUUGUAGAUAUUGAGAUACAAUAUAGAGUCUUAGACUCGAUAUUUACCCAAUAAAGCCGUCGGUAGACCGACAUAUUUUAAAAAUUGAUCUAGACUUAGAUAUUUGACUGUAUUAAUGUUUGUUUGUGAUUUAAUGAUUGUUGAAUAUGUGUGACAAUGUGAUUAGGUUAUGUCCUAACUGCAAUAAGAAGUGCUAUGUGUUAUAGUAUGUUAUUCUAAUCGAACAAAUGAUUUUAUUAAUGAUAGGUUUUGGUAUUAAAGAUAAAACUAAGUUGUGUAUUGUAAGUAGCAGACCAGACAAGUAUCCUAUCUUUGCAUUUUCAUUAUGCAAUGGACAUGAGUAAGAAGUUUAGAACUGUAUUACUACUGUAUCAGAUUAUUAACCCUAUUGUUAUAUAUGUUAUAUCCGAUUAUUGUUUAUCAACAUUGUGACGACCCCAAAAUAGUUAUACAACACCCAUUCUGAGUCGCCAUAAUACAUGGUACAGAAAGAAAACUACAACUUCACUAUUACAAUUGUCAUGCAAAAUACGACAACACAUACUGUGAGUUUAAAUACAAAUAUUGUCUUCUAGACAAUAUCCACAAUCAAAUAAGUCCUCAAUACAUUUAUUAAUACAUUAUUUUACAAAAAUAGUGAGGACUGCUAAAAUAACUAUCUUGAAUCAUCACUCCAUACCCCGGCUAGUCCCUGCUAUAUUCUCACCUCCUGAGAAGAAAAAUGGAACAACAAGAAAAAGGGUGAGUUCAACUAGCCCAGUAAAGAAUAUUAUGACUAAGAUAAUAUACAACAAAUUAUCAUUAGUCCUCAACAGGGAAAAAUCUGAUAGAAUAUAAUAGACAACAAGUUUUAGAUCAGCAAAUGCAGCGGAAACAACAAUCCAUUAGAAGAGUCACGUAGAGAAUGAGUUCUACUAUCUUCUAAGAUUUAAAAGUCCAUCAUCAAUAUUUUAUCCCUGUAACAACAAUCAAUAUACAUCUUUACACUACAGGCCAAAGAUAUUCAUUUAAAUCACCAGUCGGUCAUGUUCAUCUCAACACCUGUUCAUCUUUGCACUACGGGCCAAAGAUAUUCAUCAGUUUAUCAUUCAUCUUUGCACUACAGGCCAAAGAUAUUCAGUAAUAUCAUCAUUUAGGACUGAGGAUGAUGAAAAAUAUUUUUUUUUAAAGAAACGAAUCCAGUGAAACAAAAGGACAAGGAUUAAGAAUUCGUACUUUAGUUUGUCCAAAUUCAAAAAUACUCCAUAAUAAACAAUUAUGGGACAAAUUUUAAGAAUGAAGAUCAAAACAUGGAUAUAAUCAAAGCUAGUAUCAUAAUGGACAUUUUGGAUAAAAAGGAAAUUUUUUAUUUUUCGGUGAAUAAUGUCGUAUUCGUGAAUAGUGCUGUAUACGUGAAUAGUGCCGUAUACGUGAAUAGUAACCCCGACACAAAAAGUUCCAAAUUUGAUAAAAAGAUCAGAUCAAUAUUUCGACGUAAUGAUAUUGACGAAAAUAAUAUCAUUCAUGAAGAAAAUAAUAUUCCUUACCUCAAAGAAGCAGUACUUCGGAAUGAAAGGUCGGAAGUGAUGCUGAAUGAAACUUGUACUGAACAACAACUCUCAAAGUAUCUAAAUACUCACAAAAUACGCUCGAUAAUAUAGAGAGAAAGAGAGAAAGCUUAUGUUUCUUGUGUGAUUUUCAAUUCUAACUUAGCCAUCUAUUUAUAGAAAAAUGUUAACCCGCCGAAGCAGACUUGACCUGCUACCUGAUGGCUUUACCUGUUACUAUUGCCACCCACCACAUUUAAAAUUCAAUUUGAGCACAUUUCUCACCAACCACAAGUGGGGCCCAUUCAAUUCUAGAAUUUUCCACCAAAAUCAUUUAUAACCCUAAUUUCCGAAGCAGUCACCUCUUAAAAUUCAUAACAAAUCAUUCGUUCAUUUUUAACGGUUCAAAAUUUGUGGACAUAUACCCAACUUAUAUAUGUAUAACAUAACCAAAAAUCACAACAAUCCAACGGUCAGAGUAAAAAUUAUAACUCACGCAAUAUAUCGUAAAAAUACUGAUUUGAUUUUUAAUACCUCCAUUCCGACAAAAAUAUAGAUAAAACACCUCAACAUUAACUCCUUCAAUUAUAAUCACAUAAAAUAAACAAAUCCAUCAUUUAUAUAAAAUAAAUAUUUCCUUAUCAUAUAAAUCAAUAAUUAAUUAUUCACAAAUAAUAUUAUAGAAUCACAAUUAUGACAACCAAGCCGUUUCCAGGAAAGAGGGGGCUUUCCAAUAAGGAUUUCUCCUUACUGGCGCGCAAUUAGAUGACCUAACCUCUCCUUAACAGAACUUUCUAGACAUUGCCAAUAAUGCUAUCUAAUAAUAUUAUUAAAGCAAUAUGAAUUAUUGAUCUGAUAAUGGGAAAUACUGUGCAGUAACAAUAAUUGAAAUAAUAAUAAUAUAAAAUAUCAACGCAGCAAUUAUUGAAUCAAUAAAAUAAAAUAUUAAACAGUAACUACUGUAACAAUUAUUGAGUAGUGCCUUCUUACGUAAGAAUCAAUAAUUCAACUAUACUGUGUAAUACCGUGUGCUACUGUGCAACUACGCGUAUUACUGUAUUUUAACCACCAGGUAAUCCAACAGUGUUAACGGUAACAACUGCGCCGUUAUUUAUAAAAACACAUACUUGUCGUUUUCCUUCAUCCAACCAUUUUUCAUUAUGGGGCCCACAAAUGGCUGCGCCGUCGUACGAAUAUUCCCUGACAGCAAGAAUAUUCCACGACGAAACGAAUAUUCCCCGACAACAAUGAAUAUUUUAUAACCACUUGCUUAUUUUGCAAAAUUUGCUUAUCUCAUCCAUAACCAAAAUAUUAUAUCAAAUUAACACCUUAUUAUUCACAAUAAUAAUAAUUAGAGGAAAUUCAAUUUCAUUUAUAAAAAGUUGGGGUCUUACAAACAUGAUAUUAUAUUAUAUAAUUCAGAUAUAUAUUCUGUUCGUUAAUUUCUAAAAAUGAUUUAAUCACAUGUUGAUAUAUAUAUAUAUAUAUAUAUAUAUAUAUAUAUAUAUAUAUAUAUACCUAUUGAACCCCAGUAUGUAUACAUUAAGUAAAAGUCGUCUAAGCUAUUCAACUAGCUAGACACAGAUUUAGAUAUAUCAUUGAAUAUGAUAAAACUUUUUUGUAUCCAAUCAAAUUGUUUUGGUUCGGAUUCCAGACUAAGUAUGAACAUCCAGAACAUGGGAAAACUUUUAUGCACCUAAGACGGACAGAGUGAAUGAUAAUAUCGUUCUUGCAUGCAGUAUUGAUCAAUACAGGGUCCUUGGGAUGUACACCCUCGUGCCCAUAAGUUAUGACGGUUUGCAAAUGAAGUUCUACUUUACCUUUUUGAAAAUAGAAAAUAAUGUUCAUAAUAUGUCACCCUAACCCUAUAUAUAGUCAAUACGUAGUUUCAAAAAUGUGAGAUAGAGUUGUUAUGUUAUUAUUAUCGGUUUAGUUUACUUCACAACUAUUGAAUCGUUGUAGAAGUAAUGUACAAAGAAAACAUUUAAUUCUUUCAGAUAAUUAUAUUUAUAAUUGUUAUUACUUGCUGGGCACUCAAAUGCUCAUCCUUGCUUAAUUUAAAUGUUUUCAGCUAAGCGUGAUCAAUCUGAAGGUUUAGACAAUAAUAAGUGAAAAGGAAAGCAAACAGAAUAUGUUUAACGGUAUCUUUUGUAAUAGUUAAACUGUAUUAAGAUAAUGAUAUGUAUUAUCUAUCAUGUAAAGAAUUAUAGUAAAUGUUGCGUACUUGGGAUUAGACUAUGAUAUUUGUAAAUUAAGUUUGAUUUUUAUAUUAUUGUUAUUAUUAUUAUUAUUAUUAUUCUGCUCAUAAAAAUGGUAUCGUGAAGCACCGAGUUCGGGUUUCAAGUACCUAAAUUUGGGGGCGUCACAAAUAUGGCUCAGUUAUUGGAGCGCGAUAAUGAGUCAACCCAACCAAGAGAGAGUAGCCGACAAAAUGAUAAUACCAGUGGUAGCAGUCAUCGAAGCGGUGUCAACAAACGUGGAGGGAAUCAACAUGCUAGAAAUGGUAACCACUUCGGUAGUAAUCAUGGCGAAGAUAAUAAAAAUGGAAAUUUCAAGAAGAGGAGAAUCAACAAUGAUGGAAAGACGUCAGCACCAGAACCCGUUGGUAAGGAAGGAGAACGACCAGCGAUCGUAUGCUACAAAUGCGGAGGGGAGGGAUACAUCAGUCCAAACUGUGCGCAGCCGUCCAAAAUGUAUUAUAAUUAUGGAAGAGAAGGUCACCUAGCUCGAUUUUGUCUUGCAAGGAAGCCAAGUCAAGCUGGGAUGGAGGCACCAAAGGUCAUCCCAGAAAAGUCAAAACCAGUAGUUCAAGGGAGAGCGUUUUUCGUGACCUCCCAGAAAGCAAGGAACCUGAACGAGGUUAUCAUGGGUAAGCUAAUCAUAAACUCUAGCGAAGUAUAUACCUUAUUUGAUAACGGUUCUACCCAUUCUUUUAUUUUACUAUUGGCACUCAACGUUUAAAUUUAACUCUGGAGAAAUUAGACUUUGACUUAUCUGUUAAAACUCCGUUGGGAGAAACCUUCAUUACAUCCACUGUUUAUAAGUCUUGUUUAGUUCAAAUCGGUACCCUCACAUUACCUGUCGAUCUUAUUUCUUUAAAAAUACUUGCAUUUGAUGUGAUUUUAGGGAUUGAUUGGUUAACUACUCAUCAUGCAAAAAUUGAUUGUUUUCGUAAGGUUGUUAGCUUUCAUAUUCCUAACCAACCUAUUAUGCGAAUUCAAGCAACCAAACCACUAAAGUCAAUCACUGUCAUAUCAAGCCAUAAAGCUAUUCAUUUAUUGAAAAAUAGAUGUCAAGCUUUCUUAGCCCAUGUCACAAAUUUAAACAAAAAUACGUCAUAUUUGAAUGAUAUUUCUAUUGUUAAUAAAUUUCCAGAUGUAUUCCCUGAAGAACUUCCUGGCCUACCCCCAGAGCGUAAAAUUGAGUUUGUAUUGACCUCGAACUCGGUAAAAGACCCAUUUCCAAAGCCCCAUAUCGAAUGGCUCCUAUUGAACUUCAGGAGUUAAAAACCCAACUGCAGGAGUUGUUAGACAUCUGUUUCAUUUUUCCUAGUACGUCUCCUUGGGGUUCUCCUGUUCUAUUCGCAAAGAAGAAAGAUGGGAGUAUGCGACUUUGUAUUGACUAUCGGGAGUUAAAUCAUGUCACUAUCAAAAAUAGGUACUCGUUGCCUCGCAUUGAUUACCUGUUUGACCAGUUGUAAGGAGCCAAAUUCUUUUCAAAGAUCGAUCUUCGUUCUGGAUAUCACCAGUUAAAGAUUAAAACUGAUGACAUCCGAAAGACUGCUUUCAGAACUCGGUACAGGCAUUAUAUAUGAAUUCCUAGUCAUGCAUGUCCGUUGGAUUGACUAAUGCUCCUGCUGCUUUCAUGGAUAUGAUGAACCGAGUAUUCAAGGAAUAUUUGGAUCAUUUUGUGGUCAUUUUUAUUGAUGACAUCCUCAUAUACUCCAAAAUCCGUGAAGAUCAUGAGCAACACUUGAGGUUUAUACUUCAAAAGUUUCGUGAAAACAAGCUUUAUGCCAAGUUGAAGAAAUGCGAGUUCUGGCUUAAGGAAGUGGCAUUCCUUGGGAACGUGAUAUCAAUUCACGGAAUAUCUGUUGACCCAUUGAAGAUUAAAGCAAUUCAGAGCUGGGAGCAACCUAAGUCAGUGACCGAAGUACGUAGCUUUCUGGGCUUAGCUGGUUAUUAUCGGAGAUUCAUGGAUGGAUUUUCUCGAAUUGCUACUCUAUUAACUCAGCUGACUCGAAAAGAUACAAAAUUCGGUUGGAGCGAGGAAUGUGAGAAAAGUUUUCAAGAACUCAAGAGAAGACUCAUUUCAGCACCUGUUCUGAUAAUACCAUCUGGCUCGUAGGGAUUUAUCAUCUACAAUGAUGCUUCAGGCAAAGGGUUAGGAUGUGUUCUCAUGCAACAUGGGAAAGUCAUAGCCUAUGCAUCAUGACAACUCAAAGAAUAUGAGAGGAAUUAUCCUACUCAUGAUCUAGAGUUGGCAGCUGUCGUUUUUGCGCUUAAGAUUCGGAGGCAUUACCUGUAUGGAGAGAAUGUGGAGAUCUAUACGGAUCAUAAAAGCCUCAAAUAUUUCUUCACUCAAAAGGAGCUCAACAUGCGACAACGACGUUGGCUUGAGCUAUUGAAAGACUACGAUCAUACCAUUUAAUACCAUCUUGGAAAAGCGAACGUAGUAGCUGACGCAUUGAGUAGAAGAUCAUAUGCGGGUACGAGUGCGAUAUUGUUAACGCAAAGACCCAUUUUGUAUGACUUACAAAGGAUGGAAAUAGAGUUAAAGACUCUAGGGACCCAAGUGAUGAUGGCAAAUAUACGAUUAGAACCGACUUUAAUCGAUAAAGUUAAAGCUGCUCAACUUACGGACCUGGAGCUGAUGCGUAGUAGGAAGAAAGUACAAGGUGCUAUCCUGGAAGCAAGAAUCGAUGAAGAAGGAAUACUAUGAGUCAACUCUAGACUUUGUGUUCCUAACGACCCUAAUUUAAAGUAUAAAAUCAUGAUGGAGGCGCACAACACACCGUUUGCAAUCCAUCCUGGGAGUACCAAAAUGUAUCGUGAUCUUCGACAUAUAUUUUGGUGAAGUAAUAUAAAGAGAGAGAUAACAGAGUUUAUCUCAAGAUGUUUAACUUGUCAACGUGUCAAGGCGGAGCAUCAAGUGACAAAAGGUCCAUUGCAACCACUUGAAAUUCUAGAAUGGAAGAGGGAGCACAUUACCAUAGAUUUUGUUAUUGGUCUUCCCAAGGUUUCUCAAGGCAUAGUUGCAAUUUGGGUCAUUGUUGAUAGAUUGACCAAGUCUGCUCAUUACUUACCUAUACGAGAAACCUAUACACUUGAACGUCUUGCUCGUAUAUACAUAAACGAGAUUGUAAGACUGCAUGGUAUACCAGUAUCCAUAGUUUCUGAUCGAGACCUAAGAUUACUUCACGAUUUUGGGUCAGUUUGCAGAAAGCUAUGGGCACGGAUUUGCGAUUCAGUUCUUUGAUGCCCCCAAAAUAGGUAUACAUCACCCAUUUUGAGUCGCCAGAUACAUGGUACAAAAUUCAAAUACAACUUAAUUAUACAACAGUCGUGUAAAUACGACAAAACAUAAUCUAAGAGUUUUAAUAAGAAUAUUGUCCAUCUAACAAUAUCCACAAUCAAUGGAGUCCUCAUUACAUUUAUAAUCACACUAUUUCACAGAAUAGUGAGGACUACUAAUACAAACAUCUGGACCGUCACUCUGUUCCCCGACUAGACCCAGCUACGUUCUCAUUUCCUGAAGAGAACCAUGAAAGAAAAGGGUGAGCUCAACUAGCCCAGUAAGAAAUAUUAUGACUAAGAUAAUGCAAAAUAAAUUAUCCUUAGCCUUCAACAGUAUAACAACUGAUAGAAUAUAAUAGACAACAAGUUUUAGAUCAAAAACUGCAGCGAAAUAAGCAAUCCAUUAGAAGAGUCAAGUAGAGCAUAAAAUCUACUAUCUUCUAUGAUUUAAAAAGUUUUUCAAAAUUUUUAUCGCUGAGACUCAGCUUAAUAUAUAUAUAUAUAUAAAAGCAAUAAACGCACCGGAUGUAGACUUACAGUGGACUGCCAAAGUAGACUUCUUGGACUGCAAAUGGAUGAACACUCGUCUCUCGCCGGACUAAAAGUAGCUAUAUACGAGCUAACUAGUGUUUAAAGAAAAGGAAACACUCAAAAGAUGUGUAUGCAGAGCUAAACGGACAGGGCUUCCUCGCCUUUUUCCCUCUCUUCCUUCUCUCAAAUGGCUGACCCCCCCUCUAUAUUUAUAGACGGAUGGCCGCAGGUCUACCUGCGGCUGGUCGUGGUGGGCCCGGGCAUCGCGGGUCUCGUCGUCUUGUAGUACGUGCACUUGCGCACGGUAAUGUCCAAUCGAACUUUCAGAACUUCAAUCCUAGCAUCCAAACGAAGCGUGUCUGUACUUCUUCGGACCGCUGGUGUCGAGAGUUACGUAAUGACAUGGAUUAGAGGUUGUACGAAGUCAGGAAGCGGGGUAUAUGCCCAUGGUCUUCAGGCUUCAAAUUCUAUCCAAAGUAUUGUCACAGGUAAUAGUCACUCGGGAUUGUCAUUCCUCGGUUAUUUGGGACAUUGUUGUAUGUAUGUAUGUCUGAAAGGUUGAGACGACGUGCCAUUUGUUGGACGAACAAGAUGAUGUUUGACUCUUUGCCGGAGUUAUCGCCUGGUUGAGCUGAAAGUAACCGUUGCUCAGGUUACAUCUGAGAUUGGACUACUUGUUGGUAUGCUGCUAUAUCAUCUUGUUACGAGAUGACGUUGGUGACUCCUCACCGGGUUUAUCGCCGGUUUAAGCGGAAAGCAGACGUUGAUCAGGGUUACAGCUAAGAUUGGACCGCCUAUUUGUAUGCCUCACUGUCAUCUGUGAUUGAAGCUGAUUGCAUGUGUUUGCAACAAGCAAUUCUGGAGUUAUCGCCGGAACUGCGAUGGCAUCACUUGGGGUUAUCACCAAGGAUGGGACUACUACUCCCAAUGUUGUCUCUGGGACUGGAACUGAACGUCGCGGUGUCAUCACCGAGACAGGACUGUCCUCUCCGGUGUUGUUGCCGGUCUUUUGAUCUGCACAUCUCGGGGUUAUCUCCGAGAUUGGAAAUGACGUGCCCGGUGUGUGUUCCGGGUUUGGAACCGAUGCUCCCGGUUUGUGUUCCGGUUUGGAGCGAAACUUCCGGUAGUAUCUGGACUUGUUGUGAGCUGUCUUUCAGGGUUAUCUCCAAAAGACGAAUCUACCCUCCUGCAAUGUUAGUAAUAGGAGUGCAGAAAAUUUCGAGUGUCUACAACACCUAGCAACCCAGAUCAUCACUAUAGACUAAAAACAACAUAUUCUAACACCCAAACAUAACAUUUAACAACAUAUCAAAGGUCAGAUUUUUAGGUUUAGUGUUAUACCUUCUUGCUCAAUUUCUUGAUUUUAUGUUACUGAUUUGUUAUGGGAUUUCGUGGGGCUUGAAAAUGGGACAAAAAUGCUAUAGAUUUUCGUUGGUUCUAGUGAGAGAAGCUCUUGGUUGAGUGUUGUGCAAUUUUUAGUGAACAAAUGCAUUUUCUCUAUCCUUAAAUCUAUUUAUAGACAAAUUAGAUACAUGAAUGGCUGAGCUAGAACUUGUUGUUGUCAAUUUAGUGUCACAUGGCUACUCUAGGGUUAGCCAACCACUCCAUCUAGACCUAUUUCUACAAGCAAGCUUCAAUAAUACAAUAGGGCACAAAAGUCUUUUGGCUAGCAAUUUUAAGGGCAUUUUUAUAACUUGUCAAACCCUUAGGGUUUAACCCUUAGGGUUUAGCACAUAACACAAAUGAUUUUUAGCAACUUAGGGUUUGAAUAAAAUAAAAUUAUUUUAGCUUCUAAAAUUUGAAAAUCAAGAUUUGUUAAUUAGAUUAAGUUAGUAAUUAUAUUAUACAUGAACAUUAGGGUUUAGUACCACUAAUCAUAAUUAACCUUGCCAAAAUAGCAAUUAGGGUUUAAGAUUUUAAUAAUUAGGAUUUCUAAAACUCAAUUAGGAUUUUCUAAUUAUCCAAUUAGGGUUCUGAACAUUAGGGUUUUAAUUUAAUAAUUAUGUUUACCAUAAUUAGCAAUUAAAGUCUAUUGUACGUGUUAUUAAUCACAGUAACAUAAUUUUUGACAGAUAAAAUUCUUCAGUUUAAGUUUUGAUUUAGGGUUUCUAAUAUCAGAAAUUCAAAUCUAAUUAGGGUUUGACAUUUAUAAUUAGGGUUCCCUAAUUGGCAUAUCAUUAUGUAACACAACAUAUAACACAGUUAUAUAACAGUCUCAAAUUUCCCAUUUAAAUUGAAAAACAGGGUCAAACCAAUUAAUGCUAGGGUUUGGUCAAUAUACACCAUAAUUGACCAACCAUCAACAGUACGUACAUACAGUACAUAUUUAUGGCACUGAGAAAUUAAAAUAUUAUAAUAUUAUAUAUUAUUCUCAUGCCUUGAUCAAAACCCAAAAUUAGAGUUUGGAUUCCGUAUCUGAUUUAUCUGCCAUAAAUAACCUUAUUAAUUAAGUUAAAAUAAUUAACUUAAUAAUCUGAACAAAAUUCAUAUAAUAAAAUAAUUAUUAUAAUUAUUCUAACAUCAUUUCAUAUAUUACUUAUAUUUUCAAGGAAAAUAAUUAAUAAAACAUUUCUAAUAUAAAAUUAACUGUUAUAAGAAUAUAAUUUAUAAUAAUUAAUAUUUCUAAAAUAAAUCAAUUUGUAAUAAUUAAUGUAAUAAAUUUUAUUUAUCACACAUAUAAUUAUACACAUAUUACCUUGGCACAUAUCACCCAUAUUUAUUUUAAUAAAUAAUAAAAAAAAAAUUUAUACGCAAAAUUUAUGAUUUAUUUAUAUAGAAAAUAUCGGGUUGUCACAUUCUUCACAUUCAUCAGAUUCGGGUGUGUAGCUUGAGCGGCUUUAACUUUAUCGAUUAAAGUCGAUUCUGCUCGUAUAUUCGUUAUCUUCACGUGGGUCCUUAGAGUCUUUAACUCUAUCUUCAUCAUUUGUAAGUUAUACGAAAUGGGUAUUUGUGUUAACAACAUCGCACUUGUAAACACAUACGAUCUUCUACUCAAGGCGUCAGCUACUACGUUCGCUUUUCUACGAUGAUAUUGAAUGGUAUAGUCGUAAUCUUCAAUAGCCCGAGCCAACGUCUUUGGCGCAUGUUACGUUCGUUUUAAGUGAAGAAAUAUUUGAGGGUUUUAAAAAUGGGUUUUGUACUGGGGUCAAUACAAAAUUUGAUUUCACGCUCUAGGGGUAGGCUAAGAAGUCUUCAGGAAUACGUCAGGAAACUUAUUAACGAUAGAAAUAUCAUUCAAAACUGUGACUCUCAUCCCAAGACUUGGAUAGCCCGUCAUAUUGAUACCUAUCAACUUGCCACCGUUAUUCACGGCGUCCCCUACGGAUAGUCUGGCUUCGGUGUAUUCCAAGACUUGGAAGUCAUCAGCGAAAGGCUUAGGUCUCUUUACUUAUGGCUUGAUAUGACAAUGAUUGGCUUUAGUGGUUUGGUUGCUUGAAUUCGCAUAACAGGUUGGUUAGGAAUAUGAAAGCUAACAACCUUACGAAAAGCAUGAUGAGUAGUUAACCAAUCGACUCCUAAAAUCACAUCAAAGGCAAGUAAUUUCAAAGAGAUAAGAUCGACAGGUAACGUGAAAGUGUCGAUUUGAAUUAAACAAGAUUUAUAAACAGUGGAUGUAAUUAACGAAGGUUUCUCCUAACAUAGUUUCAACCGAUAAGUCAAAGUCUAAUUUCUCCGGAGUUAAGUUCAAACAUUGAACACAACUAGGUGAAAUAAAAGAGUGAGUAGAACCGGUAUCUAACAAGGUAUAGACUUCGCAAGAGUUUAUGAUUAACUUACCCGUGAUAACUUUAUUCAGGUUUCUCGUCACGAAAAACGCUCUCUCUUAAACUACUGAUUUUGACUUGUCUGGGACAUCCCAGUUGGACUUAACUUUGCUGUAGAGUACAUUCCACCCUUAAUUGCUUCAUCACAUUCCUGAUCCAUGAUUCGAAUCAUUACUCUCUGAUCCAUAUCGAAUUGGGGUUAACCGCUCUGCACAGGGUAAUUUCGAAUUCGAUGUUGGAUUCUCCCAAUUGUUGUCCAAAAAGCAAAAUCCAUUUCAUCUAUUUUAGCCUUAUUGGAUCUGACGUCUUUUUCUACAAUAUCUACACGUCGUGCGACUUUUACCCAUGCAUCAUCUAUUCUCAUUCGUUCAGUUGUUUUUUCUUUCAUCAGAACUUUGAUCAUAGCAUUCUUAAAUUCCAGCUCUAAUAUCUUAUACUCUGCCAAAGAGUGCUUCUGUUCGAGCAUCGUACAUCGGGUAACACAAUUUUGAAUUGCUACAUCUCUUUGCUCCACGACCGCCUGUCGUUCUUCAGCCUGCUCUUCUAGCUCAUGAAUACAAUUUUGUAAUUCUAAAUUUCGAUCAUAAAAUUCUUCUAAUAAAUUCACCUCAGGUUCCUCUUCUUCCUCACUCUCAGCUGCUACCUCUGCAACUAGCUCGAGUGCAACUAUUAGUUCUUCACUCACCAUGUAGAUAUCUCUAAUUUCUUCUUCGUUUGACAUCACAUUAACCUGGUUAGUGAUUAAAGGUGUCUCAACGAUCUCAUUCACUGCAUUGUUAAUAUUUUUAGCCGCCAUUUUUAAAUACUGUCAUAAAACAAGGGUGAAUUAACAUAUCACAUAUUAUCAAUAUAUUAUGACCGACCAAUUAAAUACCAAAUAAACUUAGGUAGGUCAUACUAGCAAAGGAAUUCCCCGUCUCUCCCCUCCUAGUUCUUGUCUCACAUCUCAGCCAGGGAUCAUAUCCCUAAGCUUUGAUACCAACUGUGACGCCCCCAAAACAGGUAUUCAUCACCCAUCUUGAGUCGCCAAAUACAUAGUACAAAAUUUAAAUACAACUUAAUUAUACAACAGUCGUGUAAAAUACGACAAAACAUAAUUUAAGAGUUUUAAUAAGAAUAUUGUCAUCUAGACAAUAUCCACACUCAAUGGAGUCCUCAUUACAUUUACUGUCACACUAUUUAACAGAAUAGUGAGGACUACUAAUGCUAACAUCUGGACCGUCACUCUGUUCCCCGACUCGUCCCAGCUAUAUUCUCAUUUUCUGAAGAGAACAGUGAAAGAAAGGGUGAGCUCAACUAGCCCAGUAAGAAAUAUUAUGACUAAGAUAAUGCAAAAUAAAUUAUCAUUAGCCUUCAAUAGUAUAACAACUGAUAGAAUAUAAUAGACAACAAGUUUUAGAUCAAAAACUGCAGCGGAAUAAGCAAUCCAUUAGAAGAGUCAAGUAGAGCAUAAAAUCUACUAUCUUCUAUGAUUUAAAAAGUUUUUCAUCAUUUUUAUCGCUAAGACUCAACUUAAUAAAUAAAAUUGAAUCAUCCCUGCACCACAGCGAAGUUUAUUCAUGUAAUCAUCAAUGGUCAUGACUAUACCGAAUAAUCCCUAGUCAUAAUCAUACCAACAACUGUCCACCAAUGAAUUACAUGCCAAUGAUGACUUUUACCACAUCAUUCGUCACAUUACAGUCAUGAUUAUACCGAAUAAUCCCUGGUCAUAAUCAUACCAAGUCCAUCUAUGCACGUAAGUCAAAGAUGACUAUCAUCACAAUAUAAGCAUGAAGAUGAUAACAAUGACAUAAUAAUUCAAUAAAACAAGUUCAAGGAUAAAUUUUAAAGAUUUAUAAUUUAAUUUAUCCAGGAAUCAAUAACGUCUAAUUUGUCAACAUGAUACUGCUUUGUGGAGUAAAAUUCAAGAAUGCUCAGAAGAAUAUUUCUAUGAAAAGAUACUGGAUGAAGUGCAAAUAUCUAGGAUAUUCUACUAAUUUUAUGGAGUAUAGAAGCCAAAACUUUAACCAACUGAGUAUAAUAGAAUAUAUGAAGCUGUAAAUGGAUUUUCGCCCGCCAUGCGGUAAUCCAUGUAGACAGAUCAUUUCCACAUUUUAAUAAGGAAUGAAUACGAAGGAUCAUUCACCAUGCAUGCGAUAAUCCACAUAGACAUGUUAUUCCAACAGAAUAACAAAGUAUGGAAUAACAGAAGAAUUCACCAUGCAUGCGAUAGACCACACAGACAGGUUAUUCCAACAGAAUAAUAAAGAAUGAAAUACUAAAAGAAUUCACCAGGUGUGCGUAGUCCGCACAGACAGGUUAUUCCAGCAGAAUAAUAAAGAAUAGAAUAACAGAAGAAUUUACCAGGCGUGCUUAAUCCGCACAGACAAGUUAUUCCAACAGAAUAAUAAAGAAUGGAAUAACAGAAGAAUUCUCCAGGCGUGCGUAAUCUGCACAGACAGGUUAUUCAACCAGAAUAAUAAAGAAUGGAAUAAUAGAAGAAUUUUGCCACGCAUACGGUAAUCCGUGUAUACAGGUUAUUCCAACAGAAUAAUAAAGAAUAGAAUAACAGAAGAAUUUCACCACACAUACGGUAAUCCGCGUAUACAUGUUAUUCCAACAGAAUAAUAAAGAAUGGAAUAACAACCCUGACAAGUAUUGAAAGAAAUAACUCUCUUAAUAAAUACGAAAGAAAUAAUACCCCUUACCUUAGAAGAAAACUAGAAUAGUGAGGUAGCAGACUUCUCUUCUUCUUUCUCUCUAUAAUUUCUCUCUAUAAUAAUUUCUCUAUAGCUUUAGUGAAUUGGUGAACAAUAAUGAAGGAAUGAGCUUCUAUUUAUAGAAAAAUAUAGUUUCAACAAUUGCACAUUUUGGGGCUCAAAAAAUUACAGUAUAAUAUCUUCUUCUUUUUCUUCAUUUUUAAUUUAGUCCUGCAAGUAUUAUCAAACUUGCACCACCUCCUCUUGGAAGUCCUUGAAUCAAUCAGCUCGAAACAAUCCUUCUUGGACUCAAAUUCUAGUUAAAAUUACCUUUUCUACGCGUACCCAAGCCCCAGCUUGGGUAUUGCCUUGUAAAUAGUAAGCCCCGGCUUGCUAUGCUUCUGAUUUUGAACUCAGGACCCCAAGCCCCGGCUUGGGUAUAAAGCUUAAAAGAGCAAGCCCCGACUUGGGUGCAAGCUGCUAAUAGUUUUUUCUGCUGCAGUGUCCUCAGGUAAAAUGGCCAUAACUUUUGAUCCGGGAGGAGUUACGGGGCCUGCCACCUAUCAAAUCAAAGAUAUCGACGAGAUCUACAACUUUCAUUCUUUGAGAAUUGAGUAAUAACGAACGAAUGAAGGUAGAAAUUGGACUAGAAAUGACUGUUAUGCAAAUGGCCACCCAAAAUAGCGAAGUUAUUCAACAGUCUCCUGUGCUCCAUUGAUAUUCUCAACAUUCUCGGUUGUCAUUUUCAAAUACUGCCACAAAACAAGGGUUAAAUAACAUCACAUAUUAUCUCUAUACUCUGACCGACCAAUUAAAUACCAAAUAAACUUAGGUAGGUCAUACUAGUUCCCCGUCUCUCCCCACCUAGUUCUUAUCUUACAUUUUAGUCAUGGAUCAUAUCCCUAAGCUUUGAUACCAACUGUGACGCCCCCAAAAUAAGUAUACAUCACCUAUUCUGAGUCGCCAAAUACAUGAUAUAAAAUACAAAUACAAUCUUAAAUAUACAACAUAAGUUGUGAGUUUUAAUACAAACAUUGUCUUCUAGACAGUAUUAAAACUCAAAAUAAGUCAUCAAUACAUUUAUUAACACACUAUUUCACAGAAUAGUGAGGACUACUAAUGCUAUCCUCUGGACCAUUACUCCAUUCCCCGACUCGUCCCAGCUAUAUUCUCAUUUCCUGAAGAGAACAAUGAAAGAAAGGGUGAGCUCAACUAGCCCAAUAAGAAAUAUUAUGACUAAGAUAAUGCAGAAUAAAUUAUCAUUAGUCUUCAACAAUGUUAAACUGAUAAAAUACAAUAACUGCAGCGAAAUAAGUAAUCCAUUAAAAGAGUCAAGUAGAGAAUAAAAUCUACUAUCUUUUAUGAUUUAAAAGGAUUUUCAUCACUUUUAUCGCUGAGACUCAGUUUAAUAAAUAAUCCACAUCAUCGAAUCACCCCUGCACUACGGCCAAGGAUAUUCUUUAGUAUUACAACCAUAAAUAUCCAUGCACUACGGGCCAAGGACAUUCGUGUAUUCAUUAAUGGUCAUGAUCAUGCCAAAAACUGUCCAACAAUACACUACGGUCAAUGAGGACUUUUACCACAUCAUUUGUAACAUUACGGUCGUAAUUAUACUGAAUAAUCCCUGGUUAUAAUCAUACCAAGUCCAUCUAUACACUACAGGCCACAGAUGACUUUCAACAGAAUAUAAACAUGAGGACGAUGACAAUGAUAUAUGAAUUCAAUAAAACAAGUUCAAGAAUUUAUUUGUCCAGGAACCAAUAACGUCCAAAUUGUCAACAAGAUACUGUUUUGUGGGAUAAAAUUCAAGAAUGCUCAGAAGAAUAUUUUCAUAAAAAGAUAUUGGAUGAAGCGCAAAUAUCAAGGAUAUUCCACUAAUUUCAUGGAGUAUAGAAGUCAAAACUUUAACCAACUGAGUAUAAUAAAGAAUGAAAUAACAAAAGAAAUCACCAUGCACGUGGUACUUCGCAUAGACUGGUUAUUCCAACAGAAUAAUAAAUAACGGAACCAGGUUAGGCAAAAUUCGCACCGAUAGGAUGUUCCAACUGAAUAAUAAAGAAUGGAAUAACAACAGAAAUCACCAUGCAUACGGUACUUCGCAUAGACAGGUUAUUCCAACAGAAUACUAAAUAACAGAACCAGGUCCGGCGUAAAACGCACAGACAGGAUAUUCCAACACAAUAAUAAAGGCGGAACCAGGUCCGGCGUAAAAGUCACAGACAUGAUAUUCCAACAGAAUAAUAAAUACGGAACCAGGUCCGGCGUAAAACGCACAGACAGGAUAUUCCAACAGAAUAAUAAAGAAGAAAAUAACAGAAGAAUUUCAUCAAAUAUAGGGUAGCCCGCGUAUACAGGUUAUUCCAACAGAAUAAUAAAGAAUGGAAUAACAGAAGUUCUCUUCAUGAAUACAAAAGAAAUAAUACCCCUUACAGUUACAACAAAUAAUAUCCAUUACCGUAAAAGAAACUGGAUAUAGGAAAAUAAAGUUAGCAGACUUCUCUUCUUCUUUCUCUCUAUAAUUUUCUCUCUUUAAAGUUUCAGUGAAUUCGUAAGAAAUAAUGAAGGAAUGAACUUCUAUUUAUAGAAGAAUGGACUGCAUAGUAACUAAUUCAUGAACGGUCCAGAUUGAUUUACUUUUAAUCGAACGAUCCAUAAUUAAAGCAAAGUUUUUUAAAUAAAAUAUAAUAUAUUAUAUAUAUAACAUGUGCAAGAAAAGAAAAAUCACGGGUGGAAGACCCGUGAAUUCAUCUUACUCCCUCUGUCCAUUUUUUCAAACUUACAUAUAUAUAAUAUAAUAUAAUAUAAUAUACAUAAUAAUACUCCUCCCGUCCAUUUCAUCCAUACCCCCCCACCCAAGACUUUUCAUCACAUAUAUAAUAUAAAACAUAUAUAUAUAUAUAUAUAUAUAUAUAUAUAUAAUACUCCCACUAACUUUUCCUUCAACCAACCCGUGACAAACAUAACAUUUCACCCAAGACUUUCCUCCACAAAUGGGCCCCACCCGUGGCCCUCCUAAAAUAACUUCUAUCGAUUAUUUUGAAAACUGGAUAAAUAGGGAUCCAUAAAAUACGUCAAAAUUCACAACAAUUACUAUAACAAUAAUUGAACAAAACUGAGUAGUUCAACAGUAUUAACGGUAAAACUUCCGCCGUUACUUUCAAUAAAAUAUUUUUGUCGUUUUCUCAAUCCGACAAUAAUUCUGUUGUGGGGUCCACCAAUGAUUGUACCGUCGUACGGAUAUUCCCUGACAAAAAGAAUAUUUCCCGACCAAUCGAAUAUAAUAUGACAACUUGCAUACUUUGCAAAAUUUAUAAAUAUUACCCACAAUUAUAAUAUUAUAUCAAAUUAUUCCAUAAUAUUCAAAAAUGAUAUUUAUUGAAAAUUCAUUUUUAUUCAUAAAAGUUGGGGUCUUACAGUAGUUAAAUUCUUAUUUUUGACAUUUUUCAAAUAUUUCAUCCAUGCUUUUACAAUAGACAUCUUUCACUUUGAUGGCGUUUGACAUGCUUACAACAAGUAAUAGAAAUCAUUUUACAGUCAUUAUUUGCAUUAAUCAAGCAUGUUAGUCACAUAGUCAAGUCGUAGUUUCAAUGGUAAUGAAUAGAUUUCUUAUAUGUAAUACAUUUUUCAAAUAUCUCAUCCAUGCUUUUAUCAUCACCAUUUUUCUCUUUGAUGGGGUGUAGUAUGAUAAUAACAUGCAACCAUACAUAUGUAUAGUUACACCAUAUUAAGAACUUAGUUACAUGAAGUUUUCAUGCUUUGCUUAGAGACUUCUAGCAUACAAGGUGCUUUUGUAACUUAUUUUAUGCCUUUGAAAAUAUUCACAACUUGGUUGAGUAAUUUAUAGUUCUUAUAACACUUUUUAGCUUUAUUCUUGUAUACAAAAGUGUAUCAUUCUUGAUUUUCCUCUCUUUCCCAAAAUAGUCCUAACAUGAUCUAUUUGGGGCAAUCAAGCUAGCUUCUCUUGACCAUUUGGGCUUAGUCAGGCUUGGGGUAGCCUAGAUUGGCCUUGCAGUCCCAAUUGGCCUCUAUCUAUGGCAUGAUUUUAUUAAUACCCUCUUCUAUUAAGGUUUACUCUCACCUAUAUCACCAUUUGAUUCUGUUAUUUAUAGGUGAGGAUUUCUUUGAACUGCUACAUGUUUGCUACUUACUUGAUUUUGUUUUCUUUCCGUUUGUAGCUAACUACUCACUAGUAGCAGCUCUCUACUUUAGAUACUAAAUUUACUAGCUUUUAAUCUCCCACUAAACUUUUGGGUCAGCAGCUAGGGGACACAACUCCCUAAUAAUAGAGCAUAUUGGUUAAUUAUCUUAAGCAAUAUAGUUGUAUUGUCUGAAGGUCUAAAGGACAAGUUCAUUACCCAGCUCAGCUACUGUUGCUAUUAGUUGUUAUUUUUCAGUAAUAGAUUGACAGUCUUCAAACUUACCAUGUUUCUUCUUUAAUAACUUUUGUCUAGAAAAUUUCUAUUGCACUAUGUGCACCUUUGAAUACUUGCUUAAAUAAGUAACAAUUACACUCUAUUUAAUUCUGCAGUUUGCAUUUCAAAUCCAAACUACGUUGCCUAUAGCAGUUUAUUGAGGAUGUUUAUUAUUGCCUUAUAGCAACAACCCCCCCUAUUUUGUAAAAUUUCCCAAAUCACAAUUUUAGAUUAACCUAGACUGCCCAAAACCAUUUUAGUAAUGGCUCAUAGCUACAGUUUUAAGCCAACUGUUGCUGCUCCUAGGUAGCAGCUACAUUUGAUUUUGUUUCAUGCCUUGAACUCUCCCUAAUUUUGGUUUACUUGCACUUUAUUUGAAAGUUAUAUAACUAACAUUUUCAACUAAUAGGGAAACUUUAAAUCAAUAGUGAAAUUAUAAUCUAUAUGAUCCAACAUGUUAGCUAAACUGACCCUAGCGAGUCCAGAACAAUGGUCUACAGUCUUCUUUUGUUUUUCUAUGCCAGCAACCAAGCUUGGCUUGGCCCUGUAAGGCUGAUCACCUAAGCUUGGUGUGGCCCUGCUUGGCCUCACGGUCCCUAAGUCAAAUCCAAAGUUGUUAUAGCAGCUGCUAUCUUGGCAACUGCUGCCAUCAAGGAAUAACAGCCCUGCCACUCUUCUUUAAUUCUUAUACUUGCAAACCCCAGAGGAAUGUUUAUACACUAACUUCAACCAUACAUCCUAGUUAGCUCUUAUAAAGUUAUAUUAAUUUGUUAAACAGACUGCCCAAAACUGCUUUAGCAGUCAUUCACUUGUCGACUGUCGCUGCUUGUUUCUAUAACCAGUAGGCAGCCGUCCCAAGUCUUAUGCCACUAAAAGCUUUUACCUCUUAGAUUGAUAUGAAAUCUUGGCAUGUUAUAGGUGAUUCAAAUUCUGAUUAUUUUUAGCUACCAACUAGACUAGGAGAAAAGCUUGCUAGUGCCACUAAAGGUUAAUAUUUCUGCUGCUGCGACAUGCUUUUUGCUGCUGCUUGCAGCUAAUUGCUGCUGCCAAUGGGCAGCUGCGCCCCUUACUUCAGGCCAUUUUUGGCUUCACAUCAAUUAGCCUAUUCACAACCCACUUUCAUUGAUCAAUAAAUGGUACACCUGCCUUCUAAGCUAACUUAGCAACUGUGGCCCAAAUGUACUAUAUGUAAAUCAAAAUGGUGUGCUAACCUUCCUGCUCGGCUCUGCAGAGCAGUGCAGCACAACGCUGGGCGUUUACUGCCAAUGCCUGCAGUAGCCUCAGCUAGCUUUGCCCAAGCUCAAACAUUUUUUUUUCUUAAAAUUUGUUUUUCUUUCCAUUAAUAUGUCAAAACAUAUUUCCUAAUCUUAUAUAAGACGUCCAUAUAUAACCCCAACUUUAAUUCCCUCUAGAAUUCUCUUUUUAGCCAAAACAGUCCACUUGGGACUUUUAACAAAUAUAUGGUGUGCACAGUUUUAAUUUACUCUUUCCAUAGCCAUUUACUUGUGUUAUAAUCUCAUGUUAGCCUCCUUAUUACUCCACAGCCACCUAUCUCCUUGUGCCUAAAUUACAUACAUCUAGCAUGCUAGUGAAUAACCUUUACAACAAUAAAAAAGUAAAAUAAAUGCUAUGUGACUUUACCAGGCCAUUCGGCCAUAACAGUCCAUCACAACUUGCACGAAAUAGUGUUAAACAAGAUAGUUUAUUACUUGAUAACUUUUCCUUAAAAGUUUGAUAUCACAACUUUUACAGAAGAUUACAAUUACCCAUGACAAGUAUAAUUUACUAACACAUCUACAUUACAACAUUAAUAAUACUAACAAUAUAGCAGCCCCUUCUUUUUUCUUUUCAGGCCAUUCGGCCACUGUAGAUUACUAGCAGCAAGAAACUAAAGUGGAAAAGGAUUGGAAAUCUUACCUUAUUGAUUCGAAGGAAACAAAGAAGUUAUACUGCCCAGCUUCUCCACCUACUCUUAGCCGAACUCUUCCACCCUCUCUCUAUAUGACCGAAUUGCUAUAGCUAUUUUGUCUCUACUAAGUGAUGAAGCUAAACUAGUUAAUAAGCUUGGCCCCUUUUUUAUGGCUGAGCUUGGUUCCUUCUACUGUUAACUGCAUCACCUCCUAGUUGGCCCCUACACAGUCAUCAUUCCUAACCUAGCUUCACAGCCACCCUAGCAGACUCUACUUACCUGCUAAGCCUUAUCUUCUGCAAGCUUAUCUAACAUAUUCUUUGUCUGUUAUACAAACUAACCUACCUGUUAACUAGAACCAACUUAGAAACCAUAUGCUUACAGCCUGACUAUGUACUCACGUUAUGCCACUGCUUUUCUUAUUUAGUCUGAAACAGUUAGCUUGUUAUACACCACUGGGUUUACAGGAUUGGUUUAGGUAGGAGUUUGAUAAAUACUUAAUUUGGGCUUAAACCAAUCCUCAAUGGUGGCUGCCGAAAUUGGGCUAGAAAAUGAGUUAGAAUUGGCUUUAUAUUAGACCCAAUACCAUAACCCUUAUUCCUACAUUAAUUAAAGGAGACUUGCAAACAUACAAUUGCAAAAAUUUAUUAUGGCCUAAUAUUUUAAUAUGGACUCUUGUUAAAUUAACACAUGGACUUUUAUAUAUUAUUUUCUCUAGCAACAAUAGUUAACACAUAUAUCAUUAAAAUGUCUAUUCCAUGUAAUCUUAAAUAAUUCAUGGUGGUACAAUAUUUCUUUAUCCUUCAUAAUUUAAGAUGUUUAAUAACCUAUUAAAUAAAUAAUAGUUUUGUCACAAUGAGAAAUAACAUAAUUAAAAUAAAAUAAAAAAUAUACUCACAAAUUGACAUUAUAAUAAUUAAAUAUUACAUAGGAUUUUUUGAGUCAUUACAUACGCGAUAACUCUGCCGUUCUGCAAAAGCACACAGCCUUGUCCUUUAUGCGAUGCAUCAUUGUAUACCACAAAAUUCCCUGUAUCAUCAGGCAAUGACAACACAGGUGUUGAACUCAACCUUUUCAUUAAUUCUUGAAAACUUUCCUCCCACUUCUCUGUCCAAACAAACUUAACCGUUUUCUAGUUAAAUUCGUCAACGGAGUUGCGAUCUUGAAAAAGUCUUGAAUGAAACGCCUAUAGUAACCCGCCAAUCCUAAGAAACUCCUUACUUCUGACGGUAUCUUCGGCUGAUCCCAGUUUAUUACAGCUUCAACCUUUGAUGGAUCUACCGAAAUUUCGUCCUUAUCAAUAACGUGUCCGAGAAACUGUACACGUUCCAACCAAAACUCACAUUUUGAAAAUUUUGCGUACAACUUUUCUUUUUUCAACGUCUCUAACGUCAAUCUCAAGUGUUCAACAUGUUCCUCUUUGGUCUUGGAAUAUACCAAUAUAUCAUCGAAUCAAAUCCAUGAUAUAUUGGUAUGAACAGGGUGUUUAUAUCAUUUGUCUAAGAAUGGUUUAAACACCUUGUUCAUCAAAUCCAUGAACGCUGCAGGUGCAUUGGUUAAACCAAAAGACAUAACCAGAAACUCAUAAUGACCAUACCGAGUUCUGAACGCUAUUUUUGGUACAUCCUCUGGCCUCACCUUUAACUGAUGAUAACCACUCCUCAAGUCUAUCUUUGAGAAAUAGCUUGUUCCCUUCAGUUGAUCGAACAUGUCAUCGAUUCUAGGUAAUGGAUACUUAUCUUUAAUCGUGAUCUUAUUCAAUUCUCGAUAGCAAUGCAGAGCCGUAUCGAUCCAUCUUUCUUCUUAACAAACAACAUCGGCGCUCCCCAUGGCGACACACUCAGUUGAAUAUACUUUUUGUCGAGUAAUUCUUGCAAUUAUACCAUCAACUCCUUCAUCUCUACUGGGGCCAUUCUAUAUGGUGCAUUAGAUAUCGGGGUCGUUCCUGGUAAUAAGUCAAUUACGAACUCGAUUUGUAGAUCCGGCGGAAGACUCGGCAAAUCGUCUGGAAAUACGUCUGCAAAAUCUCUUAUGAUUGGUAUCUCUUCUAACUUCGCACUCUUCUUUUGUGUAUCGACUAUGUAGGCUAAGUAUCCUACACAUUCUUGUCUCAACAACUUCUUGGCUUGCAUCACCGUUAGACAACUUGCUUGUCGAGGUGACUUGCUGCCGUAGAACACAACCUUUGAUGGAGUCAUAAGGUUAACACAUUUCCUUUCGCAAUCAAUUACUGCUCCGUAAUUGAAUAACCAAUCCAUUCCCAGUAUAACAUCAAACUCACAAAGUCUAAUUGGUAUCAAAUCUACCAUCAUCUCGUGACCUUUUAUAACCACCCUACAAUUCCUAUAUAUAAAUCUAACAGGAAUCACUUCCUUAUUCGCAAUCUCUAUGCUUAAGGGAAAUUCUAAUUCUUCCUGAGGCAAAUCUAAAUUUUGAGCAAAUUCAUUGGAUAUAAAUGAAUAAGUAGCACCCGAAUCAAAUAGUACAUAAGCAUUAAUACCAUUAAUCUAAAUGAUACCUGAGACCACAUCCUUAGACUAUAUAACAUCCUGCACGGUCAUAUUAAAAGUCCUCGCAGUAGGUCGACUUUGUGACGCCCCCAAAAUUAGGUAUACAUCACCCAUCUUGGGUCGCCACUUACAUGGUACAAAAUACAAAUACAACUUAAUUAUACAACAGUCGUGUAAGCUACGACAAAAUAUAAACAAUGAGUUUUAACUCGAAUAUUGUCAUCUAGACAUUAUUCAAACACAAAUAAGUCCUCAAUACAUUUAUUGUCACACUAUUUAACAAAAUAGUGAGGACUACUAAUGCUAUCAUCUGGACUGUCACUCCGUUCCCCGACUCGUCCCCGUUACGUUCUCAAUUCCUGAAGAGAAUAGUGAAAGAAAGGGUGAGCUCAACUAGCCCAACAAGAAAUAUUAUGACUAAGAUAAUGCAGAAUAAAUUAUCAUUAGUCUCCAACAAUGUUAAACUGAUAAAAUACAAUAGACAUCAAGUUUAACUGCAGCGGAACAAGCAAUCCAUUAAAAGAGUCAAGUAGAGAAUAAAACCUACUAUNNNNNNNNNNNNNNNNNNNNNNNNNNNNNNNNNNNNNNNNNNNNNNNNNNNNNNNNNNNNNNNNNNNNNNNNNNNNNNNNNNNNNNNNNNNNNNNNNNNNNNNNNNNNNNNNNNNNNNNNNNNNNNNNNNNNNNNNNNNNNNNNNNNNNNNNNNNNNNNNNNNNNNNNNNNNNNNNNNNNNNNNNNNNNNNNNNNNNNNNNNNNNNNNNNNNNNNNNNNNNNNNNNNNNNNNNNNNNNNNNNNNNNNNNNNNNNNNNNNNNNNNNNNNAAUAAUUAAAACGGAACCAGGUCCGGCGUAUAGCACAGACAGGAUAUUCCAACAGAAUAACUGAAUAAUUAAAACGGAACCAGGUCCGGCGUAGCACAGACAGGAUAUUCUAACAGAAUAACCGAAUAAUUAAAACGGAACCAGGUCCGGCGUAUAGCACAGACAGGAUAUUCCAACAAAAUAACUGAAUAAUUAAAACGGAACCAGGUCCGACGUAUAGCACAGACAGGAUAUUCCAACAGAAUAAUAAAGACAGAAUAAUAGAAGAAUGUCACCAAGUAUAGGGUUGCCCGCGUAUACAGGUUAUUCCAACAGAAUAAUAAAGAAAUGGAAUAACAGAAGUUCUCUUCUUGAAUACAAAAGAAUAAUAUUCCUUACCAGAAAAGAACUUAAUAUAAGAGUAGUUUCAGUAGCAGAAUACUUUUCUUCUUUCUCUCUUACAAUUUAUCUCUCUAGAGUUUCAAUGAAUUUGUAAGAAAAUAAUGAAGGAAUGAGCUUCUAUUUAUAGAAAAAUGGAAUGCAUAGUAACUAAUUCAUGAACGGUCCAGAUUGAUUUACUUUUAAUCGGACGGUCCAUAAAAUAUAUUAUAUAUAUAUAAUAUAUAUAUAUAUAUAUAAUAACAAUAAUACUCCCUCCGUAUAAACCAAAAAAAUAAUUUGACAACUUUGAAAAAAACUCCCAACCUUUCAAUUUUCAAUACCGUGGGCCCCACAUGUUCCCCUCCCCCCAACAUGUCAAUAUCACAAGGGUCUCAUUAUAUGUAAAUAACUUUCUAUCAAUAAUAUUGAAAAAUAGGUAAAUGGGGGUCUAAAUAAUACGCCAAAUUUACAACAACUACCUCAUAAAAAUCCCUUCAAUAUUUUUAACAAUAUUUAUCAUCUUUAUUACAAUUCACAAUAUUAAUCGACCAGGUCGUUCCCAGGAUAGAGGGGGCUUUCCAAUAAGGAUUUCUCUCUAUUGGCGCGCAAUUAGAUUAUCUAACCUCUCCUUGACAGAACUUCUAGACAUCGUUAAUAUUGCAAAUAAUAACAUUAAUAACUUUGUCGUCUCAAUUAUUGAUUUAAUAAUAUAAAGAAUAUCAACAAUAAUUGAAUCAAAUAACGUGAGAUACUAUGCAACAAUUACUAUAACAAUAAUUGAAUAAAACUGAAUGACUUCUCACGUAAGCAUAAAUAAUCAAUACCGUGUGCUACUAUGCAACCACGCGUAUUACUGUACUUUUACUACUGAGUAGUUCAACAGUAUCAACGGUAAAACUUCCGUCGUUAUUUUCAUAAAAAUAUUUUUGUCGUUUUCUCAAUCCGACAAUAAUUCUGUUGUGGGGUCCACUAAUGAUUGCGCCGUUGUACGAAUAUUUCCUGCUAAAACGAAUAUUCCCCAACCAAUCGAAUAUAAUAUAGCAACUUGCAUACUUUGCAAAACUUAUAAAUACUACCUUCAACUAUAACAUUAUAUUAAAUUUAUUGCAUAAUAUUCAAAAAUGAUAAUUAUAGAAAAUUUAUCUUUAUUCAAAAAGUUGGGGUCUUACAACCCCCCCUUCUUAAGAAAUUUCGCCCUCGAAAUUAGGGUACGUACCUGGUAUAUCGAAGAGGUAAGGAUACCUUGAUUUCAUUUUAGAUUCUAACUCCCAGGUCAUUUCCUCAACAUCGUGGUUUCUCCACAAAACUUUGACUUGAGGUAUAACCUUGGAGCGUAAAAUAUGUUCCUUGUUAUCCAAGAUUUGAACAGGAACCUCUUUAUACGUUAAAUCUUCCGCUAUUUCGUCUGGUUCUAGCUCAAUAAUGUGGUUCGGGUCUUCCACAUAUUUACGUAACAUGGAUAUGUGAAAAAUGUUAUGAACACCAGACAUACUAGGCGGUAAAGCGAGUCUAUAGGCCACAGUUCCUACUCGAUUGAGGAUUAAAAAUGGGCCAAUGAAUCGAGGAUUGAGCUUUCUUAUCUUUCCAAAUCUCGUAACACCUUUCCAUGGAGCAACAUGUAACAACACAUGAUCUCCAAUAUCGAAUUCCACGUCCUUUCGAUGAAGAUCAGCAUAACUCUUUUGUCGAUCUUGUGAGGUUUUUAUACGUUGUCGAAUCGUUUGAAUCUUUUCCGUAGUCAUACGUACCAACUCCGGUCCCAACAACGUUGCUUCACCCACCUCAUCCCAGCAUACUGGAGAACAACACUUUCUCCCAUACAACGCCUCAAAUGGAGCCAUGCCAAUACUUGCUUGAUAACUAUUGUUAUAGGAAAACUCCACCAAUGAUAAGAACUUAUCCCAACUUCCAUUGAAGUUAAGGACACAGAGUCUUAAUAAAUCUUCUAGAGUUUGAAUAGUCCUCUCUGAUUGUCCGUCCGUCUGAGGAUGAUAUGCUGAACUAAAUCGUAAAUCUGUGCCCAUAGCUUUUUGCAAACUAACCCAAAAUCAUGAAGUGAAUCUUGGGUCUCGAUCAGAAACUAUGGAUACUGGCAUACCAUGCAGUCUUACAAUCUCGUUUAUGUACAUACGAGCAAGACGUUCAAGUGUAUAAGUUUCUCGUAUAGGUAAGAAAUGAGCAGACUUGGUCAAUCUAUCAACAAUGACCCAAAUUGCAUCUAUGCCUUGAGAAACCUUGGGAAGACCAGUAACGAAAUCCAUGGUAAUGUGCUCCCACUUCCAUUCUGGAAUUUCAAGUGGUUGCAAUGGACCUUUUGGUACUUGAUGCUCCGCCUUGACUCGUUGACAAGUUAGACACCUUGAGAUAAACACCGCUAUCUCUCUCUUCAUAUUGCUCCACCAAAAUGUAUGUCGAAGAUCAUGAUACAUUUUGGUACUCCCAGGAUGGAUUGCAAACGGUGUGUUGUGCGCCUCCAUCAUGAUUUUAUACUUUAAAUCAGGGUCGUUAGGAACACAAAGUCUGGAGUUGACUCGAAGUAUUCCUUCUUCAUCGAUUCUUGCUUCCGACAUAACACCUUCUUGCACUUUCUUCCUCAUACGCAUCAGCUCCAGGUUUGUAGUUUGAGCAGCUUUAACUUUAUCAAUUAAAGUCGAUUAUACUCGUAUGUUCGCCAUCAUCACAUGGGUCCCUGGAGUCUUUAACUCCAUCUCCAUCCUUUGCAAGUCAUACAAAAUGGGCCUUUGUGUUGACAAUAUUGCACUCGUACCCACAUAUGAUCUUCUACUCAAUGCGUCAGCUACCACGUUCGUUUUUCUAGGAUGGUAUUGGAUGGUAUGAUCAUAAUCUUUCAACAGUUCAAGCCAACGUCGUUGUCGCAUGUUGAGUUCCUUUUGAGUGAAGAAAUAUUUAAGGCUUUUAUGAUCCGUAAAGAUCUCCACUUUCUCCCCAUACAAGUAAUGCCUCCAAAUCUUUAGUGCGAAGANNNNNNNNNNNNNNNNNNNNNNNNNNNNNNNNNNNNNNNNNNNNNNNNNNNNNNNNNNNNNNNNNNNNNNNNNNNNNNNNNNNNNNNNNNNNNNNNNNNNNNNNNNNNNNNNNNNNNNNNNNNNNNNNNNNNNNNNNNNNNNNNNNNNNNNNNNNNNNNNNNNNNNNNNNNNNNNNNNNNNNNNNNNNNNNNNNNNNNNNNNNNNNNNNNNNNNNNNNNNNNNNNNNNNNNNNNNNNNNNNNNNNNNNNNNNNNNNNNNNNNNNNNNNNNNNNNNNNNNNNNNNNNNNNNNNNNNNNNNNNNNNNNNNNNNNNNNNNNNNNNNNNNNNNNNNNNNNNNNNNNNNNNNNNNNNNNNNNNNNNNNNNNNNNNNNNNNNNNNNNNNNNNNNNNNNNNNNNNNNNNNNNNNNNNNNNNNNNNNNNNNNNNNNNNNNNNNNNNNNNNNNNNNNNNNNNNNNNNNNNNNNNNNNNNNNNNNNNNNNNNNNNNNNNNNNNNNNNNNNNNNNNNNNNNNNNNNNNNNNNNNNNNNNNNNNNNNNNNNNNNNNNNNNNNNNNNNNNNNNNNNNNNNNNNNNNNNNNNNNNNNNNNNNNNNNNNNNNNNNNNNNNNNNNNNNNNNNNNNNNNNNNNNNNNNNNNNNNNNNNNNNNNNNNNNNNNNNNNNNNNNNNNNNNNNNNNNNNNNNNNNNNNNNNNNNNNNNNNNNNNNNNUCAAAAUCCAAUUUCUCCGGAGUCAAAUUUAAACGUUGAGCGCAAGUAGGAGAAAUGAAAGAGUGGGUAGAACCAGUAUCAAAUAAAGUAUAAACUUCGCUAGAGUUUAUGAUAAGCUUACCCGUGAUGACCUCGUUCGGGUUCUUUACUUUUUGGGAGGUUACAACAAAUGCUCUUCCUUGCACUACCGACUUUGACUUUUCUGGGAUGGCCUUUGGUGACUCUAUCCUAACUGAACUUGUCUUCGGUGCACGACAAAAUCGAGCCAGGUGACCUUCUCUUCCACAGUUGUAACAUGCUUUGGAUGGCAUCGCACAGUUGGGACUGAUGUGUCCCUCUCCUCCACACUUGAAACAUAUGAUAGGUGGUCGUUCCCCUUCCUUAACGACAGGUGCUGAUGUUGACGUCUUUCCAUCAUUGUUGAAUCUCCUCUUUUUGAAAUGUCCAUUUUUAUUGUUUUGGCCAUGAUUACCACCGAAGUGGUUACCAUUUCUGGCCUUUUGAUUUCCUCCACGCUUGUUGUCACCGCUUUGAUGACUGUUCUCACUGGUAUUAUCAUUUUAUUGGCUGCUCUCUUUUGGUUGGCUUAACUCGUUAUCACGCUCCAAUAACUGAGCCCUAUUAACAACAUCCGAAUACAAACACAGUUUAUGAGAGAUAAGAUAUUGACGUAUCUCAGGUUUCAAACCUCUUAAAAACAUUCGCGUCAUUCUCUCCUCAUUAUCAACCAAAUGGGACGCAAACUGGGACAACUCGGCAAACUUGGCUUUGUACUGCGAUACUGUCAUGUUGUUUUGUUCCAGCCUGAUGAACUCUACCUCUUUCAUGUGACGAAUACUUUUGGGAAAGUACUUGUCGUUGAACAAUUCUUUGAACUUCUCCCAAGUCAUCUUCAGUGCGGCAGGUUGAGUACGCUUUACAGAUUCCCACCAGUAAUCUGCCUCUCCUCGCAACAUGAAGGUGGCAAAGGAAAUCUUUUGUUCCUCGGAGCAUCCCAAGACAUCAAAUAUCUUGGUAAUCUACUUUAUCCAUGUCUCCGCCUUAAGUGGUUUUGGUUCUCCAAUAAACUUCGGUGGUCCCAGCUCCUUGAACUGUUUGGCGGUGACCAUCCGAGAGUUGCUAGUGUUUUCACCUGCAUUUUGGACAGGAGCCGCUCCUGCCUGAUGUUGUAUGAAUUGCAUGAAUCCUCGAAACAUUUUGUUGUUCAAUAUUUGGUCAGUGUUGUUGUUUGCAUGAGGAUUUUUGCCUUCCUGAUGCACAUUGUCCUGAUUGUUGAUCUGUGGAGACUCAACGGUCUCCUGUGCUCCAUUGAUGUUCUCAACGUUCUCGGAUGCCAUUUUCAAAUACUGCCACAAAACAAGAGUUAAUUAACACAUCACAUAUUAUCCCUAUACUCUAACCAACCAAUUAAAUAACAAAUAAACUUAGGUAGGUCAUACUAGCGAAGGAAUUCCCCGUCUCUCCCCUCCUAGUUCUUAUCUCACAUCUUAGCCAGGGAUCAUAUCCCUAACCUCUGAUACCAACUGUGACGCCCCCAAUAUUAGGUAUACAUCACCCAUCUUGGGUAGCCACUUAUAUGGUACAAAAUACAAAUACAACUUAAUUAUACAACAGUCGUGUAAGAUACGACAAAAUAUAAACAAUGAGUUUUAACUCGAAUAUUGUCAUCUAGACAGUAUUCAAACACAAAUAAGUCCUCAAUACAUUUAUUGUCACACUAUCUAACAGAAUAGUGAGGACUACUAAUGCUAUCAUCUGGACUGUCACUCCAUUCCCCGACUCAUCCCCGCUACGUUCUCAAUUCCUGAAGAGAACAGUGAAAGAAAGGGUGAGCUCGACUAGCCCAGUAAGAAAUAUUAUGACUGAGAUAAUGCAGAAUAAAUUAUCAUUAGUCUCCAACAAUGUUAAACUGAUAAAAUACAAUAGACAUCAAGUUUAACUGCAGCGGAACAAGCAAUCCAUUAAAAGAGUCAAGUAGAGAAUAAAAUCUACUAUCUUUUAUGAUUUAAAAGGUUUUUCAUCACUUUUAUCGCUGGGACUCAGCUUAAUAAAUAAUCCACAUCAUCGAAUCACCCCUGCACUACGGCCAAGGAUAUUCUUUAGUAUCACGACCACAAUUAUCCAUGCACUACGGGCCAAGAAUAUUUGUGUAUUCAUUAAUGGUCAUGAUCAUGCCAACAACUGUCCAUCAAUGCACUACGGGCCAAUGAGGACUUUUUCCACAUCAUUUGUAACAUUACGGUCAUGAUUACACCGAAUAAUCCCUGGUCAUAAUCAUACCAAGUCCAUCUAUGCACUACAGGCCACAGAUGACUUUCAACAAAAUAAUAACAUGAGGAUGAUGACAAUGAUAUAAGAAUUCAAUAAAAUAACUUUCAAGAAUUAAUUUGUCCAGGAAUCAAUAACGUCCAAAUUGUCAAUAAGAUAUUGUUUUGUGGUGUAAAUUAUUCAAGAAUGCUCAGAAGAAUAUUUUCAUGAAAAGAUAUUGGAUGAAGUGCAAAUAUCAAGGAUAUUCCAUUAAUUUCAUGGAGUAUAAAAGUCAAAAUUUUAACCAACUGAGUAUAAUAACGAAUGGAAUAACAAAAGAAAUCACCACGCAUGCGGUACUUCGCAUAGACAGGUUAUUCCAACAGAAUAAUAAUAACGGAACUAGGUCAGGUGAGAUUCACACCGACAGGAUGUUCCAACAGAAUAAUAAAUAAUUAAAACGGAACCAGGUUCGGCGUUUAGCACAGACAGGAUAUUCCAACAGAAUAACUGAAUAAUUAAAACGGAACCAGGUCUAGCGUAUAGCACAGACAGGAUAUUCCAAAAAAAUAACUAAAUAAUUAAAACGGAACCAGGUCCGGCGUAUAGCACAAACAGGAUAUUCAAACAAAAUAAUAAAGACAGAAAAAUUGAAGAAUGUCACCAAGUAUAGGGUUGCCCGCGUAUACAGGUUAUUCCAACAGAAUAAUAAAGAAAUGGAAUAACAGAAGUUCUCUUUUUGAAUACAAAAGAAUAAUAUUCCUUACCGUAAAAGAACUUAAUAUAAGAGUAGUUUCAGUAGUAGAAUAAUUUUCUUCUUUCUCUCUUACAGUUUAUCUCUCUAGAGUUUCAAUGAAUUCGUAAGAAAAUAAUGAAGGAAUGAGCUUCUAUUUAUAGAAAAAUGGAAUGCAUAGUAACUAACUGAUGAACGGUCCAGAUUGAUUUACUUUUAAUCGGACGGUCCAUAUUUAAAGUAAAAUCUUUUAAAUAAAAUAUAUUAUAUAUAUAUAUAUAUAUAUAAACAAUAAUACUCCCUCCGUAUAAACCAAAAAAAUAAUUUGACAACUUUGAAAAAAACUCCCAACCUUUCAAUUUUCAAUACCGUGGGCCCCACAUGUUCCCCUCCCCCAACAUGUCAAUAUCACAAGGGUCCCAUUAUAUUUAAAUAACUUUCUAUCAAUAAUGUUGAAAAAUAGGUAAAUGGGGGUCUAAAUAAUACGCCAAAUUUACAACAACUACCUCAUAAAAAUCUCUUCAAUAUUUUUAACAACAUUUAUCAUCUUUAUUAAAAUUCACAAUAUUAAUCGACCAGGUCGUUCCCAGGAUAGAGGGGAUUUUCCAAUAAGGAUUUCUCCCUAUUGGCGCGCAAUUAGAUUAUCUAACCUCUCCUUGACAGAACUUCUAGACAUCAUUAAUAUUGCAAAUAAUAACAUUAAUAACAUUGUCGUCUCAAUUAUUGAUUUAAUAAUAUAAAGAAUAUCAACAAUAAUUGAAUCAAAUAACGUGAGAUACUAUGCAACAAUUACUAUAACAAUAAUUGAAUAAAACUGAAUGACUUCUCAUGUAAGCAUCAAUAAUCAAUAUCGUGUGCUACUAUGCAACCACGCGUAUUACUGUACUUUUACUACCGAGUAGUUCAACAGUAUCAACCGUAAAACUUCCGCCGUUAUUUUCAUAAAAAUAUUUUUGUCGUUUUCUCAAUCCAACAAUAAUUCUGUUGUGGGUUCCACCAAUGAUUGCGUCGUUGUACGAAUAUUCCCCGCUAAAACGAAUAUUCUCCGACCAAUCGAAUAUAAUAUAGCAACUUGCAUACUUUACAAAACUUAUAAAUACUACCCACAACUAUAACAUUAUAUUAAAUUUAUUCCAUAAUAUUCAAAAAUGAUAAUUAUAGAAAAUUCAUCUUUAUUCAAAAAGUUGGGGUCUUACAGACUUGACUGUGCUGAUCCAGAGAUAGUUAAUGUACCACCAACGUUGUUGUUUCCUUUUCCACCACUUGCACUUCCUGCUGGCUUCUUAGGGCAAUCACGAGCCAUGUGAUCCUACGAACCGCAGGUAAAACAUGCUCCUUUAUUUGGACUAAAACAGUUCAGUGUAAUGUGUCCCUCCUGACCACAGUUGAAACACACCCGCUUUCCCUUCAAACAUACUCCAUUAUGAUUGUUUCCAUAAGUCGCAUAAGCUUCAAACUUUUUCUUCUGCUGAUUUCCUUGUUGUCCUCCCGCAGUCGAAUUUUCACUCCACUUCCUCUUCUGAUUGUUAUUUCCAACGUUACUUCCACCAGCCUUAUUUUCAUUCUCAGUCUUCCUCUUCUUAUAUUCUUGGUUGUACUUGGUCAAGGCAUCGCUUUCACCUUCUGCGAUAAUUGCCUUUUCCAGUAUAACCGCAAAUGUAUUUAACUGAAAUAUUGAAACCUUGCUAUACAGCCAGGGUUUCAAUCCAUGUUCGAACCUUAUCGCCUUUCGUUCAUCAGUAUUGACUUAAUAAGUGGCAAACCUUGCCAAUUCAUUAAACUUCGCAGCAUAUUCUGGCACCGUCAUAGUUCCUUGUUUCAGUUCCAGAAAUUGCAUUUCCAACUUAUUCUGAGAACUCGCUGGAAAGUACAUUUCAAAAAAUAUCUCCUUAAAUCUAUCCCACGCUAUCACUCCUUGUCCCCCACGAACCUUAUUUGCCUGCCACCAGUAGCUAGCUUCAGACUUCAGCAUGAACGUUGUGAACGCAGUCUUCUGAUCCUCGUUGACUCUAGAAACGUUGAACACUUUCUCCAUUUCCAUGAUCUAGGUUUGGGCUUCUACUGGAUUCAUAGACCCUUGAAACUCUGGCGGUCCAACCGCUUUGAAUUCCUUAAAGGUCAUGACUUGAGCUUGCGGUUGAUUCGCAAGUGCACCUGUUAACAAGGUUACCAACUGCUGAACCGGGUUAGCAUUGGCCUCGUUAUUAUUUUUAGUAGACCCCUCAGGAGGUGGUUGUUGACGUGUUUUUCUUCUUCUAGGAGGCAUUUUCUGUUAAGAUAUACGCUCAUUAGUUCAUUACUCAACUUCUUGAUUAUUUGAAGUUUAACUUAAAUAUUCUAAGAUUAAAGUUAUAACACAUAACAUUUCAAAUAAACUCUGGUAUUUUAUUCAUUCAUAAUGUUUUAAAACAUAUUAAAGAUAGCAUAACCGCUAUUAACAUUCACUUUCCUGAACUAAGCAAGUUUUAGGAUUACAUAUUCAUACUACCCCUUUAUUUAUCUCAAAAUAAGGGAUUCACAGUUUAUAUACUCACUUACUUAACCACGUAUUAUUAUUCUCAUUCUUUCUAUCUAGACAUAUUAAGAUGUCGUAAGGCUUCUCUAUGUUCUUCCUCCAUAAUUCGAUACAUCGUUCUACGAUCCAUCAUGAACUACAACGAAUCUUCAAAUUGAGGUGGAUAAUAAAAGACUCGAUCCUGGGCCCUAUCAAUUGCAGAAUUAAAGGCAUAAUCCAUCCCAUUCAUCUUGGCCUUCUUCACUUGAACUUUAUCCUCGGCACGGUCUGCACGUUAAGUCACCUUUAUCCAAGCGUCCUCUGCUCUCGUACGUUUAGUUGAAUCCUCUUUCAAGUCAUCUUUUAACUUCUCCACAUCAGUCUUCAUCUUCUUGUUCACUGCCAACAAAUCUUCAUGCUGACCCUUGGUAUGAAAUAGGUCCCACUCCGUGUUUCCAAGUCUUGAGUCGAGUUCUUGAAUCUCCGCAUCCUUCUGCUCUAUCGUAGCGUGAUGCAUCUCAACCAACUCCUUCAGCUCCUGAACUUUGUCUUGUAAUUCUAUGUUACGAUCGUACAGAGCAUCAUACAUCUCAGCUGAUAUGGAGCUUUGUGGAAACGCCACAGGAUCCUCUUCCUCAUCAUCCAACUCUAUCUCUUCAGAACUAUCCUCCUCGGGAUCGGUCACAGGUUCAUCCUCCUGGAUCAACUGUUCACGCAUAACAUGAAUAUCCCGGGGUUCCUCAUCUCUAGGUAUCUGAGGUAUUACUUCCCUAGCUGGAAUGGAUCCUCCUUCAUUAGACAUCCUAACAACAAAAUAUUUUAAGUUUACUUAACAUUUUUCGAUACUCGCGAGCACAUAAGUUAUUACACAUAGCACAUAAUGUCUUUUAUUAUUUAUCUUCAAUGGAUAGCUUAAUCCAUUCAUUAAAACUCGAUAAGAGUUAGACACCUCUAUAUUUUCUGUCUUCUUAAAGGUUACUUCCUAAGGUUUCCCCACCUAAGGUUCAUAACCUAAAGCUCUGAUACCAACAUGUGACACCCCCAAAUCUGGGUAUUCCUUUUCCACAGGAUUUGGUGCUCACUAUCCAAAACCAUUACAUCUAACUACCCAUAACAAAGGAUAAAGACAUAAUUUAAAUAACUUAACAAUAAUCUUCCCAUUAAAGGGUUACAUCGUCAUAAAACAAUCCCAAAUAAUUUAAUCUUAAAUUAUUACAUAAGUUUGCGGAAUACAUCAUAAAAUAAAACAAGUCUUAUAACAUAAACAUUUAAAUAAACUUUCAUAAAUCUUCAACACUUGGACAUCUUUCCCUUUUCUUUGCUAGUAGAUGGCUCAUCGACUUUCUCAACUUUAGCUGCAGUGUUAAAUGCAAGAGUGAGCAAACAAUUGCUCACUGAUAUAGAGAGUAGUAAUGAUAACAACAUAAGAUUAAACAACGAAUGCUGAACAAUAAUGAAAUUGUUCUAUGAAUAAAAAAUAGAAAACAAGUUCAAAUUUAAUAUCUGAGGGUCUUAAGACCACGAACUAUGUCCCCGAUAUUUAGGUAUUAUUACCCAACCUUAACAGUCAUUUAGACUAUACAAACCCUUCUUAACGUACUUAGGGGGAUCAGCCCUUUGUACCAUGUAUUGUGCACAAACAUCUAAACGUUACACGUACAAAAUCCCCUAUGUUAGGGUUGUUCGUCUCAGCUUGAAUUUAGAAUUUCUGCACUAAAGAGAGUUUAGCUCGGAACUAACUUAUCAAUGGUUCUAGAAUUUUAGAACACUACUCAAUUAUAGACUAAUUCAAUCAAUAAGAGUUUGCUUGCUACUUGAAGAUUUAAUAUAACAAAAAUAGAAUUGAACAAGGCUAUCAAAGUCAAAGAUCGAAUAUCAACAAUAUACAGUUGAGCACUACAACAAAAAAGCUUAUCAGCGACCGCCUAUCAGCGACCGCCUGUGGUCGCUGAUAUCUAUCUGCGACCGUCUACUCGAGUAAACAUGAUAUACAUGCAAAGUACUAUAUCCAAAAGAGUUAGAAUAAUCUCCUUUGAAUCAAUGUAUUAGAACAAUAUAUUCUUUUGAAUAACAAUAUCAAGAUUUAGGAAAGUGAAACUCGCUCAAUGUAACAAACUAGAUUACAAGAGAUUGUACGAUACACGAGAUAGAAUCAAUAGGCUUGCUGAACUUUAAUGUAAAAUUUAGAAUUAGAAAGCUUGUUUGACAUAAAAGAUAACAUAGCUAUGAAACUUGCAUUCAUUAAUAAAAGAAUGAAGUUAGAAAACUUGCUCAAUAAAAGUUUAGGAUAAGAAACUUGCCUUGUAUGUAAGCUACACAAGUGUAAUAAUGUUCGCCAAUUACCCUACACAUAUCAUUGGAAUCGCAAUAACAAUUAGUUGUAUUAUUAUUAGCUUUAAGGGUUUAAACCACCAUUUAGGUCAUAACCUUAACUUAACAUCUAACCAUGUUGGUUAACACCUUUAACAAAUCUAAAAUCCCUCUAUAAACUAACAUAAACUUUAUCAUUCAUUUCUUACUUUCAUAAACAUUAUUUUUUUAUUCAUUACAUAACUUAAUUAAAUAAUCACUUAAAAUCUUCAUACUUUAUAUUACAUCACGUUGAAAUAUGUUAUUGUAGUUCACGUUAACAUGUAUGCCAAACUAGAUUAAGUCCAUUAAUCAUAACCUAUAAAUAAGCAGAAGUCAUUGCCUAGGCUCAGGGCACGGCGCAGCUGCGCUGUCCCAAGCCUUGGCAUCGGCACAGCUGCGCCGUACACGGACAGGAACUGCAGCAGCAGCUCUGUUACACAGCACACACCAAAACUCAAUCAAAUUUCACAGAAAUCAUAAAACUCAACAUCUAAAACUUUGUGAUAACAUUAAUAAUGAUGUUAUUCAUCAUUCUCACUACCUAAACAUUAUAUAUAUUAAAUUUUAAAAGAUCAAAACCCCAAUUUUUCCAAUUUCAUCAUUUUUUUACGCUUUUAGCGAAUUCGAUUGCUACGAAUUCAUUUCUUAAUCAAUUGACACAAUUCAAACUACGUUGUUUUCGUUUCUUAACAUACUAACACAUUCUAACAUCAAAUUACAGAUUAUAGCAAGUAUUGAUCAUGAAAUUUCGUACUUUCUAAAGCCAUUUUUCAAAAAUAAACACUAUUAUUAUAACUUCUUCCUUACAAAGCCAAUUCUCACAUGUUUGGAAAUCAAAUAGCACUCACAUAUAAUGAUUAACAGAUUAUAAACCAUAUAUACAUGUAUUUGUAUUAAUCCAUCGUAAUUAUCAAUAGAAAUUUCAAACAUAAAAGUUAGAAUUAGAGUUAUACCUUACUCCUUUGAUUGUUUGCUAGCAAAAAGAUGGUGACUAGGUUUAGAAAUCCCUCUCCUUGACAAUCAUAAAGAAUUCAAACUCACUGUGUUUUCCUCUCUUGCUCUCUCUCCAAGCUCUCUGUUCUUCACUAAUAUCUAGCCUUAGGGAAAGGAAUAAUACGCGUAAAAAAAUAUACUAACUCCCACUUUCCCCACUAAUGUCAGGUCACAAACCCAAAAGUUUGUGUCAGUUAGAAAUAAGCCAAAGGCCACAGGGCCUUGUUUGGCUAACCACAAUUUCUCCUCUACUAGAUUAUUUUUAUAUUAUUUUUAUUAUAUAGUUUUUAUUUGUCACACUUGCCACCAAUUUAAAUAGCUUACAAUAAUAAUUAUAAUAAUUAUAAUUUUUAUUAUAAUUAUUCUGAUGAUUAAUAAAUAAUUAUAUAUAUAUAAUUUAAUUAAUAAAUUUGACUUAAACAUUACUUUAUUUAAUUUACCUAUUUUCUUUAAUAUAAAAAAAAAUUUAAUUUAAUUUAAUUAUUUCAUUAAAUUAAAUCUUUCAAAUAAAAAAUAGCAUUAUUCAAUUUAAUUAACAUUAAUCAAUUUAGUCACUAAAUUAAUGCACCACAAUUCAUCAAUUAUUUAUUUUUCUCAAUAAAUAAAUUAUUUAAAAUAUUUAUUUAAUUCAAUAAAUAUUUAAAUUAAAUUACAAAUUUCUCGAUCGUUACACUAUUCAUUCGGUUAGUAUUUACCCGGGGUACUAUUCAUGACAAAAAUUGAUUUCUUUUAUGUCCAAAUUAUUUUUGAUACAAUAUUAUUCUUGAAUUUUACUCCACAAUUGGUGAUCAUGUUGACAAUUUAGAUAUUCUUAAACUCUGGAUAAAUUUAAUUAUAAAUAUUUAAUAUUUAUCCUUUAUCUCGUUUGAUUGAUUCUUUAUAUCAUUGUCAUGAUCCUCAUGCUUAUAUUGUGAUAAAAGUCAUCUUUGGCCCGUAGUGCAUAGAUGGACUAUUGGUUAUUGGUUUUACAGUUGUUUUUCUUUGGCCCGUAGUGCAAAGAAGAACUGUUGAUUGAUAUCUUUGGUCGUAGUGCAAAGAUGAAUUGUUGAUUGAUAGCUUUGGCUCGUAGUGCAAAGUUGGACAGGUGUAUGACAUGAUCAUGACCACUGGUGAUACUAACGAAUAUCCUUGGCCGUAGUGUAUGGAUAAUUCAAUGAUGUGAUUGGCAGGAUCAUGACCAUUAGUUAACAGUUGAAUGUCUUCGGCCGUAGUGCACUGACAGACAAUUGAUUGGUAUGAUCAUUGUUAUUACACUUGAAUGUCUUAGCCUUUGGGGUAAGGAUAUUGAGUAAACGUUCUAUUAAGCCUUUGUGGCAAGGAGAAACUGUUGAUUCACAUUAUUAUAAACAUGAAUUGUGAAUUUAUCUAAAAUCUUUGGUGGUUCAGGUGAAGACAGGUGAUGAAAUUUCUCUUUGUCUUGGUAUAAUAAAGAACUGUUAAUGGGUAUUAUAGGGAUAAAAUUGAUGAUAAACUUUUAAAUCAUAGAAGAUAGUAGAUAUCAUGCUCUACUUGACUCUUCUAAUAGAUUGCUUAUUCCACUGCAGUUGUUGAUCUAAAACUUGUUGUCUAUUAUAUUCUAGCAGUUGUUAUACUGUUGAAGGCUAAUGAUAAUUUAUUCUGCAUUAUCUUAGUCAUAAUAUUUCUUACUGGGCUAGUUGAGCUCACCCUUUUCUUUCAUUAUUCUCUUCAGAAAAUGAGAAUAUAGCUGGGACGAGUCGGGGAAUGGAGUGAUGAUCCAAGAUAAGUGGCUUUAGUAGUCUUCACUAUUCUGUGAAAUAGUGUGAUAAUAAUUGUAAUGAGGACUCCAUUGAGUUUGGAUAUUGUCUAGAAGACAAUAUUUGUGUUAAAACUCUCAGCUUAUAUUUUCUCGUAUUCUACACGACAGUUGUAUAAUUAAGUAGUAUUUGUAUUCUGUACCAUGUAUCUGGCGACCCAAGAUGGGUGAUGUAUACAUAUUUUGGGGGCGUCACAUCAACAACCACCACAAAUAUAAAACCUUUGAAGCCAAGCCUGUGAGACCCCAAAUUUUAUGAAUAAAGAUUUAAAUUUCUCGAAAUAUUUUUUUUGAAUAUUACGGUGUGGAUUUGAUAUAAUGUUAUAGUUGUGGGUAAUAUUUAUAAAUUUUACAAAGUAAACAAGUUGUUACAUAAUAUUCGUUUGGUCGGGGAAUAUUCUUUUUGUUGGGGAAUAUCCGUACGAUGGUGCAAUCAUUGGUGGACCCCACAACGGAAGUAUUGUCGUAGUAAGAAAAUGACAAAAUUAUCUUUUUAUAAAAAUAAUGGCGAAAGUGUUACCGUUAAAACUAUUGAACUACUCCGUAGUAAAAGUACAGUAAUACGUGUGGUUGCAUAGUAGCACACGAUAUUGAUUAUUAAUACUUACGUAAGAAGUCACUCAGUUAUACUUAAUUAUUGUUAUAGUAAUUGCUGCAUCUAUCUCUCAUAUUAUUGAUUCAAUUAUUGUCACAGUAUCAUCUGCAUAAUAUGUUAUAUUAUUAAAUCAAUAAUUGAGACGACAAAGUUAUUUAUAUUAUUAUUUGCAAUAUUGAGAAUGUCUAGAAGUUCUAUCAAGGAGAGGUUAGAUAAUCUAAUUGCGCGCCAAUAGGGAGAAAUCCUUAUCGGAAAGCCCCCUCUUUCUUGGAAACUACCUGGUUGUUAAAUAUUGUGAGUUAUAAUAUUAAUGAUGUAUAAGUUUGUGUUGAUUAAAGAUGAAAUUGAUAGUUCCAUUGUGUUGGGAUUAUUAGUGUUAGUGGAAAUCGACAUUUAUUUCGAUAAUAAUUGAUGUUUGGAAGUUAUAUUGACCAAUCGGGUAAUUAACCGGAUAAAUGAGCAAUUAAUUGCUAUUAAUUCACAUGCUUAUAACUAUGUGUUCACAUGUGUGUACUAUUGAUUCACAUGAUUUACUAUUAGGGGAGUUGGUGCAAGAUUGAUAAUACUUGCAUGACUAAAUUAAAAAUAGAGGUAUAGAUGAAGGUACUAUACUGUAAUUAUUUUUUUCACAUGUUUAGAACUAUUGAGUCACAUGAUUUACUAUUGAUUCACAUGAUUUACUAUUAGGGGAGGUGGUGCAAGUUUGAUAAUACUUGCAGGACUAAAUUAAAAAUGAAGAAAAAGAGGAAGGUAUUAUACUGUAAUAUUUCGAGCCCCAAAACGUGCAAUUAUCGAAACUAUAUUUUCCUAUAAAUAGAAGCUCAUUCUUCCUUCAUUUCUCACCAAUUCACUAAAGCUUUAGAGCAAUUAUUAUAGAGAGAAAUUAUAGAGAGAAAGAAGAAGAGAAGUCUGCUACCUCACUAUUUUAGUAUGCAGUUUCUUCUAAGGUAAGGGUAUUAUUUCUUUCGUAUUCAUGAAGAGAGUUAUUUCUUUCAAUACUCGUAAGGGUUGUUAUUCCAUUCUUUAUUAUUCUGUUGGAAUAACCUGUCUGUGCGGACUACACACGCCUGGUGAAUUCUUUUGUUAUUACAUUCUUUAUUAUUCUGUUGGAAUAACCUGUCUGUGCGGACUACGCACGCAUGGUGAAUUUUUUUUUAUUCUAUUCUUUAUUAUUCUGUUGGAAUAACCUGUCUACGCAGACUACCGCAUGCAUGGUGAAUGACCCUUCGUAUUCAUUCUUUAUUAAAUUAUGUAAAUGAUCUGUCUACGUAGAUUACCGCAUGACGGGUAAAAAUCCAUUUGCAGUUUCAUAUAUUCUAUUAUACUCAUAUGCGAUAUCAUUUCUUUUGUACUCGUCAUAUAAUAUCAUUUUCUUUGGAAUUUUUCUUUUACGAGUUACUAUUGACAGAUUACUAUUCACCUGAUUAUUAUUCACUCUAGUAUUAUUCACUCAGGUAUUCGGGGCACUUUUCGUGUCAGAGUAUUAUUCACGGGUUACUAUUCACCCGAUUACUAUUCACUCUAGUAUUAUUCACUCGGAUAUUUGGGACACUUUUCGUGUCGAGGUACUAUUCACGGAGUACUAUUCCUGAAGUACUAUUCAUGAAAUACUAUUCACCCAAAAAAUAUAUUUCUUUUCAGUCCAAAUUAUUUUUGGGUACAAUAUUAUUCUUGAAUUUUACUCCACAAAACAAUAUCAUGUUGACAAAUUGGACGUUAUUGAUUCUUGGAUAAAUUAAAUUAUAAAUCUUUAAAAUUUAUCCUUGAACUUUUUUUAUUGAAUUAUUAUGUCAUUGUCAUCAUCCUCAUGCUUAUAUUGUGAUGAAAGUCAUCUUUGGCUUACGUGCAUAGAUGGACUUGGUAUGAUUAUGACCAGGGAUUAUUCGGUAUAAUCAUGACCGUAAUGUGACGAAUGAUAUGGUGAAAGUCCUCAUUGGCCUGUAGUUCAUUGAUGGACAGUUGUUGGUAUGAUUAUGACCAGGGAUUAUUUGGUAUAAUCAUGAACAUUGAUGAUUACAUGAGUAUCAUUGGCCGAGAUGCAGGGAUGAUUCGAUUUUAUUUAUUAAGUUGAGUCUCAGCGAUAAAGUUGAUGAAAAACUUUUUAAAUCAUAGAAGAUAGUAGAUUUUAUGCUCUACUUGACUCUUCUAAUGGCUUGCUUAUUCCGCUGCAGUUGUUGAUCUAAAACUUGUUGUCUAUUAUAUUCUGUCAGUUGUUAUACUAUUGAAGGCUAAGGAUAAUUUAUUCUGCAUUAUCUUAGUCAUAAUAUUUCUUACUGGGCUAGUUGAGCUCACCCUUUCUUUCACUGUUCUCCUCAAGAAAUGAGAAUAUAGCUGGGACGAUUCGGGGAACGGAUUGACGGUCCAGAUGGUUGUUUUAGUUGUCCUCACUAUUCUGUGAAAUAAUAUGAUAAUAAUUGUAAUGAGGACUCCAUUGGGAGUGGAUAUUGUCUAGAAGGCAAUAUUCUUGUUUAAACUCUCAGUUAUGUUUUGUCGUAUAUUACCCGACAGUUGUAUAAUUAAGUUUGUAUUUGAUUUAUGUACCAUAUAGUUGGCGACUCAAGAUGGGUGAUGUAUACCUGUUUUUGGGGUGUCAAAGUUGGUAUCAAAGCUUAGGGAUAUGAUCUCUGGCUGAGAUAUGAGACAAGAACUAGGAGGGGAGAGACUGGGAAUUCCUUCGCUAGUAUAUAUGACCUACCUAAGUUUAUUUGGUAUUUAAUUGGUCGAUCAGAGUAUAGGAAUAAUAUGUGAUAUGUCAAUUAACCCUUGUUUUGUGACAGUGUUUGAAAAUAGCAUCUAAAAAUGUUGAGAUCAGCAAUGAAGCACAUGAGACCGUUGAGUCACCAACGAUUAAUACCUAGGAUAAUGUGCAACAGGAAGAUAAUAAUCCUCAGGUAAAUAACAACACCGAUUAGAUGAUGAACGAUGGGAUGUUCAGAGGCUUUAUGCAAUUCAUGCAACAUCAGACGAGAGAGACUCUUGUUCAAAAUGCAGGUGGAAACACUGUCAACUCUCGGAUGGUCACCGCUAAGCAGUUUAAGGAGUUGGGACCACCAGAGUUUUUGAGAGAGCCAGAACCACUUAAGGCGGAGACGUGGAUAAACAGAUCACCAAGAUAUUUGAUGUCUUGGAAUGCUCAGAGGAGCAAAAGGUUCCCUUUGCCACCUUCAUGUUGCGAGGAGAGGCAGAUUACUAGUGGGAAUCAGUAAAACGUACUCAGCCUGCCGCACUGAAGAUGUCUUGGGAGAUGUUCCAAGAACUGUUCAACAACAAGUACUUUCCUGAAAGUAUUCGUCAUGUGAAAGAGGUAGAGUUCAUCAAGCUUGAGUAAAACAAUAUGACCGUGGCGCAGUACGAAGCUAAGUUUGCCGAGUUAUCUCAGUUUGCGUCCCACUUGGUUGAUAAUGAAGAGAGAAUGACGCGGAUGUUUCUAAGAGGUUUGAAACCCGAGAUACGUCAAUAUCUAAUUUCUCACAAACUGUGUUUGUAUUCAGAUGUUAUGAAUAGGGCUCAAUUAUUGGAGUGUGAUAAUGAGUCAGCACAACCAAAAGGCAACGACCAACAACACGAUAAUAAUCAUACCGGUGGCAACGGCCAUCGGAACAAUGAUAACCAUCGUGGGGGAAAUUAUUAUGCCAAGAAUGGUAACCACUUCGGUGGUAAUCAUGGCCAAGUUAAUAGAAGCGGAAAUUUCAAGAAGAGAAGGUUCAAUAAUGAUGGAAAGACGUCAUCACCAGCACCCGUUGUUAAGGAAGGAGAACGACCGCCGGUCGUAUGUUACAAAUGCGGAGGGGAGGGACACAUAAGUCCAAACUAUUCACAGCCUUCCAAGGUAUGUUUUAGUUGUGGAAAAGAUGGUCACAUAGCUCGAUUUUUUUCUUGUAGCGAAAUCAAGUCCAGUUGGGACAGUGGCACCAAAGGCGGAUACGGACAAAACAAAGUCGGUGGUUUCAGGAAGAGCGGUUUUUAUGACUUCUCAAAAAGUGAGUAACCCGAACGAAGUUAACACGGGUUAGUUAAUUAUAAAUUCUUGCGAAGUCUAUACCUUAUUAGAUAUCGAUUCUACCCAUUCUUUUAUUUCUCUUGCUUGCGCUCAGCGUUUAAAUUUGACUCCAGAGAAAUUAGACUUUGACUUAUUGGUUGAAACUCUGUUAGGAGAAACCUUCGUUACACCCACUGUUUAUAAAUCUUGUUUUAUUCAAAUCGACACUUUCACGUUACCUGUCGAUCUUAUCUCUUUGAAAAUACUUGCCUUUGAUGUGAUUUUAGGAAUCGAUUGGUUAACUACUCAUCAUGCCAAAAUUGAUUAUUUUUGUAAGGUUGUUAGCUUUCAUAUUCCUAACCAACUUGUUAUGCGAAUUCAAGCAACCAAACCACUAAAGUCAAUCACUGUCAUAUCAAGCCAUAAGUAAAGAGCCCCGAGCCUUUCGUUGGUGACUUCCUUGUGUGGAAUGCAUCGAAGCCGAACUUUCUGUAGGGGACGUCGUGAAUAACAGUGGCAAGUUGAUAGGUAUCAAUGUGACGUGUUAUCCAAGUCUUGGGAUGAGAGUCACAGUUUUGAAUGAUAUUUCUAUUGUUAAUAAAUUUCCUAGCGUAUUCUUGAAGACUUCUUAGCCUACCCCUAGAGCGUGAAAUCGAAUUUUUUAUUGACCCCAAUACAAAACUCAUUUAUAAAACCCUCAAAUAUUUUCUUUACCCAAAACGAACGUAUAAUGUGCCAAUGACGUUGGCUCGAGCUGUUGAAGGUUACGACUAUACCAUUAAAUUCCAUCGUGGGAAAAGCGAACGUGGUAGCUGACACAUUAAGUAGAAGAUCGUAUGCGUUUACGAAGUGUGACGUUGUUAACACAAAAACCCAUUUCGUAUAACUUAUAAAUAAUGAAGAUGGAGUUAAUGACUCUAGAGACCCACGUGAAGAUAACGAAUAUACGAGUAAAAUCGACUUUAAUCGAUAAAGUUAAAGCCGCUCAAACUACACACUCGGAGCUAGUGAAUACGAAGAAGAAGGUUCAAGAAGGCGUUAUUCUAGAAGCAAGAGUCGAUGAAGAGAGAAAAUCUCAAUCCUCGAUUUAAUUGGGCCAUUUGAAAUCCUCGAUGGAGUAGGAACUGUGGCCUAUAGACUUGUUUUACCGCCAAGUAUGUCGCGUGUUCAUAACAUUUUUCAUGUAUCGAUGUUACGUAAAUAUGUGGACGACCCGAACCACAUUAUUAAAUUGGAACUAGACGAGAUAGCAGAAGAUUUAACAUAUGAGGAUAUACGUGUUAAAAUCUUGGAUAAGAAGGAUCGUAUUCGACACUCAAAUUUUAUACCUCAAGAGUUAGAAUCUGAAAUAAAGUCAAGGUAUCCUUAUCUCUUCGGCAUACCAGGUACGUACUUAAAUUUUGAGGGCGAAAUUUCAUAAGAAGGGAAGAUUGUGAGAUCCCAAAUUUUAUGAAUAAAGAUUUAAAUUUCUUGAAAUAUAUUUUUUGAAUAUUACGGUGUGGAUUUGAUAUAAUGUUAUAGUUGUGGGUAAUAUUUAUAAAUUUUGCAAAGUAAGCAAGUUGUUAUAUAAUAUUCGUUUGGUCGGGGAAUAUUCUUUUUGUCGGGGAAUAUCCGAACGACGACACGAUUAUUGGUGGACCCCACAACGGAAGUAUUGUCGUAGUAAGAUAAUGACAAAAUUAUCUUUUUAUAAAAAUAACGGCGAAAGUGUUACCGUUAAAACUGUUGAACUACUCGGUAGUAAAAGUAUAGUAAUACGCGAGGUUGUAUAGUAGCACACGGUAUUGAUUAUUGAUGCUUACGUAAGAAGUUACUCAGUUAUACUCAAUUAUUGCUACAGUAAUUGUUGCAUCAUAUCUCUCAUAUUAUUGAUUCAAUUAUUGUCACAGUAUCAUCUGCAUAAUAUGUUAUAUUAUUAAAUCAAUAAUUGAGAUGACAAAGUUAUUCAUAUUAUUAUUUGCAAUAUUGACAAUGUCUAGAAGUUCUAUCAAUGAGAGGUUAGAUAAUCUAAUUGUGCGCCAAUAGGGAGAAAUCCUUAUCGGAAAGCCCCCUCUUUCCUGGGAACGACCUGGUUGUUAAAUAUUAUGAGUUAUAAUACUACUGAUGAAUAAGUUUGUGUUGAUUAAAGAUGAAAUUAAUAGUUCCAUUGUGUUGAGAUUAUUAGUGUUAGUGGAAAUUGACAUUUAUUUUGAUAAUAAUUGAUGUCUGGAAGUUAUAUUGACCAAUCGGGUAAUUAACCGGAUAAAUGAGUAAUUAAUUGCUAUUAACUCACAUGCUUAUAACUAUGUGUUCACAUGUGUGUACUAUUGAUUCACAUAAUUUACUAUUAGGGGAGUUGCUACAAGAUUGAUAAUACUUGCAUGACUAAAUUAAAAAUGGAGGUAUAGAUGAAGGUACUAUACUAUAAUUAAUUUUUUCACAUGUUUAGAACUUUUAAGUCACAUGAUUUACUAUUGAUUCACAUGAUUUACUAUUAGGGGAGGUGGUGCAAGUUUGAUAAUACUUGCAAUUAAAAAUGAAGAAAAAGAGGAAGGUAUUAUACUGUAAUAUUUUGAGCCCCAAAACGUAUAAUUAUUGAAACUAUAUUUUUCUAUAAAUAGAAGCUCAUUCUUCUUUCAUUAUCACCAAUUCACUAAGCUAUAGAGCAAUUAUUAUAGGGAGAAAUUAUAGAGAGAAAGAAGAAGAUAAGUCUACUACUUCACUAUUCCAGUAUCCAGUUUCUUCUAAGGUAAUGGGUAUUAUUUCUUUCGUAUUCAUGAAGAGAGUUAUUUCUUUCAAUACUCGUAAGGGUUGUUAUUCCAUUCUUUAUUAUUCUGUUGGAAUAACCUGUCUGUGCGGACUACACACGCCUGGUGAAUUCUUUUGUUAUUAUAUUCUUUAUUAUUCUGUUGGAAUAACUUGUCUGUGCGGACUACGCACGCCUGAUGAAUUCUUCUAUUAUUCCAUUCUUUACUAUUCUGUUGGAAUAACCUGUCUACGCGGACUACCACAUGAUUGGUGAAUUCUUCUGUUAUUCCAUUCUUUAUUAUUCUGUUGGAAUAACCUGUCUACGCGGACUACCGCAUGCAUGGUGAAUGACCCUUCGUAUUCAUUCUUUAUUAAAUUAUAGAAAUGAUCUGUCUACGUAGAUUACCGCAUGGCGGGUGAAAAUCUAUUUGCAGUUUCGUAUAUUCUAUUAUACUCGUAUGAGAUAUCAUUUCUUUUGUAUUUGUCAUGGAAUAUCAUUUUUUUUGGUAUUUUUCUUUUACGAGUUACUAUUCACGGGUUAGUAUUCACCUGGUUACUAUUCACUGUAGUAUUGUUCACUCGGGUAUUCGGGACACUUUUUGUGUCGGAGUACUAUUCAUGGGUUAUACUAUUCACGGGUUACUAUUCACCCGAUUACUAUUCACUCUAGUAUUAUUCACUCGGGUAUUUGGGACACUUUUUGUGUCGGGGUAUUAUUCACAGGGUACUAUUCUCGAAGUACUAUUCACGGAGUACUAUUCACCAAAAAAAUAUAUUUCUUUUCGAUCCAAAUCAUUUUUGGGUACAAUAUUAUUCUUGAAUUUUACUCCACAAAAUAGUAUCAUGUUGACAAAUUGGACGUUAUUGAUUCCUAGAUAAAUUAAAUUAUAAAUCUUUAAAAUUUAUCCUUGACUUGGUAUGAUUAUGACCAGGAAUUAUUCGGUAUAAUCAUGACCGUAAUGUGACGAAUGAUGUGGUGAAAGUCCUCAUUGGCCUGUAGUUAAUUGAUGGACAGUUGUUGGUAUGAUUAUGACCAGGGAUUAUUCGGUAUAAUCAUGACCAUUGAUGAUUACAUGAGUAUCCUUGGCCGUGAUGCAGGGAUGAUUCGAUUUUAUUUAUUAAGUUGAGUCUCAGCGAUAAAGUUGAUGAAAAACUUUUUAAAUCAUAGAAGAUAGUAGAUUUUAUGCUCUACUUGACUCUUCUAAUGGAUUGCUUAUUCCGCUGCAGUUGUUGAUCUAAAACUGUUGUCUAUUAUAUUCUAUCAGUUGUUAUACUGUUGAAGGCUAAGGAUAAUUUAUUCUGUAUUAUCUUAUUCAUAAUAUUUUUUGCUGGGCUAGUUGAGCUCACCCUUUCUUUCACUGUUCUCUUCAGGAAAUGAGAAUAUAGCUGGGACGAGUCGGGGAACGGAUUGACGGUCCAAAUGGUUGUUUUUGUAGUCCUCACUAUUCUGUGAAAUAAUGUGAUAAUAAUUGUAAUGAGGACUCCAUUGGGAGUGGAUAUUGUCUAGAAAGCAAUAUUCUUGUUUAAACUCUCAAUUAUGUUUUGUCGUAUAUUACCCGACAGUUGUAUAAUUAAGUUUGUAUUUGAUUUAUGUACCAUAUAUUUGGCGACUCAAGAUGGGUGAUGUAUACCUAUUUUGGGGCCGUCACAAAGCCCAUACACUCCCAUUUUAGAUCAUAGCUCCUAUGCCCAGACCCAUUAAGAGCAUACCCAGCCCCUACUAAUAUGCACAAUCUAAGCUCCCAUGAUCUAAAGCCCCUGACUUUGCAAAUAUAGAUCGAUAGAUAGAUUUUCGGGAAGGAUCACAUUUUGGUAGAUAGAUGGUUUAAUUUGUUUAACUAUUUAUUAUAAAAUUGAGUAUAAUUUAAUAUAAUUAAUUAUUUAGCUUACCUUCUCUCUCCUUGUCUGCAUUGACACAUAGAUUUAUUGAUUGCCACGUCCUUCUUCUGUUAAAUGGUUAACAGACAUAGACGACAAAAUUAAUUUUUGUAAAUAAAGUAUAGUUCAAUGAGUUGACCGUAAAAAAAUUUAGUUUAGUGAUGCAUUUGUAAACCGAUGUUGAGUAGAGUGGAGAAAAGUGUAUUUAAUCCGCUCCAAAAGUCACCACUUUACAAGUCUCGUCAACAAUCAGCACCAUGUAAACACUCACCCUCUUUGGUGAACUUGAAGAGUUUGAAAAUCAACUUAGGAGGUAUGAUGAUGAAAAUGAGGCACCAAUAAAGAAGACAUUGACACUUCAAGCUGAGAGUAACAAUGAAUGUGAUAACGAAGAUUUUGAUAAAGAAAUUGAAAUGCUCUCAAGAAACUUGAGAGACUAUUUCAAAAGAAAAUAAAAAAGGUAGCUCAACUCCAGUGGGUAAGUUCAAAACAGAACAAGAAGAAGAAAUUGUCCAACUCUAUUUCAUAGGACUAGAAGAUGAUGAUCAACUUGAGGUAACAAAUUUUCAUGAAGCUUUUGAAAUAUCUAUGCCUGAUUAUAUUGCUUUACAAAAUGAAAAUCAACAACUCAAAAAAAAAACUGUUUAUUUUAAGAAUUGCGUAAAUGCUAAUGAAUGAAGUUAAGUCAUUUAUUAAAGAGAGAAAAGAAAAUGAAUAUCUUAAAAAUGAAAAUGAAGUUUUAAAAGAAAAUUUAAAAAUGAGAGAUGAAUGCAUAAAUGCUUUUAAUGAUGGAAAAAUGAUGAAUGUGCAACAUGAUGAUAAUGUCACAAAUGCAAAAAUAACAUCUUUAAAAAAUGAUCUUGCUAAAUUUGUGCAAUGAGAAGAGAACCUAAAUGUUAUGUUAGGGGCACAAAGGUCUAGUCUUGAUAAAUAAGAAAUUGGGUAUAAUCCUAUUAAAAUGUGAAAAAUAGAACUAAUAAUAAUAUUAUAAUGAUUAAUAGAAAACCAAUGCAUAAACCACUUUAUUGUUCACCGUUUGUUACUUGUAAAAAAUAUGGUUUUAAAGGUCAUUUUAAAAUGUGGCUUUAUUAGAAUAAAGCAAAUUUGGGUAAAGAAAUGUGAUUUAUAUGCUACUAACCUAAUAGGACCCAAGAAGAUUUGGGUACCAAAAUGGUAGAGACUAUUUGUUCAUUUUGUAGAUGUCUCAAGGUCAAAAAGGAGACAGAUAAUACUUAUAAAUUAUUUGGCAAAAUUCGCAAGUACCUUAUUUUUUUAAAUAGAUUUUUAAUUAGAUAUAUUAUGAAAACUCUAUGGAUUUCGUAUCAUAUGGCUUCAUAACAUCAUUUAUUAUAAAGUUUUUAUUGUGCUAAAUGCUCCAUAUUUAAUACAAACGACAAUCUUGAUGAGGAAUAAGUGAAUAUUAUUUUUGAUGAACUUAACCAUGAUCUGUUAAAGGAAGAGAAUGAGGUUUCUGCUGGAAAUGACUAUCUGAAUUGUGGAACCCAAACAGUUCAAUCCGGAUAGUCUAAGCCGUCUCUAUCAGAAGGAAAGAUAGAUGAAAUCAGACAAUUUGACCCGUCUGUUUUAGAAGAAAACUCAAAUUUACAAACACCUAAAUCCAAACAGAUCGAGUCGUCUACUUUAGAAGACAAAACAUAUGAAUAUUCGGAUGCAGUAACUUAUAUUCCAGAGGAUGAAUCUCAAAAGCAAAUGACUACUGCCAGGCUUCCUAAAUCUUCUAGAACUAUGGGAAAUCAUCAUCCAAGUCUGAUCAUCAGAAAUUUCAACAUUAGGAUGUCCACAAGAAGAGGUUUUGAAGAAAUUUGUUUGCUACACUAAGGAGCUUAUCUAUUAAGCUUAUUGUUGGUAACAAAAUUGUGGAUAUAUAGGUAACAAAUCACAAAGGUAUGGUCAUUUUAUUUAAUUGCUAUAUGUGAUAUUGUUAUAAGCUUGCUCCCGUGUCUUUAUUUUAUGAAUUAUUUUUUGUUUGUCACAAAUGGGAUAGAGAUAUAACUAAAUUGAUGAUUUUUUUUUUUUUGAUAAUAACAAAGGGGAGAAAUGUUUAGAAAAAUUGAUGAUUAUGAUAUCUGAUGGUUAUAUUGAUUAUAAUAUGUUUAGAUUUUUUUGAUAUCAUAUUGAUGAUAAUGGUUGGAUAUUUUGAUUCAUUAUCUGUUAUAGCUUAUCAUUAUGCAUUAUUUAUCAUAACAGUUAUGUGAUCUUUAUAUCUCCUAUAGGCAUAAAUUUAUGGGGAGCAUGAUUGCAAGGAAUAAUAUAUUGUCAUCAUCAAAAAAGAGGGAAAUUGUUAGUUUUAUUAUUUGUGAUUUUAAUAAUGACAAUAUAUUUGUAAAUAUAAUUUAUUUAAUGUAUUGAAUUAAUUUUGUAAUGGUUUGUUGAAUAUGAUAUAUAGUAAGUUUGGUUCAUGAUAAUUUAAUUUGGUUAUAAUUCAAAUUGUUAUUACGUGCAGGAUUGAAUUGAAAUAUUUUCUUCCAGGUUGUUAUUUUGUUAAAACAGGUUGUUUCAAUUUUGAAUUGGAAUAUGUUAAGGAGUUUGUUUAGCAGUGUAAUCUAUCUAUUAAAUAUAUUAAAAUGCAGUACAUGAUAUCAUAGCUUGACAUAUGUCAUUCUCACAAUUCAACACGUGUCCUGUCUAAUUAAUAUUCCUUAAGACCCUUAACAAAAGUGCCCAGCUAACAUAACAAAUGAGGAUGAAAACAAACUUUAAUUCAUUCCCCUAAAUUUUAGAUUUAUAAUCCCCUAAAUCAUGCUACAAAUCUAAACUAUUUUGAUAAUAUCAACUGUUUUGAUAUUAUCCUUUGUAAUUUAAUUAUUAUUUAAUAAAAUUACUUUUUUAUGCUAUUAAUUAAUUUUUUAGAUUUAUAAUCUUCUAAAUAACUACAAAUCUAAACAGUUAAUAACAUAAUGUCAUUCUCUUAAUUUUUUAAAUUUACAAUCCUCUAAAUCACUACAAAUCUAAACUGUUUUGAUAAUAUCAACUGUUUUGAUAUUAUCCUUUGUAAUUUAAUUAUUAUUUAAUAAAAUCAUUACUUUAUCUCAACACCACCCCCUACAAUGUAUAUUCAUUUGUUUUUCUGUGUAAAAUUUGAUCAUCGCACAACAAUCUACCAUCUUCUUAUUAUAUUUUAAUUUAUUAAUUAUACAUACAUAUUUAUUGAAUAAUUCCGCCCGCAACGCACGAGUUUGUAUCUAGUGUGGUCUAAUUUGGAGUCUUUAAAUUAACUGGUUUAGAUAUUUGUGUAGAGUAUGGGCUCUAUCUACUCGUUAAUUUUAGCCUAUGUUGAUUACGUAUCUUUGAUUUUCUAAUUUUGAGAAUAUUUUAAGCUGUUAGCUAUAUCUAUAGUUCUGAAAUAUCAAAUUCUCGAAAUGAAAGACCAAGUCAUGCUAACCAUUUCAUAUAGUCGUUGGACUGAGUUCUAUAUAUUUUCUUCAUGUUUGUCUAUAGUGAGCAGGACUCUUGAAGCUUAUAGCAGCCAUAUUACACAGAUUAAUCAAGAGCUUUUCAAAGUUAUUUUCAGCUACUCAUUAUAUUGUUAAUUUAUUUCAGUUAAAAAUUAAGAGUCUAUUAUAAUCUAUAUUUAUUGUAUUAAAUUUUAGUUCAAGUCUUGUUUGGCUUGAUCGAUCCAAUAGUGGAUAGGUUUGUUCGAAGAAAACUUUUAAGGUUGCAGAGGUGCAAAUGUCUCAGUGGUGAGAAAGGUUGCAAUGAUGCAAAGGGGCAGAGGUGUUCAUCGCAGUGGAAAAUUUUAUUUGAACAGGGAGUUCUUUUUAUUAUACUUAAUGGAGUCUUAAAAGUUUAAUAAAAAGAGUCCAAUACCGGUUGGUUUUGAACGUGGAUUAAGCCGUUAGAGUUUAAGGGCAGAACCACGUAAAAAUUCUUGUCUGUGGUUUGUUAAUUCUUCUGGGUUGAUAAUUUAUUUCUCACGUUGCAUCUAAUCUCAUUCAUAUUACAUUUUAUUGUUGGUAGGAAAAGUAUACUAAUCUAGACACUAUCUUCUGUCUUUAUAACAAAAGUAAAAUUGACUCUAAAGCAGACACUUUUAUUUGUCUGUUUUAAGUUUAGCAGCAAGUUCAGCAGCAGGAAAAUAAAAUUAGUCAUUGUUAGUGUGCUUAUUUAUAGAAUUACAUCCACAUCUGUAAUUCUACUGAGAUUUAAUGAAUGUUUAUUUUGCCGAUUAAAAAACAAAGGAAAAAGAAUAAAAGUAAUAAGAUGUUCGAAACAUUUGAUUGUAUUAUUAUAUUUUUGUGAGCCAAGGUGAAAGCAAAGCCACCUAGUGGUAGUUGUUUUAUUUAUAAUAUGGUAAUAACAACCAUGAACUGAUAGUUGAUUUAUUUAUUAUAUGCUAAUAACAGCUAUCAGCUAGUGGUUGAUUUAUUUAUUAUAUUCUAAUAAACAGCCAUCAACUAGUAUAUAGUUUCUUGAUCAACUGUUCAUAGGAAGAUUACUGAUCGUUCAUUUAGGCGUUGGGGGGACUAAUUUGAACACCAUAGAUAACUAAACCCGUCUCCAUAGUCGUGUUUUCACUCCCGUCGAGAGCAAAUUUGAAAUCUCCAGAGUCAAAGCUAUUCAAGAAUUCCCCAGCUUUGAGUGAAAUCGGUGUGUUCCUCGGACAAUCCAUCAACCUAUAUCCAUUCACUUGCGUGGACCCAUCCGGAGGAGUAAGUGUAAGACUCACCGGACUUUCUAUGUUAAGGUUGUCUUUCAGCAGCACCACAAAAGACACCUCAUAAGUUCAUUUUUCAAGAGUUUCUGUCGGAUAUUUUCCAUCAACAUGUAGGACUAAGCUACCAAUUAAUUCAGCACUGGCAUCACUGAAAAAAAAUGAUAGUAGAAUUAAAGUCAGAAACUUUUGAUAUAAGGAGCUUAAAUUCAUUAAGGUGAUUUUAUUGAUUUUUUUUUCUGGAAAAUUUUUAAUGUUAAGUCCUUCUAUCUGACUAGAGUCUAGACUUCAAUAAAAUUUCUAUAGUCCUUCUAUCACUUUAAUUUAAUGACAUAGUUGCUUAUAUAUCCCUAUUUUUAACUGAAUAAAAUUCAGGUGUUUAAACACAAAUCUUGACCUUUGACAUCAAUUAAGUUAACUAAGUCUUAUUUCUACUUACGUAAACUUCCAGCCUGAAGGGUUGGCAUAAUUGAGUUCCUUUGCAUGCACAAAAGCCCAACUGCUCUGAAUAAGUCAACAGAAAUUUACAUUAUUAUAUGGAUAGAUAAGGCAAACCAGCGGUGACCAAUAAAUGAUAUGUCGAUGCCUUUAUAAAUAUAUAUAUAUAUAUAUAUAUAUAUAUAUAUAUAUAUAGAAUAUUGACGGUUGACAUUGUCAAAAUAACAAUUAUAAAAGUGUUGCCAAAUGUAUAUUUACUCUGAUAGCGAUGACAUUAUCAACCACCUAUAUAUAAAUAGCAAAUGUUUCAUAGCAAAAGUUUAUUACAGAAUAUGUAUCACUCAAACCAUCUUAUAUCAAUCAUGCAUUACAACAUCAGAUAGAUGAGAUCUUAAAAUUUUUGAACACUCCGCGACAUUAUGUUGCAAAUGGUACCAAAUUUUAAAAAUCCCAAAGGUGUAAGAUGGUCUAAAUUUUGCAAAAAUGUAUCACUUGCAAAAUUUACAAAUAUUAAGGAUUAUUUUUGUUCUGUAGACAACUUUAGUGUGUAUAUAUAUUUGAUGUUUGUUUCCAAUUUCAGUGGACUUACCUUCUGGCCCGGGUCCUUUUUGAGCAACGCAUUUUCCUUAGCUUGAGACAACAAUGUCUUGAGGUCAACCUUGUGAUACCUCACUACUUGUGCCAUUUCGCCUUUAAUUCUGCUAUAUAUAUUUUUUGUUUUUGUUCUUGAUGUCUAUAUAUCUCUCUUCCAAAGGCUAGCUCUAUUUAUAGAUAGCACAAAAGAGGGUAUAUUCAAUAAUAACCUAUCUUCAAAUAUUCCUUCCUUUUUCACAGUGGGGAUCCUGAUAAGUUUAACAUCAUCAUCAUCAUCGCCAAGGAUAUAGAGCAUCAGAUUCUGUUUAAUAAUUUUGUUGGAAUAUUUCUUUUCCAUUUCUCAGUUCAAUAAUUCUUUCUUUAGCUUGUUGCGCUGGCAAAAUUCGAUGAAGGCGAAAGGUACGUAGGCAUUCAAGUAAGUGAUGAUUUUCUUCUAACCAGAAGUAUGAGCAGGUUGAUGAUACAUAUGUCAUGCCAACAUAACAAACUUUAGAGGAGCCGAGUUCGAAAAAGAGAGGGUACUGGUAUAAUUGCCUUAAUUCGAUCUUAUCACCCAAGCACGGGUGCCAUCUAUUUUGGUUCAAUAUAAUGGAGUAUAUAUUCAAAUCAACAAAACAAGGCAAGAACAAAAAAUAAAUUUAAAGUGCAUAUUUUAAUAGGAAUAUCUAUUAAUAUAUAUAGGUAUGUUACUCAAAUAUCUAUACCAUCUAUACCAAUUUAUAGCAAGAUAAAUACGAGUUAUUUAAGUUGGUCUUGAGCCAAUUUAGUAAUCCAAUUUUGGUGACUCCGUAACUCAAAAUGUUUUUUUUUUGUUUUUUUGUUUGAUUUUUAUGUAUUCUUGGUCAUAAAUUUUGAUAUUCCCAAAAGUCAACUAAAACACUCAAAAGUUAUAUAUUUUCACAAAAUUUUAGUACACAUUUAUUAUUAAAGAUGGAAUAUAUUAUCUAUCAUUAAGAAUUGAGUAAAUAUAUAAAAAUAAAAUAAAAUUAAUGAAAUAACUUUUGAGCUAUCAAGUCAUCAAAUUUGGAGAGCUGAGUUGACUUGAGUUAUAUUAAAAUGUCAUUCAAAAAUAUUAUAUAUAUAAUUUACCAAAUAAAUCGUUUUUAAACUUAUCCGUACUUCGUACGGAUUAUUAAUUUUGUUUGUAUUAAAAGUAGAAGUAUAAGCAUCUCGCAGGCCAAAAAUAAAAAAAGAAAAAAAAAAAGAAAAGAAGAGCAAGACUACUUCUUUUUCUUCCUUUUUAUCUCCUUUCUUUCUUUGUUUCUUUUUAGACGGAGGACUUCAUUUCAUCUUUGAAAAUAAACAUAAGAAUUUAUCAAAGGAAAUACAAGAUAGACGAUACAAAUAUUGAGAUCUAAUGGAACUUUUGUUGUCUAAUUAUUAUUAUUUUUUAUUUUCAAAUAUACGCAUACAUGAUAAAGAUUCACAAUUAUAUAUAAUAGGCUAAAAUCAACAAUCCGCUAAAAAAUUUGCGGUCUGUCAAAAUGUUUAGUUGUCGAGCUAGUAUAAAUUACCGUCUACCAAAUCGUUAUUAGUUAACAAACUAGUGUAAAAAUUUCACUUUGGAAGCUAAUAUAAACUAUCAUCUAUCAAAUUGUUAUUAAAUGGGGAGCUACGAAUGUAAACUAUCGUCUAACAAACUUUAUUAGCUGAUGAGCUAGUGUAAAAUAUCAUUUAUCAAACUGUUAGAUAGAGUGUUGGUUACAGUUAAAUGUGUCUUUGGAUCAAUUCCUAUACAGUCCGCUUCUCCAACGGACCGGUUUGUCAGCGAACCAACUAUAGUGACGGUUCAAUCCGUCGUUAUAGCAUAGAAAAAUGUUAACGCCAAGAUUCGUCCACGUGCAAAAACGAAAUCACACAGAGGAACUUGUCGGCUUGGGCCGCCAGGGGAUAGCUCUGGUAUAAGAAUAAGUACUGACUGAAUAAAGUUAACAAUGGAGGCUUAUAAUUUUAGUGCUGAAAAAAUAAUAAGAUAUUGUGUGCAUGUGAACCAGGGUAUAUAUAGCCUUGUAUUUAUAGUGAUCACACCUCUUUAAAACGCAUCAUCUCGUAUAGGAGUAGAAUUCCUCAUUAAGAUGGAUACCUUAAUGGGACAUGAUUGAAUCUCCUUAAAAAAAGAAAGUCGGAUACUAUCCUGACUCUUUCCUUAGAAGUUAGAAAUUAAAUAUAAUUAGGAAUCCUAGAUUCCUUAAAAUUCUCCCACUGCCCGUGGGGAGACUUCCUCCACGUGGACUAUGGCCCACCGAAUUCUGUGGUCCCAAAUAAUCAUGUUCCAACAUUGUCCCCCAUUGUAAUACCUAGAAAAAUAAUUAAAAAAAUAAAAAACAUUUAAGUUUAUAUUUUAAAAUAUAUUAGUUGGAUUUUAUUAUUUAUUUGGGUCAAAGUGGUCAUUAAUUUAUGUGGGCUAAUAAAUAUUAAUAAAUUAGGGAUAAAUUAAUUUGAUAAAAUUGAGCCUUAAAACUAAUUGGGUCUAAUUUAUAUUUGUGUAAUAAUAAAUCUUAUUAAAAUUUUAUUAAAAUUAAAAGAAUUAAUAAAACAUAUUAAUUAAUGAAUAAAUAACAAACCUAAUCUUACUUUUAUUAUACAAACUGAGGGAAAGAAAAAGAAGAGAAGUAGGUGAGGCGACUUAAGAGUGAAGAAUGAAAAUUUGUCACUCUUGAUAUUUGGCAAGACACAUUUAGUAAGUUGUUACUAUUUGUUUUUUAAAUUGUUAGAUCCAUCAUGUAGAAAGCCAGUGAUUCAUAAGAAAGUUAAAAUACAUUAUAUAUGAAGUAUACUUUUAGAAGUUUGAUACAUUAUUGGUUAAUGUGGAUAGCCUUUAAGGCAGAGUAUCCAUGUGAAUUGGAUAUCGUGAAUGGCAUACUAAAAUAAUAUACGCUUAGUAUAUGGCGUGAAUCAGAUAAGAUCAAAAGGUAUUUACUGAUUAAAUGUAUCUGAAUAUAUCUAAAUAUAUCUGAAUGUAUCUGAAUUGUAUGUUCUCCAAAAUCCUAGCACCCAUAUUUAUAGGCCAUAGAAAAAUCCAUAACCAAUUAAAUAGGAUUUUUAAUAUAAAAUUGAGUAUAGAUAGAAACGAUAACUUUUCUAAAACAGAUUCUAGGUAAUACCUAAACCCAAAUCCAAUAAGGAUUCAUGUUAUACCCAACAAAUGUCCACCUUGACUUGAAUCCUCCGAAUAUUGCACAAACAGUAAACUUUUUCCUCUUCUCAAAAUGCACAACUCAAGUGCAUCGAACACUAACCACGUCCAAGCAAUGUUUGAACUUGGUAUGUGUUAACGGCUUCGUUAACAUGUCAUAUGGAUUUUCUGCUGUACCAAUCUUCAAGACCUUAUUGUCACCAUCUUCAACAAUGUCUCGAACAAAAUGAUACCUGACAUCAAUAUGUUUCCCCCGAGGACAAUACUCACAGAAGUCAAACUUUAUUAUUUUUUGUAUAGACAACUCGCUAGAUUUCUUCGUCUCCUAAUCCGUAUCAGACAUAUCUACAGGCUUCAUUGGCUUCCCUACAAUGGCUUUCUUCAAGCCUUGCUGAGUAAAAACAGCCUUCAUCCGAACCUGCCAAAGACUGAAACUAAUUUUCCCAUCGAAUUUGUCAAUAGAAAAUUUUGUUGAUGAAGUCGAACUCAACGUCAUAGUAUAUAUCGAUAAUAACCAAGCUCUGAUACCAAUUUAUUAUGACAAACUAUGACAAACACAAUAAAUCAAUGCAGAAAGAUAAAGACAAUAACACAAGGUUUUACAUGAAAACUCAAAUUGGAAAAAAACUACGGAGAAGGCAAAAGAAAUCCACUAAAUAAAUAUCUGAAGAGUACAAGAUAAAAAAAGAGAAUACUAAAUUGAGUAUAGGUAAAAAAGAUAACUUUUCUAAACCAAAACAGAUUCUAGGUAAUACCUAAAUCCAAAUUCAAUAAGGAUUCAUGUUAUACCCAACAAAUCUCCACCUUGACUUGAUCAUUCCUCCAAAUAUUGCACAAAUAUUGAACUUUCUCUUCUUCUCAAAAUGCACAACUCAAGUGCAUCGAACACUAACCACAUCCAAGCAAUGUUUGAACUUGGUAUGUGUUAAUGGCUUCGUUAACAUGUCAUCUGGAUUGUCUACAGUACCAAUCUUCAAGAUAUUAAUGUUACCAUCUUCAACAAUUUCUUGAAAAAAAUGAUACCUGACAUCAAUAUGUUUUCCCCGGGACAAUGCUCACAGAAGUACAACUUUCUUACUUUCUGUCCAGAUAACUCGCUAGUUUUCUUCGUCUCCCAAUCCGUAUCAGAGAUAUUUACAGGAUUUAUUAGUUUCCAUACAAUGGCUUUCUUCAAGCCUUACUGAGUAAAAACAGCCUUCAUCCGAACCUACCAAAGACUGAAACUAAUAUUCCCAUCGAAUUUGUCAAUAUCAAAUUUCGUUGAUGAACUCGAACUCAACGCCAUAGUUUGGAUCGAUAAUAACCAAGCUUUGAUGUGACGCCCCCAAAACAGGUAUACAUCACCCAUCUUGGGUCGUCAAAUACAUGGUACAUAAUACAACUACAAACUUCUUUUAUACAACUGUCGUGUAAAAUACGACAAAACAUAGCUGAGAGCUCUCAAUGGAGUCCUCAGUACAUUUAUUAUCACACUAUUUCACAGAAUAGUGAGGACUACUAAAACAACCAUCUGGACCGUCAAUCCGUUUCCCAAUCAGUCCCAGCUAUAUUCUCAUUUCCUGAAGAGAACAGUGAAAGAAAAUGAUGAGCUCAACUAGCCCAGUAAGAAAUAUUAUGACUAAGAUAAUGCAGAAUAAAUUAUCCUUAGCCUUCAACAGUAUAACAACUGAUAGAAUACAAUAGACAACAAGUUCUAGAUCAACAAAUACAGCGGAAUAAGCAAUCCAUUAGAAAAGUCAAGUAGAACAUAAUGUCUACAAUCUUCUAUGAUUAAAAAGUUUAUCAUCAAUUUUAUCGCUGUAAUACCCAUCAACAGUUCUUUAUACCAAAGACAAAGAGAACUUUCAUCACCUGUCUUCACCUGAACCACCAAAGAUUUUAUUUAAAUUCACAAUUCAUGUUUAUAAUAAUGUGAAUCAACAGUUCCUCCCUGCCACAAAGGCUUAAUAGAACGUUUACUCAAUAUCCUUACCCAAAGGAUAAAGAUAUUCAAAUGUAAUAACAAUGAUCAUACCAAUCAGUUGUCUAUCUUUGCACUACGGGCCAAAGAUAUUCAACUAUAAAACCAUUAGUCAUGAUCAUACCAAUCAAUUGCAUGUCGGUGCACUACGACCAAAGACAUUCAACUGUUAACUAAUGAUCAUGAUCCUGCCAAUCACAUCAUCGAAUUAUCCCUGCACUACGGCCAAGGAUAUUCUUUAGUAUCACCAGUGGUCAUGAUCAUGUCAUACAGCUGUCCAUCUUUGCACUACGGGCCAAAGCUAUCAAUCAAUAGUUCAUCUUUGGAUUACGACCAAAGAUAUCAAUCAACAGUUCUUCUUUGCACUACAGGCCAAAGUCAUACAACUGUAAAACCAAUAACCAACAGUCCAUCUAUGCACUACGGGCCAAAGAUGACUUUUAACGCAAUAUAAGCAUGAGGAUCAUGACAAUGAUAUAAAGAAUCAGUCAAAUGAGAUAAAGGAUAAAUAUUAAACAUUUAUAAUAUAAUUUAUCCAGAGUUCAAGAAUAUCCAAAUGUUAUCAAUCACUUAAUAAUCUCAUAAUCUAAUAUCAUUAAUAUUAUAACAAUAUUUUAAUCAUUUCUUAAACUUAAUUAUAAACAAUUUAUUUUAAUUGUUUACACUUUACUAAUUAAUGCAUUUAAUCAGCCUAAAAUGCCAAACUCAUAAGAUUUCAUCACCAAUAACCAAAACUCUCAUAAAAAAUCUGCAUAUACCUUAUAUAGGAUUUUCAAGCCAUAAAAUCCUAUUUAUCAAUUUUUUAACUUCACAUAACUUAUUUAAUUUAUAUGUUCGUAACUAAACUAUUUUCAUGAAAAAUAUCAAAUCAGUCUAAAAAAGUUUUCUUUUCUGAGAUUUAGCAGAAUAUAGUCCCAUAUUGAACAUAUAUUUUUCUCGAAAUUUUUAAAAUUCAUUUACUAUUUUUCAUAUGGCCAAAAUUACCGAAUAUUUAAACAUUUAUCAUAAACUAUACUUUUGUCCAAAAAUUCCAAAAUUUACAGGGUAUACUCCUUUGAUAUAUAUGUACGCCCAAUAAAUUUUUUAUCAAUUUUGGAGUUAACCACAAGGAUUUAUAAAGGUUUACUUUUAAAAUAGUCUUUUCCCAUAAAAUUCAUAACUUCUAAUCUAUACAUCCAAAAAUCACCAUUUUUGGACACAAUCUAGAAAACUCAUCAAAUUAUCAUUUCAAAUUUUUCCAGAAUUUUUGACGGUUAGAAAAAUUACGAAACUGCAAAUGGAUUUUCACCCACCAUGCGGUAAUCCACGUAGACAGAUCAUUUCCACAAUUUAAUAAAGAAUGAAUACGAAGGGUAAUUCACCAUGCAUGCGGUAGUCUGCGUAGACAGGUUAUUCCAACAGAAUAAUAAAGAAUGGAAUAACAGAAGAAUUCACCAUGCAUGCGGUAGUCCGCGUAAACAGGUUAUUAAUUCCAAUAGAAUAAUAAAAAAUGGAAUAACAGAAGAAUUCACCAUGCAUGCGGUAGUCCGCGUAGACAUGUUAUUCCAAUAGAAUUAUAAAGAAUGGAACAACAGAAGAAUUCACCAUGCAUACGGUACUCCGCGUAGACAGGUUAUUCCAACAGAAUAAUAAAGAAUGGAAUAGCAAAAGAAUUCACCAUGCAUGCGGCAGUACGCGUAGACAAUUUAUUCCAACAGAAUAAUAAAGAAUGGAAUAACAACCCUUACGAGUAUUAAAAGAAAAUAACUCUUUUCAUGAAUACGAAAGAAAUAAUACCCCUUACCUUAGAAGAAAACUGGAUAAUAGUAAGGUAGCAGACUUCUCUUCUUCUUUCUCUCUAUAAUUUCUCUAUAUAAUAAUUGCUCUUGUGAGACUUAGUGAAUUAGUGAGAAAUGAAGGAAGAAUGAGCUUCUAUUUAUAGGAAAAUAUAGUUUCAAUAAUUGCACAUUUUGUGGCUUGAAAUAUUACAGUAUAAUACCUUCCUUUUUUUCUUCAUUUUAAUUUAGUCCUACAAGUAUUAUCAAACUUGCACCACCUCCCUAAUAGUAAAUCAUGUGAAUUAAUAGUUCAUUCAUGUGACUCAAUAGUAUAAUCAUGUGAAAAAAAAACUAAUUAUAGUAUAGUACCUCCAUCUAUACCUCCAUUUUUAAUUUAGUCAUGCAAGUAUUAUCAAUCUUGCACCACCUCCCCUAAUAGUACUUGCAUGUGAAUCAAUAGUACACACAUGUGAACAAAUAGUUAUAAGCAUGUGAAUUAAUAGCAAUUAAUUGCUCAUUUAUCCGAUUAAUAAUCCGAUUGGUCAAUAUAACAUCCAGACAUCAAUUAUUAUCGAAAUAAUUGUCGAUUUCCACUAACACUAACAAUCCCAACACAAUGGAAAUAUUUUUAUCAACAAAUUUAUUUUUGAAAUUUUGAAGUUUGACUUUUUCUGCAAAAGUCAAAUGUUGACUUUUUGACCAAAAAGUCAACCCCAGUAAAUUUUGUGUUUAUAGUCUAUUUUUACUAAUUUUAUCGUUCUGGACUCAAAUAUCACGUUCGCGUCUCCAAAUUUAAUUCUGAACUCAAAUUCUAGUUUUUAAUAACAUUCAUAAUUAAUAUUAUAACUCACAAUAUUAACAACCAGAUCGUUCCCAAGAAAGAGGGGGCUUUCCGAUAAGGAUUUCUCCCUAUUAGCGCGCAAUUAUAUUACCUAUCCUCUCCUUGACAGAACUUCUAGACAUCGUCAAUAUUGCAAAUAAUAAUAUGAAUAACUUUGACGUCUCAAUUAUUGAUUUAAUAAUAUAAAAUAUUAUACAUAUGAUACUGUGACAAUAAUUGAAUCAAUAAUAUGAGAGAUAUGAUGCAGCAAUUACUGUAGCAAUAAUUGAGUUUAACUAAGUGACUUCUUACAUAAGCAUCAAUAAUCAAUACCAUAUGGUACUAUGCAACCACGCGUAUUACUGUAUUUUUACCACCAAUUAUUAUAUGACAACUUACUUACUUUGAAAAAUUUUCACAUAUCACCCUUAACUUUAACAUUUUAUCAAUUUAACUAUUUACUAAAUAGAAUAAUAAUUAUAAAAAUUGAAUACUUUCAUUUCGUAAAAUUCGGGGUCUUACAAUCUCAUCUCCUUAUGAAAUUUUGUCCUCGAAAUUUACGUACCUAGUAGUUCGAAGAGAUGAGAAUACCUUGCUUUCUUUUUCGUUUUGUACCUUCCCGGUUAUUUCCUCUCUAUCAUGAUUUUCCCAUUUCUCAUCUCCUGUAUUUCAGAUAUCAUUCUAGAAUAUAGAUUCAAAAUAAGGGUUAAUUAACAUGCCACAUAUUAUCUCUAUAUUCUGACCAACCAAUUAAAUAACAAAUAAACUUAGGUAGGUCAUACUAGCGAAUGAAUUACCCGUCUCUCCCCUCCUAGUUCUAGCCUCACAUCUUAGCCAGGGAUCAUAUCCCUAAGCUUUGAUACUAAUUGUGACGCCCCCAAAACAGGUAUACAUCACCUAUUUUGAGUCGCCAAAUAUAUGGUACAUAAUACAACUACAAACUUCUUUUAUACAAUUGUCGUGUAAAAUACGACAAAACAUAGCUGAGAGUUUAAACAAGAAUAUUGCCUUCUAGACAAUAUCCACUCUCAAUGGAGUUCUCAUUACAUUUAUUAUCACACAAUUUCACAGAAUAGUGAGGACUACUAAAACAACCAUCUGGACCGUCAAUCUGUUUCCCGACCAGUCCCAGCUAUAUUCUCAUUUCCUGAAGAGAACAGUGAAAGAAAAGGGUGAGCUCAACUAGCCCAGUAAGAAAUAUUAUGACUAAGAUAAUGCAGAAUAAAUUAUUCUUAGCCUUCAACAGUAUAACAACUGAUAGAAUACAAUAGACAACAAGUUUUAGAUCAACAACUGCAGCGGAAUAAGCAAUCCAUUAGAAGAGUCAAGUAGAACAUAAUGUCUACUAUCUUCUAUGAUUAAAAAGUUUAUCAUCAAUUUUAUCGCUGUAAUAUCCAUCAACAGUUCUUUAUUAUACCAAAGACAAAGAGAACUUUCAUCACCUGUCUUCACCUGAACCACCAAAGAUUUUAUUUAAAUUCACAAUUCAUGUUUAUAAUAAUGUGAAUCAACAGUUCGUCCUUGCCACAAAGGAUUAAUAGAACGUUUACUCAAUAUCCUUACCCAUAAGGAUAAAGAUAUUCAAAUGUAAUAACAAUGAUCAUACCAAUCAGUUGUCUAUCUUUGCACUACGGGCCAAAGAUAUUCAACUAUAAAACCAAUGGUCAUGAUCAUACCAAUCAAUUGUAUGUCAGUGCACUACGGCCAAAGACAUUCAAUUUUUACCUAAUGGUCAUGAUCCUGCCACUCACAUCAUCGAAUUAUCCCUGCACUACGGCCAAGGAUAUUCUUUAGUAUCACCAGUGGUCAUGAUCAUGUCAUACACCUGUCCAUCUUUGCACUACGGGCCAAAGCUAUCAAUCAACAGUUCAUCUUUGGAUUACGACCAAAGAUAUCAAUUAACAGUUCUUCUUUGCACUACAGGUCAAAGACAUACAACUUUAAAACCAAUAUCCAACAGUCCAUCUAUGCACUACGGACCAAAGAUGACUUUUAACGCAAUAUAAGCAUGAGGAUCAUGACAAUGAUAUAAAGAAUCAGUCAAAUGAGAUAAAGGAUAAUUAUUAAAUAUUUAUAAUAUAAUUUAUCCAGAGUUCAAGAAUAUCUAAAUGUUAUCAAUCACUUAAUAAUCUCAUAAUCUAAUAACGUCCAAGUUGUCAACAUGAUACUUCUUUGUAGAGUAAAAUUCAAGAAUGCUCAGAAGAAUAUUUUCAUGAAAACAUACUAGAUGAAGCGCAAAUAUUAAGGAUAUUCCACUAAUUUCAUGGAGUAUAGAAGUCAAAACUUUAACCAAUGGAGUAUAAUAAAGAAUGAAAUAACAAAAAAAAUCACCAUGCAUGCGGUACUUCGCAUAAACAGGUAAUUCCAACAGAAUAAUAAUAACGGAACCAGGUCAGGCAUAAUACGCACCGACAGGAUAUUCUAACAGAAUAAUAAAGAAUGGAAUAACAACAAAAAUCACCAUGCAUGCGGUACGUCGCAUAGACAGGUUAUUCCAACAGAAUAACAAAUAAUGGAACCAGGUCUGACGUAAAACGCACAGACAGGAUAUUCCAACAGAAUAAUAAAGACGAAACCAGGUUCGACGUAAAACGCACAGACAAGAUAUUCCAACAAAAUAAUAAAGACGGAACCAGGUCUGACAUAAAAUGCACAGACAAGAUAUUCAAACAGAAUAAUAAAGAAUGGAAUAAUAACAGAAUUUCACCAUGUAUGCGGUACUUCGCAUAGACAUGUUAUUCCAGCAGAAUAAUAAAUAAUGGAAUAACAAAAGAAUUUCACCAAGUAUAGGGUAGUCCGCGUAUACAGGUUAUUCCAACAGAAUAAUAAAGAAUGGAAUAAUAGAAGUUCUCUUCAUGAAUACAAAAGAAAUAAUACCCCUUACAGGUACAACAAAUAAUAUCCCUUACCGUAAAAGAAACUUGAUAUCGGAGUAGUGAAGUAGCAGAAUACUUUUCUUCUUUCUCUCUAUAGUUUCUNNNNNNNNNNNNNNNNNNNNNNNNNNNNNNNNNNNNNNNNNNNNNNNNNNNNNNNNNNNNNNNNNNNNNNNNNNNNNNNNNNNNNNNNNNNNNNNNNNNNUAACUUUAUAAAAGUAUUCUGUUUUAUAUAAAAAGAUUUUACUAUUAGCCUAAUAAAACGAAUAACUUUAUAAAAGUAUUCUGUUUUAUAUAAAAAAAAAUUCUAUUUUAUUACAUUAAUAAUACUAAUAAAACAAAACUUAUAUAUAUAUAAUAUAUAUAACAAUCAACAAUAAUUGAAUCAAAUAACGUGAGAUACUAUGCAGCAACUACUGUAGCAAUAAUUGAACAAAACUGAGUGACUUCUCACGUAAACAUCAAUAAUUAAUAUCGUGUGCUACUAUGCAACCACGCGUAUUACUGUACUUUUACUACCGAGUAGUUCAACAGGUUUAAUGGUAAAACUUCCGCUGUUAUUUUCAUAAAAAUAUUUUUGUCGUUUUCUCAAUCCGACAAUAAUUCUGUUGUGGGGUCCACCAAUGAUUGUGCCGUCGUACGAAUAUUCCCUGUUAAAACAAAUAUUUCCCGACCAAUCGAAUAUUAUAUAACAACUUGCAUACUUUGCAAAAUUUAUAAAUACUACCCACAACUAUAACAUUAUCUCAAAUUCACACCAUAAUAUUCAAAAAAAUAUUUCGAGAAAAUUAAAUCUUUAUUCGUAAAAUUUGGGAUUUUACAUUGUCGGCUCACAAUCUCCAGAAGACUAAAAGCCUCCUAUAAUUUUUCAUUAUAAUGUGUUUUUACCCGGAGAUAACUUAACGAAAGAGCCAGCCAUAGUUCAGAAUACAUGGAUCAAUGAUAUUGGAUGGGGGAAGAAGGAAAGAUGCCCUGACCAUCGAUCCACUAACAUUGUGAAAUGUACAUUAUAUACAUUCUCCUUGCUAGCUUUUGUUGGUAACCAAACCUUCACACCAAGGUAACCAAACUGUCAUACCAAGGUAACCAAUCCACACCUCCAUACCAAGGUAACCAAACCUUCAUACCAAGGUAACCAAUCCACACCUGUAGUUUUUUCAUAAUGCAGUUGGUAACCAAACUUUCAUCUCAAGGUUACCAAACCUGCAGUUUUUUUAUAGUGCAGUUGGUAACAAAACUUUCAUACCAAGGUUAUCAAUCCACCUCCACACCUUCAGUUUUUCAUAGUGCAGUUGGUAACUAAACCUCCAUACCAAGGUAACCAAUCCACACUUGCAGUUUUUUCAUAGUGCAGUUGGUGACCAAAUAAACUAUCAUACCAAGGUUACCAAACCUGCAUACCAAGGUUACCAAUCCACCUCCACACCUGCAGUUUUUUCAUAGUUCAGUUGGUAACCAAACUUUCAUACCAAAGUAACUAAACUGUCAUACCAAGGUAACCAAUCCACUUCCACACCUUCAGUUUUUUCAUAGUGCAGUUGGUAACCAAACCUUCACACCAAGGUAACCAAACCUUCAUACCAAGGUAACAAACCUUCAUACCAAGGUAAUCAAACCACAUCCACACCUGCAGUUUGUUCAUAGUGCAGUAAUUGGUAGCCAAACAUUCAUACUAAGGUAACCAAUUCAGUGUUAUUAGGUUACCAAUUUAUUUUGAAUGUGAUGCAGUUGGUAGCCAAACCUUUAUGCAGUGGGUAGCCAAACAUUCAUACCAAGGUAACCAAUUCAGUUUUAUUAAGUUACUAAUUUAUUUUGAAUGUGAUGCAGUUGGUAGCCAAACCUUCAUGCAGUUGGUUGCCAAACUUUCAGUCCAAGGUAACCAAUUCAUACUGUAGGCGUUGAUGUAGAUUGGUUACCUUAGUAUAAAGGUUUGGUUACCUUGGUAUAAAAGUUUGGUUACCUUGGUACGAAGGUUUGGUUAUCAACAUUACAUUACACAUCACUCUCUUAUCUCUCUCUUUUCUAUUCAGAAAAUAAUUUUUUUUUAUAAAACUAGAACUGAAGGUGUUCCAGUACUAUUAUUAAGUAGCUAGCUAGCUUAUUACAUGAUGACACCAAUUAUGCCUUUAUCUCCGUUCAUGUCAUGAACUCUAAUUGCUCUCUGGUGCCAUGACAUUACUAAUGAUCUUCUCCUCUGCAGUAUCUCGUGAAUUUUCUUUUCUUACCGGAAAACGGUUGCUCCCGCCACCACUGCCCCACCCUCCACCUCCACCGUCUCUGUAACCACCACCUGAGCCACCACCGCCAACUCCNNNNNNNNNNNNNNNNNNNNNNNNNNNNNNNNNNNNNNNNNNNNNNNNNNNNNNNNNNNNNNNNNNNNNNNNNNNNNNNNNNNNNNNNNNNNNNNNNNNNNNNNNNNNNNNNNNNNNNNNNNNNNNNNNNNNNNNNNNNNNNNNNNNNNNNNNNNNNNNNNNNNNNNNNNNNNNNNNNNNNNNNNNNNNNNNNNNNNNNNNNNNNNNNNNNNNNNNNNNNNNNNNNNNNNNNNNNNNNNNNNNNNNNNNNNNNNNNNNNNNNNNNNNNNNNNNNNNNNNNNNNNNNNNNNNNNNNNNNNNNNNNNNNNNNNNNNNNNNNNNNNNNNNNNNNNNNNNNNNNNNNNNNNNNNNNNNNNNNNNNNNNNNNNNNNNNNNNNNNNNNNNNNNNNNNNNNNNNNNNNNNNNNNNNNNNNNNNNNNNNNNNNNNNNNNNNNNNNNNNNNNNNNNNNNNNNNNNNNNNNNNNNNNNNNNNNNNNNNNNNNNNNNNNNNNNNNNNNNNNNNNNNNNNNNNNNNNNNNNNNNNNNNNNNNNNNNNNNNNNNNNNNNNNNNNNNNNNNNNNNNNNNNNNNNNNNNNNNNNNNNNNNNNNNNNNNAGAGUGUUGGGAGAUAGCAUUAGAUAUACAUAAUAUUUUUACAUAUUUACUAAUACACAAAAUCAUUUUCUAAUUUCUCUUUCAUCUUUCAUUCUAAACUAGCUAUCAAAGCAAAACAAAAAAGAGAGAGGGAGAGCAUAGAUUUGAUAGCCUUAAGGAGGUAAAGGGGAAGAAUUUUAAUCUUCAUGCACCCUAAGUUCAUCAAUUACUUUGGUAAAAGAAGAAGAACAUCCCAAAGAACAAGGUAAAGACCCUAAAAAAUUUCAAGUUUUGUUACUUUCUUUUGAUAAGUUUUGAUGAAAUAAAGAGCUUGUGUUCUUGAACUUUAAAACUCUUGAUCUACAUGUGUAUGCUUUUUUCACAUGUAGGUCUAGUUAUUUUUGAAGUUAAAAGUUUUUAAAAAAAAGAAAAAAGAAGAAGAAAUGAAAGUAUGUUCAAAAGGGGCUAAACACCCUAAAUUAACUAUUUUUUUUAUUUAGUUUUUUUUGAUGAAAUGUAAAGAUGAUGUUUCUAAGUUCUAAAAUUUUUUAUCUUUAUGUUUUCUAGUGUUUCAUAUAAAGAUCUAACCAUUUUUUAUGUUAAAGGUUUGAUCAAAGGUAAGGAAAGGAAACUAGUUUUUUUUUAACGAAUAAAAACCCUAAAACUUUUUAUUCACUUUGAAAUGCUAUCAUUUAAAAUCUACAUCUCCUAUUUAUGAUCCGUCAAAGAUGGGUGCUAGAUAUAGGAGUUAGCUUUCAAACCUAAGUGGUAUCACUCAAAUAUGUUGAAUUUACAAGCUUUGGUGACUGUUUUAACAAAGCUAUCCAGAUUUUUAAAAGAGAAAAAUGGAACAAUCUCAUUAUACUACAAAACAAUAUUAUUAAGGUUUAUUUACACUAUUUUAAGAGAAGCUAGAAAUGAGUUGCUGUUUGUCCAUAAGCAACAGCCACAAAGGUACUGUCUGAGAGCCUAGGAAGAGCUCCCAGACACUGUUUGUAUGCCUACUGCUACUGCCGAGGCAGUAGCCCUGCACCAAGUUCACUUUUAGCAACUUCUGAUAUUCUACUUUGCUUAGGCUAAAUUUUUAGAGAUGGUAAAGGUACUAUAUUAGUCUCUUUUAGAAACCUACGAGGCUUAAAUUUCACGUUUAUUUACUGUCCAAAAACAAUUGUCAAAGUGACUUAACAUAAUAGGUUUUAAUUUUUCACUUUGGCCUAAUAAUGUAGUUUAUUUCAUUUUAGUAAUGUUAAACUUAUUAAUUAUCUUUAUAUGUGUUGUCUCAACCACACUCAAGCUGCAAUUCCUUCUAAAAUCCCAUUUUUAGUUAAAACAGUUCACCUAGGACUUUUAACAAACAGGUGGUGUGCACAGUUCCAAUUUCUUCUUUUCAUAGCCAUUUAUUUGAGUUAUAAAUCCAUUUUUAUCCUCCUUAUUAUUCCUCAGCCCAACCUAGCUCCUUAUGCCUAAAUCCAGCUCAUAACAGUUAAAUACACGAUUUAAUAUGUGUAUAAUCAAGUAAUUGACAACUAUCUAGUUAUAACUUAGUUAGCUCACUAAUUUUCUUACUUUCAACCUUAUUAACAAUACAUUUCCAGCCCCAACAGUAGGCACAAUCCAUAACAGUUCUAGGCAUAGCAAUAUAUUGUACAAUCAUAAGCAUGUGCAAUCACUUAUUACAAUUAUAGGCAUAAGCAGUCACUUAUUACAACCUAACAAUUUCAAUUCUUGACAUACAAACUUAGUAAACAAUGGUUUUAUUACUCUACAUAAACAAGGUUCACAACUUAUAACUUUAAGCAUGAUAACUAGAAACAACCUCUAUCUUGAUUAAGGUGAAUAUUAAAGCACUUGGAAUAUGUAGUCUCUAAAAGAUAUUUGCAUACAUAGCUUCAAUUGGAUAAAUUCUUAGCUUACAUGUGAUUCUCACAACACAGUUUUUUUAUUAGUUAGUAAUAUAACCAAAUCAAGUCAUGACUUUGAAAUUAUAGGUAGCUAGGGGUUGUUUUGAAUCCUAAUCCAAAACAGGCCCAGAUUUGCCCUACUCUAGGCUCUUUUGAAAACUUCCAUAAACCUUCAUGGUUAGGUUCUUUAGACCCCAUGUUAUAAAGUAUAACCCACUUCAUUUUCAAGGACAGAUAAGUUCUUAUAUAAGUUUAUCAAUCUAGUUAAAAGUGGUUUCAUUUUGCUUAUGUAUAUGAUUGUCAUGGUAUGUAAGUUAUACCAAUACAUGUUAUACUUAGGCAUAGAGGGUACUUGAAGCAUAGCUACCCUUUAAAUGAGAACUUAAACAUAAUUUUGGACUCCAUUCCCAGCCAGCCUAUUUUGACACUAUAACAGUUUUAGAGUAGCAUUUUAGGCAUGGUUUAUUACACCAAAACAGUAGCAAGCACUAACGUAUAUGCCUUUCUAACACAUGAACCUUUUAUGUACCAUAUUUUCAUGAUUUAAAGCAUCUAAAGUCAAGGUCUUUAUGCUUUAGGCCAACACAACCCUCUUUAGUAUUUAAAUUCAAAAACAAACAUGGUUUACCAACAUGUUUACGAAGAUAGCAUAAGUGUGCAACAUAGAAGCUUAUACUAUCUUUUUAUAUAGUAUUUAACAUGCAUAAUAUAUGUUUGGAUGACAUGGAAUAUGUAAGACCCCAACUUAUUAUAAAUAAAAUUGAAUUUCUCUAUUUAUUAUCUUGAAAUAAUAAGGUGAUAAUUUGAUAUAAUACUUUAGUUAUGGGUGAAAUGUGCAAAUUUUGCAAAAUAAGCAAGUGGUUAUAAAAUAUUCAUUUUUGUCGAGGAAUAUUCGUUUGGUCAUGGAAUUUUCUUGUUGUCGGGGAAUAUUCGUAUGACGACGCAGCCAUUUGUUGGACCCAUAACAGAAUAAUUGUCGGAUGAAGAAAACAAUAAGCUUGAGUUUUUAUAAAUAACGGCGUAGUUGUUACCGUUAACACUGUUGGAAUACCCGGUGGUUAAAAUACAGUAAUACGCGUGAUUGCACAGUAGCACAUGGUAUUACACAGUAUUUUUGAAUUAUUAAUUCUUACAUAAGAAGACACUACUUAAUAAUUGUUACAGUAAUUACUGUUCAAUAUUUUAUUUUAUUUAUUCAAUAAUUGUUGCGUUGAUAUUUUAUAGUAUUGUUGUUUCAAUAAUUGUCAUUGCACAGUAUUUCCCAUUAUCAGAUCAAUAAUUCAUAAUAUUUGAAUAAUAUUAUUAGAUAGCAUUAUUGGCAAUGUCUAGAAAGUUUUGUCAAGGAGAGGUUUGGUCACUUAAUUGCGCGCUAGUAAGGAGAAAUUCUUAUCGAAAAGCCCCCUCUUUCCUGGGAACGGCCUGAUUGUCAUUAUUGUGAUUCUGUAAUAUUAUUUGUGAAUAAUUAUUUAUUGAUUUAUAUGAUAAGGAAAUAAUUAUUUUAUAUGGACAUAAAUGAUAUGAGACCCCAGAUUUUAUGAAUAAAUAUUUAUUUUUCUCGAAAUAAUUUUUUAAUAUUAUGGCGUGGAUUUGAUAUAAUGUUAUAGUUGUGGGUAGUAUUUAUAAAUUUUGCAAAGUAUGCAAGUUGUCAUAUUAUAUUCGAUUGGUCGGGAAAUAUUCUUUUUGUCGGAGAAUAUCCGUACGACGGCACAAUCAUUGAUGGACCCCACAACGGAAUAAUUGUUGGAUUGAGAAAACGAUAAAAAUAUUUUAUUAAAAAUAUCGGCGGAAGUUUUACCGUUAAUACUGUUGAACUACUCGGUAGUAAAAGUACAGUAAUACACGUGAUUGCAUAGUAGCACACGGUAUUGAUUAUUGAUGUUUACGUGAGAAGUCACUCAGUUUUGUUCAAUUAUUACUACAUUAGUUGCUGCAUAAUAUCUCACGUUAUUUGAUUCAAUUAUUGUUGAUUGUUAUAUAUAUAUAUAUAUAUAUAUAUAUAAGUUUUGUUUUAUUAGUAUUAUUAAUGUAAUAAAACAGAAAAACUUUUUAUAUAAAACAGAAUACUUUUAUAAAGUUAUUCGUUUUAUUAGGCUAAUAGUAAAAUCUUUUUAUAUAAAANNNNNNNNNNNNNNNNNNNNNNNNNNNNNNNNNNNNNNNNNNNNNNNNNNNNNNNNNNNNNNNNNNNNNNNNNNNNNNNNNNNNNNNNNNNNNNNNNNNNNNNNNNNNNNNNNNNNNNNNNNNNNNNNNNNNNNNNNNNNNNNNNNNNNNNNNNNNNNNNNNNNNNNNNNNNNNNNNNNNNNNNNNNNNNNNNNNNNNNNNNNNNNNNNNNNNNNNNNNNNNNNNNNNNNNNNNNNNNNNNNNNNNNNNNNNNNNNNNNNNNNNNNNNNNNNNNNNNNNNNNNNNNNNNNNNNNNNNNNNNNNNNNNNNNNNNNNNNNNNNNNNNNNNNNNNNNNNNNNNNNNNNNNNNNNNNNNNNNNNNNNNNNNNNNNNNNNNNNNNNNNNNNNNNNNNNNNNNNNNNNNNNNNNNNNNNNNNNNNNNNNNNNNNNNNNNNNNNNNNNNNNNNNNNNNNNNNNNNNNNNNNNNNNNNNNNNNNNNNNNNNNNNNNNNNNNNNNNNNNNNNNNNNNNNNNNNNNNNNNNNNNNNNNNNNNNNNNNNNNNNNNNNNNNNNNNNNNNNNNNNNNNNNNNNNNNNNNNNNNNNNNNNNNNNNNNNNNNNNNNNNNNNNNNNNNNNNNNNNNNNNNNNNNNNNNNNNNNNNNNNNNNNNNNNNNNNNNNNNNNNNNNNNNNNNNNNNNNNNNNNNNNNNNNNNNNNNNNNNNNNNNNNNNNNNNNNNNNNNNNNNNNNNNNNNNNNNNNNNNNNNNNNNNNNNNNNNNNNNNNNNNNNNNNNNNNNNNNNNNNNNNNNNNNNNNNNNNNNNNNNNNNNNNNNNNNNNNNNNNNNNNNNNNNNNNNNNNNNNNNNNNNNNNNNNNNNNNNNNNNNNNNNNNNNNNNNNNNNNNNNNNNNNNNNNNNNNNNNNNNNNNNNNNNNNNNNNNNNNNNNNNNNNNNNNNNNNNNNNNNNNNNNNNNNNNNNNNNNNNNNNNNNNNNNNNNNNNNNNNNNNNNNNNNNNNNNNNNNNNNNNNNNNNNNNNNNNNNNNNNNNNNNNNNNNNNNNNNNNNNNNNNNNNNNNNNNNNNNNNNNNNNNNNNNNNNNNNNNNNNNNNNNNNNNNNNNNNNNNNNNNNNNNNNNNNNNNNNNNNNNNNNNNNNNNNNNNNNNNNNNNNNNNNNNNNNNNNNNNNNNNNNNNNNNNNNNNNNNNNNNNNNNNNNNNNNNNNNNNNNNNNNNNNNNNNNNNNNNNNNNNNNNNNNNNNNNNNNNNNNNNNNNNNNNNNNNNNNNNNNNNNNNNNNNNNNNNNNNNNNNNNNNNNNNNNNNNNNNNNNNNNNNNNNNNNNNNNNNNNNNNNNNNNNNNNNNNNNNNNNNNNNNNNNNNNNNNNNNNNNNNNNNNNNNNNNNNNNNNNNNNNNNNNNNNNNNNNNNNNNNNNNNNNNNNNNNNNNNNNNNNNNNNNNNNNNNNNNNNNNNNNNNNNNNNNNNNNNNNNNNNNNNNNNNNNNNNNNNNNNNNNNNNNNNNNNNNNNNNNNNNNGAUAUUGUUUAGAAGACAAUAUUUGUAUUAAAACUCACAGCUCUCUUGUUGUAUAUUAAAGAUUGUAUUUGUAUUCUGUACCAUGUAUUUGGCGACUCAGAAUAGGUGAUGUAUACCUAUUUUGGGGGCGUCACAGUUGGUAUCAAAGCUUAGGGAUAUGAUCCCUGGCUGAGAUGUGAGAUAAGAACUAGGAGGGGAGAGACGGGGAAUUCCUUCGCUAGUAUGAACUACCUAAGUUUAUUUGGUAUUUAAUUGGUCGGUUAGAGUAUAGGGAUAAUAUGUGUUAUGUUAAUUAACCCUUAUUUUGUGGCAGUAUUUAAAAAUGGCAUCCGAUAAUGUUGAGAAUAGCAAUGGAGCACAGGAGACCGUUGAGUCUCCACAGAUUAAUAAUCAGGACAAUGUGCAACCGGAUGACGAUAAUCCUCCUGUAAACAACAACACUAAUCAAUUGACGAACGACGGUACGUUUAAGAGCUUUUUAGAAUUCAUGCAACACCAAACGAGAGAGACUCCUGUUCAUAAUGCUGGAGGAAACAAUGGCAACCCACGGUUGGUCACCGCUAAGUAGUUCAAGGAGCUGGGACCACCAGAGUUUUUGGAAAAGCCAGAACCACUUAAGGCAGAGACGUGGUUAAAGCAGAUCACCAAGAUAUUUGAUGUCUUGGGAUGCUUGAAAGAGCAAAAAGUUCCAUUCGCCACCUUUAUGUUUCGUGAAGAAGCAGAUCACUGGUGGGAAUCUAUAAAACGUACCCAGCCUGACGCACUCAAGAUAUCUUGGGAGAAGUUCCAAGAGCUGUUCAACGACAAGUACUUUCCUGAAAGUAUUCGUCACAUGAAGGAGGUGGAGUUCAUCAAGCUGGAGCAAAACAAUAUGACCGUGUCGCAGUACGAGGCUAAGUUUGCCGAGUUGUUCCGAUUUGCGUUCCAUUUGGUUGAUAAUGAGGAAAGAAUGACGCGAAUGUUUCUAAGAGGUUUGAAAUCCAAUAUACGUCAAUACCUCAUUUCUCACAAACUUUAUUUAUAGUCAGAUGUUGUGAAUAGGGCUCAGUUAUUGGAGCACGAUAAUGAGUUAGCACAACCAAAAGGCAAUGACCAACAACACGAUAAUAAUUAUAUCAGUGGCAACGGUCAUCGGAACAAUGAUAACCAUCGUGGGGGAAAUUAUCAUGCCAAGAAUGGUAACCACUUCGCUGGUAAUCAUGGACAAGAUAAUAGAAGUGGAAAUUUCAAGAAGAGAAGGUUCAAUAAUGAUGGAAAGACAGUAGCACCAGCACCCGUUUCAAAGGAAGAAGAACGACCACCGAUCGUAUGUUUCAAAUGCGGACAGGAGGGACACAUCCGUCCAAACUGUAUGCAGCAAUCCAAAACGUGUUUUAAUUGCGAAAGAGAAGGUCACCUAGCUCGAUUUUAUCGUAUGGUAAAGUCAAGUCCAGCUGGGAUAGUGAUGCCAAAGGAUGUCCCAGACAAGCCAAAGCUGAUAAUUUAAGAGAGAACGUUUUUUUUCUCGUGACGAGGAACCUGAAUAAAAUUAUCAUGGGUAAGUUAAUCAUAAACUCUUGCGAAGUCUAUACCAUGUUAGAUACCGGUUUUACUCACUCUUUUAUUUCACCUAGUUGUGUUCAAUGUUUGUACUUAACUCCGGAGAAGUUAGAAUCUGAUUUAUCUAUUAAAACUCCGUUGGGAGAAACCUUCGUUACAUCUAUUAUUUAUAAAUCUUGUUUGAUUCAAAUCGACACUUUCAUGUUACCUGUCGAUCUUAUCUCUUUGAAAAUACUUAUCUUUGAUGUGAUUUUAGAAAUCGAUUGGUUAACUACUCAUCAUGCUUUUCGUAAGGUUGUUAGAUUUCAUAUUCCUAACCAACCUGUUAUGCAAAUUCAAGCAACCAAACCACUAAAUUCAAUCAUUGUCAUAUCAAGCCAUAAGUAAAGAGCCCCGAUCCUUUUGUUGUUGACUUCCUUGUGUGGAAUGCACUGAAGCCAGACUUUCUGUAUGCGACAUCAUGAAUGACGAUGGCAAGUUGAUAGGUAUUAAUAUGACGUACUAUCCAAGUCUUGGAUGAGAGUAACAGUUUUGAAUGAUAUUUCUAUCGUUAAUAAAUUUCCUGACGUAUUCCUGAAGACUUCAUAGCCUACCCCUAGAGCAUGAAAUCGAAUUUUAUAUUGACCCCAGUACAAAACCCAUUUCUUACACCCUCGAAUAUUUCUUCAACUAAAAUGAACGUAACAUACGCCAAAGACGUUGAAUCGAGCUGUUGAAGAUUACGAACGUACCAUUCAAUACCAUCGUAGGAAAAGCUAACAUGGUUGCUAACGCGUUGAGUAGAAGAUCGUAUGCGGUUACAAGUGCGAAUAUAAGAACCCACGUGAAGAUAAUGAAUAUACGAGUAGAAUUGACUUUAAUCAAUAAAGUUAAAGCCGCUCAAGCUAAAUACUCAGAGCUGAUGAAUGUGAAAAAGAAGGUUUAAGAGGGUGUUAUUCUAGAAGCAAGAAUCGAUGAAGAGAGGAAAUCUCAACCCUCGAUUUAAUUGGCCCAUUUGAAAUCCUCGAUUGAGUAGGAACUGUGGCUUACAGACUCAUUUUACCGCCAAGUAUGUCGCGUGCUCAUAACGUUUUUAACGUAUCGAUGUUACGUAAAUAUGUGGACGACCCAAACCACAUUAUUAAUUUAGAACCAGAUGAGAUAGCAGAUGAUUUAACGUAUGAGGAGAUACGUGUUAAAAUCUUGGAUAAGAAGGAUUAUAUUCGACACUCAAAGGUUAUAUCUCAAGAGUUAGAAUCUGAAAUGAAGUCAAGGUAUCCUCACCUGUUCGGCAUACCAGGUACGUACGUAAAUUUUGAGGGCGAAAUUCCAUAAGGAGGGGAGAUUGUGAGACCCCAGAUUUUAUGAAUAAAUAUUUAAUUUUCUCAAAAUAAUUUUUUAAUAUUAUGGUGUGGAUUUGAUAUAAUGUUAUAGUUGUGGGUAGUAUUUAUAAAUUUUACAAAGUAUGCAAGUUGUCAUAUUAUAUUCGAUUGGUUGGGGAAUAUUCUUUUUGUUGAGGAAUAUCCGUACGACGGCACAAUCAUUGGUGGACCCCACAACGGAAUUAUUGUCGGAUUGAGAAAACGACAAAAAUAUUUUAUUAAAAAUAACGGCGGAAGUUUUACUGUUAAUACUGUUGAACUACUCGGUAGUAAAAGUACAGUAAUACGCGUGGUUGCAUAGUAGCACACGGUAUUGAUUAUUGAUGCUUACGUGAUAAGUCACUCAGUUUUGUUAUUGGUAUUAUUAAUGUAAUAAAACAUAAAAUCUUUUUAUAUAAAACAGAAUACUUUUAUAAAGUUAUUCUAUAAAUAGAAUAUAUUAUAUUCUAUUAUGCAUAGUGUUUUGCAUAGUAAAAUCUUUUUAUAUAAAACAGAAUACUUUUAUAAAGUUAUUCUAUAAAUAGAAUAUAUUAUAUUCUAUUAUGCAUAGUGUUUUGCAUAGUAAAAUCUUUUUAUAUAAAACAGAAUACUUUUAUAAAGUUAUUCUAUAAAUAGAAUAUAUUAUAUUCUAUUAUGCAUAGUGUUUUGCAUAGUAAAAUCUUUUUAUAUAAAACAGAAUACUUUUAUAAAGUUAUUCUAUAAAUAGAAUAUAUUAUAUUCUAUUAUGCAUAGUGUUUUGCAUAGUAAAAUCUUUUUAUAUAAAACAGAAUACUUUUAUAAAGUUAUUCUAUAAAUAGAAUAUAUUAUAUUCUAUUAUGCAUAGUGUUUUGCAUAGUAAAAUCUUUUUAUAUAAAACAGAAUACUUUUAUAAAGUUAUUCUAUAAAUAGAAUAUAUUAUAUUCUAUUAUGCAUAGUGUUGCAUAGUGUCUGCAUAGUGAUUUGCAUAGUAAAAUCUUUUUAUAUAAAACAGAAUAUUUUUAUAAAGUUAUUCGUUUUAUUAGAUUAUAAAUAGAAUAUAUUAUAUUUUAUUUAAAAGAUUUUGCUUUAAAUAUGGACCGUCCGAUUAAAGUAAAUCAAUCUGGACCGUUCAUGAGUUAGUUACUAUGUAGUCCAUUCUUCUAUAAAUAGAAGCUCAUUCCUUCAUUAUUUUCUUACGAAUUCACUGAAACCCUAGAGAGAGAAAUUAUAGAGAAAAAAAAGAAAAGUAUUCUGCUACUUUACUACUCCGAUAUCAAGUUUCUUUUACGGUAAGAGAUAUUAUUUGUUGUACUCGUAAGGGGUAUUAUUUCUUUUGUAAUCAUGAAGAGAACUUCUGUUAUUCCAUUCUUUAUUAUUCUGUUGGAAUAACCUGUAUACGUGGUCUACCCUAUACUUGGUGAAAUUCUUCUGUUAUUCAAUUCUUUAUUAUUCUAUUGGAAUAUCCUGUCUGUGCGUUUUAUGCCAGACCUGGUUCCGUCUUUAUUAUUCUGUUGGAAUAUCCUGUCUGUGCGUUUUACGCCGGACCUGGUUCCGUCUUUAUUAUUCUGUUGGAAUAUCCUGUCUGUGCGUUUUACGCCGGACCUGGUUCCGUUAUUUAUUAUUCUGUUGGAAUAACCUGUCUAUUCGAAGUACCGCAUGCAUGGUGAUUUUUGUUGUUAUUCCAUUCUUUAUUAUUCUAUUGGAAUAUCAUGUCUGUGCGUUUUACGCCAGACCUAGUUCUAUCUUUAUUAUUUUGUUGGAAUAACCUGUCUAUGUGAAGUAUCGCAUGCAUGGUAAUUUCUGUUGUUAUUCCAUUCUUUAUUAUUCUGUUGGAAUAUCCUGUCGGUGUGUAUUACGCCUGACCUGGUUCCGUUAUUUAUUAUUCUAUUAGAAUAACUUGUCUAUGCGAAGUACCGUAUGUAUGGUGAUUUCUUUUCUUAUUCCAUUCUUUAUUAUACUCAGUUAGUUAAAGUUUUGACUUCUAUACUCCAUGAAAUUAGUGGAAUAUCCUUGAUAUUUAUACUUCAUCCAGUAUCUUUUCAUGAAAAUAUUCUUCUGAGCAUUCUUGAAUUUUACUCUACAAAGAAGUAUCAUGUUGAAAAUUUGGACGUUAUUGAUUCCUGGAUAAAUUAAUUCGUGAACUUGUUUUAUUGAAUUAUUAUGUCAUUGUCAUCAUCCUCAUGUUUAUUUUUUUUGAAAGUCAUCUGUGGCCUGUAGUGCAUAGAUGGACUUGGUAUGAUUAUGACCAGGGAUUAUUCGGUAUAAUCAUGACCGUAAUAUUACAAAUGAUGUGGAAAAAGUCCUCAUUGGCCCGUAAUGCAUUAAUGGACAGUUUUCGGUAUGAUUAUGGCUAUGGAUUCUCUUCGGCCAAGGGUGCAAAAAUGAAUUGUUUUAUGUCAUGAUCAGGACCGUUGAUGAAAACACGAUUUUCUUUGGCCCGUAGUGCAUGGAUAAUUCGUGGUCGUGAUACUAAAGAAUAUCCUUGGCCUGUAGUGCAGGGAUGAUUUGAUGAUGUGGAUUAUUUAUUGGGCUGAGUCUCAGCAAUAAAAGUGAUGAAAAAACUUUUUAAAUCAUAAAACAUAGUAGAUUCUAUUCUCUACUUGACUCUUUUAAUGGAUUGCUUGUUCCGCUGCAGUUAAACUUGAUGUCUAUUGUAUUUUAUCAGUUUAACAUUGUUGAAGACUAAUGAUAAUUUAUUCUGCACUAUCUUAGUCAUAAUAUUUCUUACUGGGCUAGUUGAGCUCACCCUUUCUUUCACUGUUCUAUUCAGGAAAUGAGAAUAUAGCUGGGGCGAGUCGGGGAACGGAGUGAUGGACCAGAUGAUAGUAUUAGUAGUCCUCACUAUUCUGUUAAAUAGUGUGAUAAUAAAUGUAAUGAGGACAUAUUCUGAGAGUGGAUAUUGUUUAGAAGACAGUAUUUGUAUUAAAACUCACAGCUCUCUUGUUGUAUAUUAAAGAUUGUAUUUGUAUUAUGUACCAUGUAUUUGGCGACUCAGAAUAGGUGAUGUAUACCUAUUUUGGGGGCGUCAAAAAUGAUGGGUAGAAAAAUAUUUAUUUUGUGUGGUUAUAAAUGAAGAAAUUAAUUUUGAGGUAUUUUAUAAUUAUUUUGUCAGAAUGGAUGUAUUAAAAAUCAUCCGUAUGUGGAUUUCGGACAUUUUUUGUUUAGAAUUUGGAAAAACUUUCUUCUCUAAAGUUGUAGAGAAUUUGAUUUCCUAUGGAAUGGACAUAAAAUUCAUAUUUUUCUGAUAAAAGAGCUAUUUAUUGUGAAUUAAAUGGAGUAAAGAUAAUCAAAUUGAAUUAGUUUUCAAAUUGAAUUUGAAUUCUUUUAUUUAUUUAUUUUUCAAAAAUAUGUGAUAAAUUAUUGGGGUGGGUGAGCAAAGUUGGACAAUCUUGAUUCAAGUAAGGUGUGCGUAGAAGAGAAGGAAAUAAGAAUAUUAUUUUAUUAUUUUAGUCUCCUUUGGCGUUCUAGCAUUUUUCUAUAAAUAGGUGCUUAAGUUAGAAUUGAAAAUCACACCAGAAACAUAAGCUUUCUCUCUCUAGAUUAUCGAGCGUAUUAUUGUGAGUAUUUUUCUUGAGUAUAGGAAUACUUUGAGCGUAGUUUUCUGCAAGAUUUUCUCAGAAUAAUAUCCAAUAUUCCAGGCAAAUCCAGUUUCUACUAAGGUAAAGGAUAUUAUUUUAUUGCUUUUAUAAUUCCUGAAAUGAUUAGAAAUUUCACUUCAUCUAAUAUCCUUUUAUAGGAAUAUUGGUCUGAACUUUUUAUCAAAUUUAGAACUUUUCAUGACGGGUACUGUUCACCGGUACUGUUCACGGGUACUGUUCAAAAAAGAAAAAAAAAUUUCUCCUUCCCAGUUAUCUGUUGUGACCUUUAAUCCUGAAAUUGAAUCCAUGUUUUUGAUCUUUAUUCUUGAAUUUUACUCCAUUAUGGUUUAUUAUGGAGUAUUUUUAAACUUGAGUUAUCUAAAGUACAAAUCUCUAAACUUUAUCCUUUUAUCUCACUUGAUUCGUUCUCUAAAAUGUUUUUCAUCAUCCUCAGUCCUUAAUGGUGAUACUUGAUAAAUAUCUUUGGCCUGUAGUGCAAAGAUGUAUGAUUACCUGAUGAAUAUCUUUGGCCUGUAGUGCAAAGAUGAACAGGUGUUGAGAUGAACAUGACCAACUGGUGAUACAAAUGAAUAUCUUUGGCCCGUAGUGUAAAGAUGAAUAUUUGAUUCAAGAUGUAUAUUGAUUGAUGUUACAGGGAUAAAAUAUUGAUGAUGGACUUUUAAAUUCAUAGAUGAUAGUAGAUUUCAUUCUCUACUUAACUCUUCUAAUGAAUUGUUGUUUCCGCUGCAGUUGUUGAUCUAAAACUUGUUGUCUAUUGUAUUCUAUCAGAUUUUUCCCUGUUGAAGACUAAGGAUAAUUUGUUGUAUAUUAUCUUAGUCAUAAUAUUCUUUACUGGGCUAGUUGAGCUCACCCUUUUCCUUUUUGUUCCAUUUUUCUUCUCAGGAAGCGAGAACAUAGCAGGAACCAGUCGGGGUAUAGAGUGAUGGUCCUAGACAGUUGUUUUAGAAGUCCUCACUAUUUUUGUAAAAUAGUGCAUCAAUAAUUGUAAUGAAGACUUUAUUUGAGUGUGGAUAUUGUCUAGAAGACAAUAUUUGUAUUUAAACUCACAGUAUGUGUUGUCGUAUUUUGCACGACAAUUGUAAUAAUAAAGUUGUAGUUAUUUUCUGUACCAUAUAUUUGGCGACUCAGAAUGGGUGAUGUAUACCUAUUUUAGGGGCGUCGCAGAAUAGCUUAUACCAUAUCAGUCAUUAUCAAAUCCUCUAGUCUAGCAUACAAAAUCCUUAAAACGGUGGCUAAGUCUUAGUUAAAUGCUUAGCUCAUAUAUAGACCGGUAUACACCAAGUUAUAAUCAUCUUAUGCUCAUGCAAAACUAACCUUUUAAGCACAUUUGCAUCUUUAGAAUUUUAAUAUAGAAUAUUGGCAUAGGAUUAGACUUGGCUGUACUCAUUUUCAACACAGUUGACUCCAAUAGUCUAUUAACAGACAUUUUACCAAACAGUUGGGAUGCGGUUCAUAUCUAUCCAUACAAUACAUAUAUUCUUAGCUUAGUGAUCCCAGCCUUAUGGCUUAAACAAUAACAAGCAUAAGAUGAUACAUAACAACUCCAAUCACGGUAAUCCAAAUAGCAUUGAAACAGGCAUCCUAUUGUACCAAUUCCAAUAUAACAGCCAUACAUGUUACCUAAACUCUAACAGUCCAGUUGCUAUCAUUUAAAGAAACAGGAACGAAUGGAAAAGGAUUGGAAAGGUCAGAAUUGGCUUACCUUGUUGAUUUGAAGGUUACAAGUGGGUUGAGCUGCCCAGUUUCUCCUCCUUCUCUAGCCGAAGCUUUUCCUCUCUUACUCUAUAUGACUGAUACCGUUACUUCUUCCCUUUUUCUUUUAACUUUGCUAAGUGGUGAGCUAAUCGGUUCUAGGCCAUAAGCUUGGCCUUUUAUGGUUGAGUUUAUCUCCUCUUUUCUGGCAGUACUAUCACCUUUAGUUGGCCUCUACACAACCACCCUAUCAAGCUCCCAUCCAUCAUUCCUAUUCUAGUUCACUUGGCCCCUAUAGGGCCUGUCAGACCAUAGCUAUUCUGCUUCCUCUUAUCCACUGCAAGUUUAUCCCACCUGCUAGCUGACUGUUAACUGAACUAACAUGCUAACUAGAAACCAACUUAGAAUUCGUAUAACUUGCUACUUGACUUGGUGCUCAAGCCAUGUUAUUGUUUUUCUUAAUUGGUUUGAAGCAGUUAUCUUGCUAUACAUCACUGGGUUUACAGGAUUGGGCUGGGGGAACAAUGUGACAAUUUUAAUUUGGGUUUAAACUAACCCUCCCUCUUUAACCAUGUAGCUGCCAAAUUGCACUAAGAAAAUAGGUUAAAAUUGGCCCUUUUAAUUUUGUUAUAGACCUAAUACAACAACCCAUACCCUAAAAUAGUUGAAAGGGGCAUACAAGCAUACAUAGCAAAAUUUAAUAUGGCCCAAUGUUUUAGAAUGGACUCAUUUUAAACACAAAAUUUUUUCUAUCUUAUUAAAUUCCUUUUAGGCUAGCAACAAUAGUUGGUACAUAUAUCAUUAACUCUUUUUUUUUACCAUUCAUGAUCUAAGAUACUUAAUAAAAUAUUAAGUAACAAAUAAUUAUAAGGUCAGGAUACAAAAAUAAAAUAAAAUUUAUACACAAAAUUGACAUUAUAACAACUGAAUAUUUUAUAGAAUUUCUGAGUCAUUACAUUUACUUUGUUAAGGACUAAUGAUAAUUUAUUUUACAUUAUCUUAGUCAUAAUAUUCUUUACUAGGCUAGUUGAGCUCACCAUUUUCUUUCAUUGUUCUUUUCAGGAAAUGAGAAUAUAGUUGUGACUAGUCGGAGAAUGGAGUGAUGGUCCAAGAUGGUUGCUAUAGUAGUCCUCACUAUUCUAUAAAAUAGUGUGAUAAUAAUUGUAAUGAGAACUUCAUUUGAGUUUGGAUAUUGUCUACGAAAUAAUAUUUGUAUUAAAACUCACAACUUACGUUUUGUCGUAUUUUACACGACAAUUAAUAAUUGUAUAAAUGCAGUUUGUAUUUGAAUUUUGUACCAUGUAUUUGGUGACUCAGAAUGAGUUGUAUGGACCUAUUUUGGGGGAGUCACGAAUAGGACCCAAGAAGAUUUGGGUACGAAAAAGGUAGACUAUUUGUUCAUUUUGUCAAUGUCUUAAGUUCAAAAAGGAGACGAAUAGUACUUAUAAAUUAUUUGGCAAAAUCUGUAAGUACCUUAUAUUUUUUUCUAAAAUAGUGUUUUAAUUAGAUAUAUUAUGAAAAAUCUAUGGAUUUCGUAUUACAUGGGUUCAUAACAUCAUUUAUUAUAAAGUAUAUAUUGUGCUAAAUGCUCCAUAUUUAAUACAAAUGACAAUCUUGAUGAGGAAUAAGUGAAUAUUAUUUUUGAUUAACUUAACCAUGAUCUGCUAAAGGAAGAGAAUGAGGUUUCUGUUGGAAAUGACUAUUUGAAUUGUGGAACCCAAACAGUUCAAUCCGGACAGUCUAAGAUGUGAGACCCCGAAUUUUAUGAAAUAAAAGUAUUAAAUUUUUCUAUUUUGGUAAAUAGUUAAAUUGAUAAAAGUUUAAAGUUAAGGGUCAUAUUUGAAAAUUUUGCAAAGUAUGCAAGUUGUUAUAAAUAUUCGAUUGGUCGGAGAAUAUUCUUUUUGUCGGGGAAUAUUCGUACGACGGCACAAUCUUUGGUGAACCCACAACGGAAGUACUGUCGUAGUUAGAAAAAGACAAAAAUAUUUUAUGAAAAUAACGACGAAGGUUUUACCGUUAAAAUUGUUGAACUACCCGGUAGUAAAAGUACAAUAAUACUCGUGGUUGCAUAGUAGCACACGGUAUUGAUUAUUGAUACUUAUGUGAGAAGUCACUGAGUUAUACUCAAUUAUUGCUACAGUAAUUGUUGCAUCAUAUCUCUCAUAUUAUUGAUUCGAUUAUUGUCAGUAUCAUCUGCAUUAUAUGUUAUUUUAUUAAAUCAAUAAUUGAGACGACAAAGUUAUUCAUAUUAUUAAAUUGCAAUAUUUAUAAUGUCUAGAAGUUCUGUCAAGGAGAGGUUAGAUAAUCUAAUUACGCGCCAAUAGGGAGAAAUCUUUAUCGGAAAGCCCCCUCUUUCCUGGGAACAACCUGGUUGUUAAAUAUUGUGAGUUAUGAUAUUAAUGAUGGAUAAGUUCGUGUUGAUUAAAGAUGAAUUUUAUAGUUUUAUUGUGUUGGGAUUAUUUGUGUUAGUAGAAAUUGACAUCUAUUCCGAUGAUUAUUGAUGUCUGGAGGUUAUAUUGUUCAAUCGGGUAUUCGGGACACUUUUCAUGUCAGAGUUAUUAUUCAUGAGUUACUAUUCACGAGUUACUAUUCAUGAGUUACUAUUCACUAGUUACUAUUCACAAGUUACUAUUCACCUAAUUACUAUUCACUCUAGUAUUGUGCAUUCGGGUAUUUGGGUACAAUAUUAUUCCAUGAGGAGAUGUGUUAAUUUUUCUGACCGUUGGUUGAAAUUAUAAUAGUAAAUCAAUAUGGAUCGUUGAUUUAAAGUCUUAAUAGUAACUUGUCCCUUCAAUAUUACCAAGAGUUAAUUGCCCCUUCGUAAAUAGUAGUUGUCCCUUCAAUAUUACCAAGAGUUAUUUGCCUCUUCGGUGUUCCAAGAGUUAAUUACCCCUUCGCAAACAGUAGUUGUCUCUUCAAUAUUACCAAGAGUCAUUUUGACCCUUCGUUAAGACCAAGAGCCACUCUCAGUUUUUCUAUAAAUAGAAGCUCAUUCCUUCAUUAUUUCUUACGAAUUCACUGAAACUCUAGAGAGAGAAAUUAUAGAGAGAAAGAAGAAGAGUAUUCUGUUACUUCACUACUUCGAUAUCCAGUGUCUUUUACGGUAAGGGAUAUUAUUUGUUGUACCCGUAAGGGGUGUUAUUCUUUCUUAGUCAUGAAGAGAACUUCUGUUAUUCCAUUCUUUAUUAUUCUGUUGGAAUAACCUGUAUAAGCGGCAUACCCUAUACAUAACCUGUAUAUGCGGCAUACCCUAUACUUGGUGAAAUCCCUUUGUUAUUCCAUUCUAUAUUAUUAUGUUGGAAUAACCUGUUUAUGCCAAGUACCGUAUGCAUAGUGAAAUUCUUCUAUUAUUUCAUUCUAUAUUAUUAUGUUGGAAUAACCUGUUUAUGCGAAGUACCGCAUACAUGGUGAAAUUCUUCUAUUAUUCCAUUCUUUAAUAUUCUGUCAGAAUAUCCUGUCGGUGUGAAUUUCGGCUGACCUGGUUCCAUUUAUUAUUCUGUUGGAAUAACCUGUAUACGCGUAUUACCGUAUACUUGGUGAUGUCUGUUGUUCUUCCAUUCUUUACUAUUCUGCUGGAAUAUCCUGUCUGUGCGUUUUACGCCAGACCUGGUUCCGUCUUUAUUAUUCUGUUGGGAAUAACUUGUCUGUGUGGUCUCUAUCGCAUGCAUGAUGAAUCCUUCUGUUAUUCCAUUCUUUAUUAUUCUGUUAGAAUAACCUGUCUAUGUGGAUUACCACAUGCAUGGUGAAUGAUCCUUUAUAUUCAUUCCUUAUUAAAUUGUGGAAAUGAUCCGGUUACGUUGAUUAUGAUGAGAGUCAUAAUAAAAGUAUUGGACUAAUGAAAAUCAUGGGUAUAUGUGGUAUUAGUAAGUGUUAUGAUGAGUUAUGUUGGUUAUUAUGUGAAAACAUGAAAGUUUCUUAGAAAUCACAAAGGGUUGAAAAUCAGAUUUUGGUGAAAAUAGAACAUGAAAUUCAAUUGACCAUAUCUCCUAUUAUAUUUCAAAUUUUUGGGUGUGGUUAAGUUCUAGAGUUAGGUCUAUGAGUUAUGUAACUUAUCCAAGUGGAAUCACUGGAAAAGGUGUUGUAGAUUUUCGUGUGGACUGAUUUUAGCAAAGGAGUGCAAAGCUGCAAAAACCCAAAACUCUACUGCCCAGAAACUUUAAGGGGCUGUUUCGGCUACUUAAUUUGUGAGAACAAUUCUGGCCUUUUGGGACAUGAAAUUAUAUGAUAUAAAGUACCUCCUGUCCAAAAAUGAGCUCAUUCUGACUUAAAAUGAGCAAGUUAUGACCAUUUCAAUAUUUAGGUUUUUCCGACGAAAAACGCUAUAACCGGAGUUCUAUAACUCCGAUGACCAUGAAAUUUAAAUUGGAAGCUCAUGUUAACAUGUGUAAGAUUAUGCCAAGAUUUGGGAAUUUUUGGAGUUAACCUUGAGGUAGCUAACUUCUUAAGGAAUUAAUUAGAAAUUGAUUUUUGAAAAAUAGUAAAUGAAUUUUAAAAAUUCCGAGAAAAAUAUAUGUUCAUUAUGGGACUAUAUUCUGCUAAAUACCAGAAAAGAAAUAUUUUUGGGACUGAUUUGGUAUUUUUCAUGAAAAUAGUUUAGUUACGAACUUAUGAGUUAAAUAUGUUAUGUGAAGUAACAAAAUUGGAAAAAUAGGAUUUAUGGUUUGGAAGGUAUAUGCAGAUUUUUGAUAAAGAAUUUGAUUAUUGGUGAUGAGAUCUUAUGAGUAUGGCAUUUUGAAUGAUUAAAUACAUUAUAUGGUAAAGUGUAAGCAAUUGAAAUAAAUUAUUUAUAAGUUUGAGAAGCGAUUAAAAUAUUGUUAUAAUAUUAAUAAUAUUAGAUUAUGAGUUAUUGAUAAUAUUUGGAUAAGUUUAAAGUCUUUAGUAUUUAUCCUUGUUUUCGUAUGAUUAAUGCUUAUAUCAUUGUCAUCAUCCUCAUGCUUAUAUGGUGAUGAAAGUUAUCUUUGGCUUACGUGCAAAAAUGGACUUUUGAUUAUUGAAUUGUAUAUCUUUGGCUCACGUGCAGAGCUAGUUUGUUGAUUAUUGGUUUUAUUGUUGUAUAUCUUUGGCUUACGUGCAGAGAUGAAUUUGGUAUGAUUAUGACCAAGGAUUAUUCGGUAUAGUCAUGACUAUUGAUGAUUUAAUGAAUAUCCUUGGCCCGUAGUGUAGGGGUGAUUCGAUGAUGUGGUUUAUUUAUUAAGCUGAGUCUCAAUGAUAAAAAUGGAUGAAAACAUUUUUAAAUCAUAGAAGAUAGUAGAUUUUAUUCUCUACUUGACUCUUUUAAUGGAUUGCUUGUUCCGCUGCAGUUAAACUUGAUGUCUAUUGUAUUUUAUCAGUUUAACAUUGUUGAAGACUAUUGAUAAUUUAUUCUGCAUUAUCUAGUCAUAAUAUUUCUUACUGGGCUAGUUGAGCUCACCCUUUCUUCACUGUUCUCUUCAAGAAAUGAGAAUAUAGCUGGGACGAGUCGGGGAACAGAUUGACAGUCCAGAUGAUAGCAUUAGUAGUCCUCACCAUUCUGUUAAAUAAUGUGAUAAUAAAUGUAAUGAGGACUGAAUUUGAGUUUGUAUACUGUCUAUGAGGACUCCAUUGAGAAUUGAUAUUGUCUAGAAGGCAAUAUUCUUGUUUAAACUCUCAGUUUAUGUUUUACACGACAGUUGUAUAAUUAUGUUGUAUUUGAUUUAUGUACCAUGUAUUUGGCGACUCAAGAUGGGUGAUGUAUACCUAUUUUGGGGGCGUCACAUAAGACGUCUGCAUCAGAAGGAAAUAUAGAUGAAAUCAGACAGUUUGACCUGUCUGUUUUAGAAGAAAACUCAAAUUUACAAACACCUAAAUCUAGAAAAAUCGAGAGGUCUGCUUUAGAAUAAAAAACAUAUGAAUAUUCGGAUGCAGUAACUUAUAUUCCAGAGGAUGAAUCUGAAAAGCAAAUGACUUCUUCCAGGCUUCCUAAAUCUUCUAGAACUAUGGGAAAUCAUCCUCCAAGUCUGAUCAUCAGAAAUUUCAACAUUAGGAUGUCCACAAGAAGAGGUUUUGAAGAAAUUUGUUUGCUACACUAAAGGAGCUCAUCUAUCAAGCUUAUUGUUGGUAACAAAAUUGUGGAUAUAUAGGUAACAAAUCACAAAGGUAUGGUUAUUUUAUUUAAGUGCUAUAUGUGAUAUUGUUACAAGCUUGAUGUCGUGUCUUUAUUUUAUGAAUUAUUUUUUGUUAGUGACAAAUGGGGAGAGAUAUAGCUAAAUUGAUGAUUUAUUUCUUUUUGAUAAUGAUAAGGGGAGAAAUGUUUAAAAAUAUUGAUGAUUAUGAUAUUUGAUGGUUAUAUUGAUUAUAAUAUGUUUGGAUUUUUUGGAUAUCAUAUUGAUGAUAAUGGUUGGAUAUUUUGAUUCAUUAUCUGUUAUAUACAGCUUAUCAUUAUGCAUUAUUUAUCAUAACAGUUAUGUGAUCUUUAUAUCUCCUAUAGGCAAAAUUUAGGGGGAGCCAUAUAGUUAGGGAGAGCAUGAUUGUAAGGAAUAAUAUAUUGUCAUCAUCAAAAGGUGGAGAUUAUUAGUUUUAUUAUUUGUAAUUUUAAUAAUGACAAUAUAUUUGCAAAUAUAAGUUAUUUAAUGGUCUGAAUAUAUUUGCAAAUAUAAGUUUGGUUCAUGAUAAUUUAAUUUGGUUAUAAGUCAAAUUGAUAUUACGUGCAGGAUUGAAUUGGAAUAUUUUCUUUCAGGUCUAAUUUGGAGUCUCUAAAUUAACUGGUUUAGAUAUUUGUGUAGAGUAUGGACUCUAUCUAUAAUAUAUUGUUACUCCUUAAUUUUAGCCAUUGUUAGAUUACAUAUCUUUGACUUUCUAAUUUUGAGAAUAUUUUAUAGCUGUUAGCUAUAUCUAUGUGCUGAAAUCUCUAAUUCUCGAAAUCCAAGACCAAGUCAUUGACGAGCCUACUAAGUUUACACAGCAACCACGAUUUGUUUGUAGACUUGUAGUUAUUCAUUUUAUACCCGAAGUUAACAAAUUGUAUGAAAGGUUCAUCCUUUCAAUUAUCUACAUAAUUUAUUUUUUCCUACUCUAUGCAUUCCUAAGUAUCAGAUCGGAUCAGAUCAUAAACAUCACAAUAAACCAUCUAGUGGUAAUUGUUUUAUUUAUAAUACGGUAAUAACAACCACCUAGUGGUAGUUGAUUUAUUUAUUACAUGCUAAUAACAACCAUGAGCUGAUUGUUGAUUUAUUUAUUAAAUGCUAAUAACAGCUAUCAGCUAGUGGUUGAUUUAUUUAUUAUAUUCUAAUAACAGCCAUCAACUAGUAUAUAGUUUCUUGAUCAACUGUUCAUAGGAAGAUUACUGAUCGUUCAUUUAGGCGCUGGGGGGACUAAUUUGAACACCAUAGAUAACUAAACCCGUCUUCAUAGUCGCGCUUUCACUCCCGUCAAGAGCAAAUUUUAAAUCUCCAGAGUCAAAGCUAUUCAAGAAUUCCCCAGCUUUGAGCGAAAAUGGUGUGUUUCUCGGAUAAUUCAUCAAUCCAUAUCCGUUCACUUGCGAGGAUCCAUUCGGAAGAGUAAGUGUAAGACUCACCGGACUUGCUAUGUUAAAGUUGUCUUUCAGCAACACCACAAAAGAUACCUCAUAAGAUAAUUUUUCAAGCUUUUCUGUCAUAUAGUUUCCGUCAACAUGUAGGACUAAGCUACCAAUUAAUUCAGCACUGGCAUCACUGAAAAAAAAUGAUAGUAGAAUUAAAGUCAGAAACUUUUGAUAUAAGGAGCUUAAAUUCAUUAAGGUGAUUUUAUUGAUUUUUUUUUUCUGGAACAUUUUUAAUGUAAGUCCUUCUAUCUACCUAGAGUCUAGACUUCAAUAAAAUUUCUAUAGUCCUUCUAUCACUUUAAUUUAAUGACAUAGUUGCUUAUAUAUCCCUAUUUUUAACUGAAUAAAAUUCAGGUGUUUAAACACAAAUCUUAACCUUUGACGUCAAUUAAGUUAACUAAAUCUUAUUUCUACUUACGUA
rnacentral:lncRNA from 1 species